UCAGCAUCAUAUUCAUUGCUGUAAGGUUCUGUAAUCCAAGCGUGACAAUCAAAAUAAUGCUUCACAUAACUGCUGUUGUAAGCCUCUCCGGCGAAAGCCGUCUUGUCCAACCCAAUGCUAUCAAGUAUGGCCACCACUGAAAGCUGAGGUGGUCCCUCAAUGUUAGAGCAGCUCAUUAUGCUGAACAGAAGAAGGUGAAGACUAAGAUGAAGAAAAUACAGAGCAAGUUACAGGGCAAGUGUGUCAGCAGUGCCAGCUCAGCUAACAGCUCAGCAGAUUAGUUAAAGAUGGUUGUAAGCAUGAUGUGCAUUGUACUGAAGUUAGUUAGCUUUGAUUACAGUUAGUCUUUGGAUUAGUUAAAUGAAGUUACCGUGAUUGCAUUGUAUAUAAACAGGUGAUGCUUUGUAAUUAAAUGUUAAGCAAAAUAAAAAUCAAAGUUUGUUAAGGAAAUAUCUCCAGAAUUAUCAAUUCAUUUUCUUAGUAACCAAACAACUUUAUUUCAUUUUCUUUCAGUGCGGAGAGGCCGAAAAUUUGCUGGAGGGAUACCAAUUAAUUUGGCAGAUUUCUGAAGAGCGAAAUGUGUUUGAUCGGAGGCAUAAACAACCAACUUAGUAAUGUUGUCAAAGCCUCCUCCAAGUUUUUCCAAUGCUUUGUCUCUUGCAGCUGCCAGAGUGCAAACGAGGGAUUCACAAGUGCUUCCGUGCAGGACACCACCACCUGUUCCGGAAAACAAAAAUGAAGAAGGAAGCUUGAGCAUUUUCCCCAUCCAAUCCAUCACAAUGGAUUCGAGUUCAGUUGCUACCGGAGAAGCGAGCCAGUUGAAGCCAACCACGUUGAACCCUGAACAAAGCAUCUCACCAAGAAAGCCAGCAGUGCUUGCAUUUGCUUGGAAAUAACCAAAGAAAUUGGGGCUUUGCCAGUGAGUGAGGCCAGGUAAGAUGCAGUCGGUGACAUCUUUUAGAAUAUCAUCCAAUGACUCUGGGGAAUGCGGGGCUGUGUCAGGCAACCGAGCCGACAAAUAACCAGGCUCUACUUUGCUUUGAACAGGGUAUUUCUCGAUGUUUUUGUAAUAAUCAGCAAUGAAAUCGAUAACAGCUUUCGAUUCGUCAGAGAAGCUCUUUGGCAUUACUCUUAACACAUGAGGCAAGAAUGGAACAAAAUCAUAAUACUAAAGAUCUUUUUAGUGCAAACUAUGGGAUGAUGAAUGCUAACUACUCUCAGUUUAGAGGAAAUAAUAAGAGAGGUGGUUAUAGUGGAUAUCAAGGGCAAUUUAAUGCUGGAAAUAGGAAUCAAAAUGGAGGAAGAGGAAUGUCUUUCAAUUCAUUCUCAAGAGGUUUUCCAGCUGGUGGAUAUACUGGUAAUGCUGGUGGCAGAGGACAGCAAAUGAAUGCAUAUGCUUAUAAACCUGUGCUUAACAACAGGCAUAAUUUCAAUGUGAAUCAUGGCUCAACUUCAAUGCCCAAUGGAAAUGGAUCUGAUGAUAAUGUGCUUAUCUGUCAAAUCUGUCAUAAAGCUGGACAUGCAGCUGAUGUUUGUUGGCACAGACACUUUGAUGGCUAUGCUCCUCAACCCAGACAAUUUGGAAGGGGCAGAGGGCAUAAGUCUGCUUAUAUGGCUAACUUUGAUCCACAAAUUGGCUUUACUUCACAAUUUGAAGAUUCGUUUGCUACAGAAUAUCCUGGUUAUCAUGGGUACCAUCCACCUGAUAUGAAUGCAUCAGUUGCAUCAGUAAGUCAUCACUCAUCUGAUAUGCAUUCUGUACCUGGAGCAGCUUAUAUUGCAAAUUUUGAAGGACCAGCUGAUGAAGGGUGGUAUCUUGAUAGUGGAGCUACGCAUCACAUCACUAACAGCAUGGCCAAUAUGCAUAUCAGAGAUCAAUUCACUGGAGCAGAUCAGCUCAUUAUUGGAAAUGGACAAGGUUUGCCCAUAACUCAUGUUGGUGAUGCAUCAUUUCUCUUUAAAAGUUCCAAUUCUACACACAAACACUCACCUAUAGUACUUAAAGAUAUUCUGUUGGUGCCUUCCUCUCAGUUAUCAUCAUCUUUUCUUUCUCAUAUGUGUUCCAAUAAACCUUUGUCUAUGCUUUCUUGUUGUUGUUUCAAUUCUGUUCCUUCUGGAGUAUUUACAGAAUCUUAGAAAUCAUGUAAUCAAACUGAUGAUUCAUCUUGUAAAACUUCAGUUAAUAAAGCUAUUUUGCUUCAUAGAAAGUUUGGUCAUCCCAAUCAUCAAAUAUUAACUCAUAUACUCAAAACAGCAAAAUCUAUUCAUUUACCUGCAUAUCAAAAGCAACAAAUGCAUCAGUACAUCUGUGAGGCCUGUCAAAUGGGCAAAACACAUAAACUUCAUUUUCCAAUUACUGAAACCAAAACCUCCAAAACUCUAGAACUUAUACACACUGAUUUAUGGGGUCCUUCUCCCAUUAUUUCUAGAGAUGGUUAUCAGUAUUAUAUAAGUUUUGUAGAUGACUACAGCAGGUAUACAUGGAUUUAUCCUUUGAAGCUAAAGUCUGAGGCAUUAGAAGUCUUUAAGCUCUUUAAACUGCAGGUUGAAAAUCAGUUUAGCACAACCAUUAAGAUGAUGCAAUCUGAUUGGGGGGGAGAGUAUAGACCAUUCACUGAGUUUUUAAGCCAAUUUGGUAUCAUCUUUAGACAUCCUUGUCCUCACACUCAUCAUCAAAAUGGGUUAGUUGAAAGGAAGCAUAGACAUAUUGUUGAAUUGGGUCUGACUCUCUUAGCUCAAGCUCAACUUCCCUUUAAGUUCUGGUGGGAUGCAUUUCAUACUGCUGUAUAUCACAUCAACAGACUUCCAUCUCCUGUUUUGCAACUUUUAACCCCAUAUGAAAAGACAUUCAAACACAAACCUGAUUAUGAUUUUCUCAGAUGUUUUGGGUGUUCUUGUUAUCCUUACUUGAGAGAUUACAAUAAACAUAAAUUUGCCUACCAUUCUAGUAAGUGCAUAUUCAUUGGUUACAGUCCUUCACAUAAGGGCUACAAAUGUUUACACCCUUCAGGUCGAGUCUAUGUGGCAAGACAUGUUACCUUUGAUGAAUCAGUUUUUCCUUAUGCCACUGAGUUUGUUUUUCAUAGUCAUGCUAAAACUGAUUCUCAAAUUUCUCAUUCCCAUACACCACAGCAAAUCCAUCAUAUCUCUUCUUUGCCUGUCAAUAACAGCACUGGUAAUCUGAACUCUGUAAGAUCUGGAAGCAGCAGUUCAAGUCACUCAGAUCAUCUAGAACAGACAGCAACUGAUCAGAAUUCACAACAAGCUACCAUAAAUGACAGGUCACCUUUUCAUACAUGUCCAACAAUUGUUGAAUCUAUACAAAAUAUUCCAAAACCUCCACAUCACUCUUUGCCUAUACAAAGUCACCAUCCUAGCAACACUUCUUUCUAUCCAUAUACACAACCAAAUACACAUCAGAUGAUAACCAGAAGUAAAGCAGGGAUUUUCAAACCCAAAAUUUAUACUGCUGUGCUUACUCACAAGGAACCAGAUACUGUGCAAGAAGCAUUAAAUGAUUCAAAGUGGCUACAAGCUAUGAGGGAGGAAUAUGAUGCCUUGAUUAAGAAUAAUACAUGGACAUUGGUUCCAAGACAAGCUGAUCAGCAUGUGGUUGGAAAUAAAUGGGUGUAUAGAAUCAAAUAUAAUACAGAUGGAAGUGUAGCUAAGUAUAAAGCUAGACUUGUUGCAAAGGGUUUUCAGCAAGUGGCAGGGAUUAACUAUUUUGAGACAUUUAGCCCAGUUGUGAAGUCAGCUACAGUUAGAGUAAUACUUAGCUUGGCAGUGAUGAAUCAGUGGAGAAUAAGGCAAGUGGAUGUCAAUAAUGCCUUUUUGAAUGGAGAGCUAACAGAAGAAGUUUUCAUGUCUCAACCUGAUGGCUUUAUUGAUGCUCAGAGAUCUGAUUUUGUAUGCAAAUUACACAAGUCUCUGUAUGGGCUCAAGCAAGCUCCUAGAGCCUGGUAUGACAAGCUUAAAGGAUGCUUAAUAAGCUGGGGUUUCACUACUACUAGUUCUGACACCUCAUUGUUUGUUAGGAAGAUCAAGACAUCUAUGAUCAUAGUUCUUAUAUAUGUUGAUGACAUACUGAUCACAGGUCCAAAUACUGAGGAGCUGGAAGGUUUUAUAACUGAAUUCAGCAAAACUUUUGCUCUAAAGGAUCUGGGAGUGUUAUCCUAUUUCCUUGGAAUUGAGGUAUUAUAUGAUGCAGAUUGUAUGUACUUGUCACAGAGAAAGUAUAUCAGAGAUUUGUUAUCGAAGGUAGAAAUGACUGAAUGUAAGGGCAUUGAUACACCCAUGAGUACUGGCUCUAAACUGCAAAAGAUAGUUCAGGGGGAACUUGGAUACUAUCUUGAAGAUCCAACUCAUUAUAGGAGCAUAGUUGGAGGAAUGCAGUACCUGAUACUUACCAGACCUGAGAUUGCGUUUGCUGUAAACAAGCUUAGUCAGUAUGUAGCUGCACCAACACUACAACAUCUAAUGGCAUGCAAGAGAGUUAUAAGAUAUCUAAAGGCAACUCAAGAUUAUGGUUUAAAAUUUUUCAGAGAAGGAAGCUUAACACUCACUAGUUUUACUGAUGCAGAUUGGGCAUGUGACUUAGAUGAUAGGAAAUCAGUUGGUGCUUAUUGCAUUUAUUUAGGCAAUAAUUUGAUAUCCUGGUCUUCUAAGAAACAAUCAGUGAUAACCAGAUCAAGUGCCGAGAGUGAGUAUAGAGCUUUGGCAUCAGUGAGUGCAGAGCUGACAUGGUUACAAUCCUUAUUUUCUGAGUUGGGAAUAAGUUGCAUAGAAAAGCCAAUCAUAUGGUGUGACAACAUUAGUGCCACUGAACUAGCAAAGAACCCUGUGUAUCAUUCAAGAACAAAGCAUAUCGAAAUUGAUAUGCACUUCAUUAGGAAUAAGGUUCUUGCUGGUGAGUUGAUUAUUCACUAUGUACCAAGUGAAGAACAGAUUGCAGACAUAAUGACCAAGCCUCUUUCAUUUGUAAGGUUUAACUACUUGAGGUCCAAACUCAAUGUCCAUCUUUGUCCUCUGAGUUUGAGGGGGGCUGUUAGAGCAGCUCAUUAUGCUGAACAGAAGAAGGUGAAGACUAAGAUGAAGAAAAUACAGAGCAAGUUACAGGGCAAGUGUGUCAGCAGUGCCAGCUCAGCUGACAGCUCAGCAGAUUAGUUAAGAUGAAGAUAUACCGGCUUCAGCUUUAGAAGUUUUGAUGCGAUCAAUGAUUUUGGAAUCCAUGUGCUUAAGUUGUUGCAUCCGUUGCUUAAUAUCAGUGAUUCUGCUUUGGAGUCCUUGCAGAGCAUCAAAAAUGUCCUUGCUGCAGCUGCUUUGAGUCUUCUGUUGAGUGAUGCUGUUGAUGAAUGUGUCAAUCACCUUCUCAGAUUCAUACGUAAACCAAUUGAUUUCGUCCAUAACGGUCGCCAGAUCUGGGUCAUGACUUUCCUCCUCCGCCAUUUUUUCGAACAGAAGGAGGGAGAUAUCAUCUUCAAAUUCGCUCAGCCAAGAAGUAACGAUUUCAACCUCCGCAUGAAGGUUCUGAAUAGGUUGUUUUGCAGCAUCAGGCAACGUGACUUCUUCACCAGCUAACACCCUUCUCAGCCUCUCUGAAAAUAGUCUGAAGUUGAUGUGCAUAUCUCCUCCUCUCUCAGAUUCACCCUGAAAUCAGUCCUGUAGCAUGCAAAGAAAUAAUUAAAAGAAAAACAUGCUUUAAAGCUCUCAAUUCAAACAUUAGUGCUGGCUCCCAUACCUCCCUUCUCUUAGCUAGCUCUCCGGUCAAGAAGUUGAAUCAAGAUCGUUGACUCUCAGAUUAUAACAGAUCAAGGAAGAAUCUUACAAUAAUCUCGUCUCCCAUAUGAUCAAGACCAAUUUGUUUUAUACAUCCACUUUUAAGAAAGGAAGGGUAAAAACAAUUCCACUGGGACUAUAAAAGCUUGUCUGAAAAGAAAAGAACGGAGCAAGCACAAGAGCGUUAUCAAUUAUUUAAUAAUUAAUAACUAAGCCGUGGAAAAAUGCAAAAUCAUGUCAGGUGUUACUUGUUAAAUUUAUUGCGAGACUUGCAUGUAUCUAUAUCACAAAUAAAAUUUGUAUCCCAGGGUUAUAAAUGUAAAAUUACUCAAAUAAAUAUGCAUUCUUAAUCAUGUGUGAUGCUGUCUUAUUUCUGAGAAAGUACUAAAUCGUUUGUAAAAUUUUAUAGUUAAUAUAUGUUCAAUUUUCUUUUUAGCAUUCUUUUUUAAGAAAUGAAAAAUGAUAAAGAAUUCUAACAACGGGUGACAAAAAUAAUAAUAAAUUGUGCAAUGUUACAAUGUUAAUUGAAAAAUAGUUAUAAUUUUUUAUUUAACAUUAUAAAUAAAAUCUAUAGUUGUUUUCUCACUACUGUAUCAUUUUUUAAUUCAAAUAUCAGUAUUAUAUGAGCUCUCACCUUUUAGAAAGUAUUAUAUCAUAAGACACUAUUUAUAAUUAUUUUCAUUUGAGCCCUUAGUGUUAAAAAUAUAACAAUCCAUCAAUGAAAUCAAUGAUAAUGGAAUUCUAAGUAGGAAUGGCAGAAAAAUCAAGUCUAGCUAGAGCAUGUUUUCUAAGUAUUCUGGCUGGUCUUGGGCUCCGGCUAAAAAGUUCGAACUCAGCUCGAAAGCCAACAUUGUAUAGUGGGAAUCUAGGACCAAUCACAUGGAGAUGAUUUGUAAAUUUUUGUACACAAUUUUAGUAUGCAUAUCAGAAGAGAGGCAGCAAUCUUAGUUGAUACUUUUAUUUGACAUAUGAUGUAAGAAACGGAACAAAGAUUGUAACGCCACAAAUUUUGCAAUUCAGCAUCCAAAAUAUCACUAGAACUUGCAAGACAAGCUUUAAUCUCUUCAACAAAGGUCGAAUUGCGGGCAGGAACACAAACGCAGAGAUGGGUAUCAAGAUCGCAUUCGAAACGACUGACAGGGAUUGUCACAGUCGGCAUUGCUUUUACAAGUGACUGCUUUUGAUUCCGGUUGAGCAUCAACUGCCGGCAUGGAAAUAUUAAACAACACACUUGCAUAUAUAAAUGCCAAACAAUUAAUUAGCCUAAUGCUAAUAACACGCCUGCAUAUAUAAAUGCCAGCCAAUUAGUUGUCAUAUUAUAGUUAAUUAUGCAUGCAUUAAAAAGAUGAGGAAAAUAAGAUUAAGGAACAAACAUGAGGCCACCAACAGAGUGAUGAAAAAUGUGGAUUUAAGUUUAAGUUCCAUAAUGUUUAUGUAAGCAAAAGUGCAAAACUGAGAGUCUGUGGAUAAUGAUAUUAUUAAAUUUAAUAUGGGUUUGGUUUGCAUAGAUUCAUGAAUUUCUCUAGACAUUAUAUGCGCCGGGGGAGAAUUUAAUCCACUUGACAACUAAAAAAUUCAGAAAUCAAACCUCGAUUUGACAAAUUAGAAAUUUAAAAAUUAAAUUUUUUUCCAUAUGCAUGCUCUCGUUUUUCUCUCUAUCACAGCGGUAUAAUUGGAAUUAUUGUUAUGACAAUUUGAUUCUCUUUUCUUACAUGUUGCAGGAGUCAUGUCCUCCCGUUGAGGUGACAAAAUGACUAUGGAUUGUGCCUGAGUGGAGUACACCACCAGUAUGAUUAUCUCACUCCCUUUCGAGGUUUUGUUGCAGUAAUUUCUCAUCUUUUAUAGGGUACCCUGCUCUUCAUUGCUUCUGUAGAAGUCUUAUGAGCUAAUUGCUUCCGAAUCUUUAAAUUUCUUCAAUGAGGAACCUUUGUUUGGAAAAUUGAUUUUCAUCUGAUCCGAGAAGGGUGCUUUGAAGCAGAGAGCUUACGAAAUGCAGCAUGCAAAAUCAUGACUACAAUGCAGUAGACUAAUUGUUAGCUCACUCUAAGCAAAGGCAACGUUCAUAAAAGAUGAAGAAGAGUUUCUAAUAUUUACCAACAUAACCGAUAGCAAGUGCACAGAAUAGAGUCAUCUGAACAUUCAGUAGCAUAAGAACAACCAAUGUAGCUGCAAAGAUGAGAUGUAAUUACUACUGUGAAGUCGACGAAAGAAUUCCACUAUUUAUCAACAACUAGACUGUAGUAUAAUGGAAAGACCUGCCAAGGAAAGUUUAAAGCAAAACUCAUCCAGAGAAGGCAAGAACAUUAGUAUAGAAGCAGAAGUGCACACAUUCAUAUUUAGGGGUAACGAGAAAUGUAUCAUAAAUCACUUGCUCUAGCACAGUACUAUUUCAUGCUAAUUUUCUUGCUCGUUCUAUGGUUAGGACCCUUUGAGCGGAAAGAAAUCAAAUCACAAUGCUUAUUCUAGCUAGAAACUCCUGAAGUCCAUGCUUGAACCCUGUGUCAAUUGGUCAUAGACUCCAUAUUCUCCCAAAAGUAUGACAUUUUUUUCUUCCACUGAUUAAUGGAACUUAAAACUGUUUUGCCACAAUCUUAGUCAUACAAACCCUUUCUCUUUACAUUUCUUAAGGUCAUCAGACCCAAACCAGAACAUGUUUACUUCCUAGGAGAAAUCUUAAAUAUCUUAAUCAAUACGGAACUGUGUAGUUCAGACAGCAUUCCCUUGGCCAACUAGACGUAACGAUUUGCAAUGUCCUAGUAAGUCUAUGAGUGGAACUAACAGUGCCCUUCCAAUACGGAAAAACAAUCGUCAAAAACAAUUUUUUUACCCCAUCAACCACAUACAGUAUAAGACUGUAGCUGGUUAUCUCAAUAUCGGCUGCCAUUUUGAUUCAAAGAAGAAAUAUUUGAGAACUCACCACAUUGUGCAAUGCGAACCAGAACCUGCCUAAUCACAGGAUGCCGAUCCCAGUUCCAUUUGUCACUACAGAACUUGAAAAAAUCCCAAAGUGCCAAACUUGAUAUCAACCCAACAAGUGCAAGUGGCAUCUGGUAUCUAUAAGAUGGAGACAGAGACAAUGUCACUAGACAGAUGAUACACAGAAAAAAAAACUUGUAAUACAACUAACACACACAAUACUAUGAUUAAAAAAAUAUCUCCAUCAGUUAAAAACUAAACAAUGGAAAGGCGAGACUCUAUGAACUAAUGCCCUGAACCAGCACAAAUACCAAUUCUCCCGGAGUAUUUUAAGUAUUCAUAUAGUUGUUUCAAAGCACAGGAAAAAAAAAAACAACGCAAAAUUGCAAACUCAUAGUGUUGUUAUUUAUCAAUUGAAACCCAGAAAAAAAAAUCUGUAACUUAAUUAUUCAUUUAAGCAGAUUGAAACCCUUACAAACACAGGUAAGCAAAUCAAAAUUAUCAUUAAAAAUCCAAUCAAGGCCACAUAAAUCUAAUCACAUCCAAAAGCAUCCCAAAAUCUCGUUCAAUAUUCAUACACCCACAUACAAAAACCAUUCAAAAAUUUAAUUUUUUUUAACUCAAAAUAAUAACUCAGGAAAGGAAACAAAAUUCUUACAGAGAGCAAGCAAAGAAGAGGAUGAACAAAGAAGCAUAAUUCCUGGCAUAACGUUUAACAUUCUCAUGAACUCUCAACUUAAGGGUGUGUGGGGAAGAUGGAAACGAGUAAGACCCAAGAGCCCCAAUAAACUCACGGGUCCAAGACGGGGUGUUGGCUGAGAAAUCAUCAGUGGUGAGUUUAGCAAAAGGGUUGGCGGUAAGAAGAGAGAUAAAGGUGUAUAAAUAAUGUAAAAGGCUGUGAGUUAUGGUCGUGGCUGUGGCUGUUUCUUUGGUGGAGGCUGUUGUGACGGCGGUGGCCGAUGUCGUGGUGGCGGUGUCAAGGCUUUCGAGGUAGCCGGAGUCGCGUAGCCAUGACUCGAAUGCUGGGUCGGUUACGUUUAGAGAUAACGGGUUGGAUGCGAAUACCUUCCCCAUUGCAAAAAGUUAUCCAAUUUCGGUUGAACGAGGGUCACUAAAUUAUCAAAAUAUUAAUAACUAAUUUGUAACAAAAUUCAUAUGAUAUGAUAUGAUGAUAUAGGCCUUGGUUAGUGGUUUUCUAAACAAUUUAUUAUUAUUAUUAUUCUCUUAAUCAUUCCAAGUUUAAAUUUCGAAGAGGUAGGGGAUAGAAAUAAAUUAUAUUAGGAUUUGUCGAUUUUUCAAUAAAAACUUCAGUAUUAUAUGCUUAAUUGUUUUAAAGAAUUUUCUUUGAGUAUUGUUUUGAGUAAAUAAAUGUGAUUAAUUUAACAUGCUUAAGGAUUUUUAGUAUUUUAAAGACCAUACAAAGUAUAACUUAAUUUUUUAAAUUUAAUAGAUGAGUGUGUAGAACAAUAAAGUAUUUAAAGUAAUUAUUAGAGGAUAAAUAGGCAUAUCCAAUACUUUUAUUUUUUUGAAAAGAAAGUAAAUCUUUCAUAAAUCACAACACCUCAAAUACAACUUGAAUCUCGACUGGAAUAGUUCCUAGCCACAUAGAAGAAGAAUUUCUUCCCAAAGCUAACUUAGCUAGAGAGUGGGCAUAAGCAUUACAUUGACUUGUUAUGUGAUGAACAACUUUUUGAAAAACUUUCAACUGAUUUCGGAUCUCCAGAAUUGUCCAAAAAAUUUCUGUUUUGCUGCUCUUGGUGUUGUUUACAAGUUGAACCACCUCUAAGCAAUCUGACUUAAUGAUCAAGGAAGUUAAAUCUGCUUCUUUUGCCAACUGAAGCCCCCAUUGCACAGUCUCUGCCUCAGCUAAACUGACUGGUCCCUUAAGAUGAAUUUGAUUAAUACCGGCUGCAAUUAUCUUUCCAUUAGAAUCUCUAAUCACUGCUCCCACGCCUGCAAUCUGAUUCUUAGUAUUGAUGGCAACAUCCACAUUAAUUUUGAAAAUAUUUUCAGGGGGAGGGAACCACUUCUGUUGUUUCUCUCCUCUGGGGUGGGCAAUAUGAGAAGGCUUUGUCUUUCUUACUCUUUGAAAAGCUGAGCCUUUACAACAUGAGCAGGGAGGGGACUCCACUUUUGAUGCAUCAUAGAUAGUUUCUUCUCUGCAAAAACUUUGCCCAAAUUUCUUAAGUCUCUUAAAGGCAUCUAUCAGAUCUGCCUUUGCAACACUUUCCACAAAGUAGAAACUUUUCUUCUCAAAAUUAUGCAUCAUAAAAUACAAAACCAAGCAAAAUCAAAUGAACAACCCCAAAUUUGUAAAUCUGGGUAGACAAACAAUAAUAAACCACCACAAAUCUCUAGAUAUGAGUGGAAGAAUACACCACCACAGAUUUGAAAAUAUGAGUGGAAGAACAAAACCACCACAGAUAUGAGGAUCUGAGUGGAGAAAAUAAGUAAAGAAAAUAAAAAAAGAAGGUUUCGCUAGAAAACCAACUCAUAGAGCUGAUUUUUCGGCGAAAGAAGAAGGUGAAAUGUUACUGGAUGUUCAGAGCCUUUUUUUUCUGGAAAGGCAUAUCCAAUACUUUAACUUAUGGUUGGUUGUUUUUUUCACUGAAUUUUCUAAUUUGAAUUGAAUCAAUUACAAGUUGUGACUCGAGCUCAAGAGAGUUGAAGAGAAAGAAAAAGAAAAAUGGAGUCCUUCUCUUGUCCCUUUUAAGUGAAUAUAUUUAGGUUGGGUACCGCAGGGUAGUUUAAUCUUUUCUACUGCAUGGCACCUCUUUACUCAAAUAUCAAAUGAGCUUGCUCUUCACGUGACACCAAAUUUACCAAACUUUAUUUUUUUCCUUGAUUGGCUCGUGUAGGACAGUCGAGGUGUCAUUUGUUUUUUCACCGUUCAACUUCUUAUUUAUUAUUCUUAUACCACAUGUCAGCUUUCAACUAGUCCAUAAAUAUCCUUCAAAUUUUACCUCCAAACAAAUCUAAUAACCUCUUGAAAACAAAAAAUUAAAAAUUUACUCAAUCAUUCAAUGUUAAGGAAAUUGGCCAAGUAAUGGAAUGCUAACAAACCAAAUUAAAUUUCUACAUUUAAUUUUUUUUCUCAUGCAUGCUCUACUAAAAAUAUUUGAUGUGGUGCUAAUGCUCACUGCAAAGUAUAUAUUAGAUGCUCGUGCAUAUACCGUAGGCUAUAGCUAUACAAAAACUUAUACUUGCGUUCUCGAAUGCACACACUUGCACGCAAAAUUCUAUUAUUGAGAGUCGCUGCUUUCUAUAACACGGCCUUUUUCUAGCCUUUCAUUAGACGUGGUUUCAAUUUAUUUAACCAUUAGAGGGACACAUCAGUAGUCACAAAAAUGCCCCUCUAAAUGGCAAUUCUUUUAAUCAUUUUGCUGCCGCUCUUCCUUCCAGUCCCAAGUACAUAGCCCAAACUUCAAUUUUCUCUGGGAAGGUAAUGAAGCGUGGCUUAGUCUCAGUAAUAUGUCUUCCAUAUUCCAUGGAAUGAGCCAAAAGAGGAGUACUUCUAUAGUUAGUAGCAACUAGCAAUCAUAUUGAUUCUUAAAGGAAUUUUCUACAUCAGAUAAAGAAAGAGCAGCAGAGAACAAAGCUGUUAAUCAAUCAACACAUGUAAAGCAGUAUUAGUAUUUCUGCCUUAUUGUAGUGCCUAAGCGGGUAUUAGGAUUUCUCCACAAGAACGUUUACUAAGACAUUCAGCCAAGUGUGAAGUUCAUCAAUAAUUAAUCUUUUCUGGAAAUAAACGGAACAUAUUGAGUGCCAAACUUGCCCAGCCUUUGAAACAGGAUUUCAGAGCAAGCAACAGUGUUGAAGUCAACAAAUUGUUGAAAAAUAAUAAUAAUUAAAAAUUAUAUUUUUAAUUAUUUUAUUCUUAGCAUAGUAAUUCAUUUCUCCUAUAAAUAGUUAAGGAUUUCAUUCAUUUGAAAUCGUCCCAAAAUUGUUAAGCUUAUAAGUUUCUAAGCUUUUGAGGAAAGUGAGAGAAGUGUGUCUGGGGAAUUUAUCUUUCCUGCAGAGUGUGAGAGUACUGGGUAUAUUUGGGUUUCUGGGAAGUGAGAUUCGUUACUCAAAUAUUGUACUCUAUUAAUUGUUAAAUAAACAAUUAUUCUUUCUUGCCUCCGUGGAUGUAGGUUUAAUUACCGAACCACGUAAUUCUUGUGUCCUUUAUUUUUCUAUAAUUAUUUGGUGCGCUUGAUUCCGCAUUCCGCGCACAACAAGUGGUAUCAGAGCCGAAGGUUCUUACUUGGGGGGAUACGGUACUGUUCACGUAUACGGUACUAUUCCCGUAUUCGGCACUGUUCACAUACGGUACUGUUCACGAAUACGGUGGAGACGGCCAUUUAUACUUGGGAGACAGUCUAUUGUAAGUAGUGUAGAUGUAAGUUUAAUUACUGAACCACGUAAAUUCUUGUGUCCUUUAUUUUUCUGUAAUUAUUUAGUGCGCUUGAUUCCGCAUUCCGCGCACAACAAGUGGUAUCAGAGCCGAAGGUUCUUACUUGGGGGGAUACGGUACUGUUCACGUAUACGGUACUAUUCCCGUAUUCGGCACUGUUCACAUACGGUACUGUUCACGAAUACGGUGGAGACGGCCAUUUAUACUUGGGAGACAGUCUAUUGUAAGUAGUGUGUAUUUUUGCAUGUCUAGGAAAGUUCUGUUAACAAAGGCGAUAAGAGUCUAAGGAUUCUGGUUUUUAAUUGGGAUCGAGUUCCUGUCCAGUUUUCUGAGAACUUUCCUGGUGCAUUUAUUCACGCGAAAUUAACAUCAUAGAGACUAUUUUUCAAGUGGAAAUAGUUCGUUGAGAAAAUAGUAGAAGGUGAAACUUCCAGAAUUGGGGAGAGAUCUACCGAGACUAUUUCAGGAGACACUUCAGGUGGGAUGCGAGAUUUGUCAAAUCGCUAUUCAGCACCUGUUAUAGGAGGCCAGAAGAUCGAUGUUGAAAAGUUUGAUGGGAAAAUCAACUUCGGCAUGUGGAGGCGCGAAGUUAUGGAUGCCCUUAUUCAAAUCGAUCUCGAUGUUGUUAUGAAAAAUAAAAGAUGAGUAUCGUCUGAAGCUUUGGUGAGCAAAGAUUGGGCGAUGGAGAAACAAAAGAAGCGUGGUGGAAAGAAUUCUCGAUCCAAAUCGAGAAGCAGAAAUAUAGCUCGAGAUGAGUGUGCCUUUUGUCAUGAAAAGGGCCAUUGGAGGAAAGAUUGUCCAAAGGCUCAAAAGAGAGAUGGGAAGAAACCAGCAGCAGCAAACAUGGCACGGAAAGAUGAGGGCUCUGAUUAUUCACUAAGUAUUACUCCUGCAGCAUACGUGGCUAGUUCGAGCGAGUGGAUACUUGAUACUGGAGCAACUUAUCAUUUGUGUCCUAUUAAGGAAUGAUUUACGGAUUUUCGUAAUUUGGAAUCCGGUGCAGUUGUGAUGGGGAAUGAUCAACCUUAUCGCACAAUGGGGAUAGGAACAAUUCGGCUCAAAAUGUUUGAUGGAAUGAUCAGAGAACUCAAAGAGGUUAGAUUUGUUCCAGCUUUAAAGAAAAAUCUAAUUUCUGUGGGUGCUUUGGAAGCUAAAGGCUACAAGGUUACCAUUGAAGAUGGUAUAAUGAAGUUUACACAUGGGGCUAUGGUGAUUCUGCAAGGGGUUCGGCGUCACAAUCUGUACUAUUUGAAGGGAGGUACAACUGAUGAAGCAAAUGUUGUUGAAGCGCAUAGUGACACCACCAAGCUAUGACAUGUACGACUGGGACAUGCUGGAGAGAAGUCUUUGCAAACUCUGAUGAGACAUGGACUCUUAAAAGGUACCAAAACCUGUAAAUUAAAUUUAUGUAAGCAUUGUGUAGUAGGCAACUGAUGAAGCAAAUGUUGUUAAGGCGCACAGUGACACCACCAAGCUAUGGCAUGUACGACUGGGACAUUAAGAGUCUAAGGAUUCUGGUUUUUAAUUGGGAUCGAGUUCCUGUCCAGUUUUCUGAGAACUUUCCUGGUGCAUUUAUUCACGCGAAAUUAACAUCAUAGAGACUAUUUUUCAAGUGGAAAUAGUUCGUUGAGAAAAUAGUAGAAGGUGAAACUUCCAGAAUUGGGGAGAGAUCUACCGAGACUAUUUCAGGAGACACUUCAGGUGGGAUGCGAGAUUUGUCAAAUCGCUAUUCAGCACCUGUUAUAGGAGGCCAGAAGAUCGAUGUUGAAAAGUUUGAUGGGAAAAUCAACUUCGGCAUGUGGAGGCGCGAAGUUAUGGAUGCCCUUAUUCAAAUCGAUCUCGAUGUUGUUAUGAAAAAUAAAAGACACUUGUAUAAUGAAGAAAUUUAGGAUCGUAUGAAUGAAAAAGCCUGUGGUCAGAUCAGAUCUUGUUUGACCAAGGAGGUGAAAUACUUGGUGAAAGAUGAGGAGUGUGCGGUGACUUUAUGGCGUACAUUGGAGGAGAAGUACCUGGUGAAAAGUCCUGAAAAUCGCCUUCAUGCAAUGAGCCAAGUAUAUGGUUUUCGAAUGAAGCCUAGGGUGUCAAUGCACGAUCAUGUUUCAAGAUUUGAAAAGUUACUUGCUGAUUUGAAGAAUCUUGAUGAAGAUAUUAAGGAUGAAGUCAAGGCUAUAAUUCUGUUACACUCACUACCAGAGGAAUAUAGCCAUUUUGUGACUACUUUGAUAUAUGGGAAGAGUGUGAUCGUCUUUAAAGAUGUUUGCACAACAUUGACUAGCUUAGAGAUUCGGAAUAAUGAUAAAAAUUCUGAACGAGCAUCNNNNNNNNNNNNNNNNNNNNNNNNNNNNNNNNNNNNNNNNNNNNNNNNNNNNNNNNNNNNNNNNNNNNNNNNNNNNNNNNNNNNNNNNNNNNNNNNNNNNNNNNNNNNNNNNNNNNNNNNNNNNNNNNNNNNNNNNNNNNNNNNNNNNNNNNNNNNNNNNNNNNNNNNNNNNNNNNNNNNNNNNNNNNNNNNNNNNNNNNNNNNNNNNNNNNNNNNNNNNNNNNNNNNNNNNNNNNNNNNNNNNNNNNNNNNNNNNNNNNNNNNNNNNNNNNNNNNNNNNNNNNNNNNNNNNNNNNNNNNNNNNNNNNNNNNNNNNNNNNNNNNNNNNNNNNNNNNNNNNNNNNNNNNNNNNNNNNNNNNNNNNNNNNNNNNNNNNNNNNNNNNNNNNNNNNNNNNNNNNNNNNNNNNNNNNNNNNNNNNNNNNNNNNNNNNNNNNNNNNNNNNNNNNNNNNNNNNNNNNNNNNNNNNNNNNNNNNNNNNNNNNNNNNNNNNNNNNNNNNNNNNNNNNNNNNNNNNNNNNNNNNNNNNNNNNNNNNNNNNNNNNNNNNNNNNNNNNNNNNNNNNNNNNNNNNNNNNNNNNNNNNNNNNNNNNNNNNNNNNNNNNNNNNNNNNNNNNNNNNNNNNNNNNNNNNNNNNNNNNNNNNNNNNNNNNNNNNNNNNNAAGUCUUUGCAAACUCUGAUGAGGCAUGGACUCUUAAAAGGUACCAAAACCUGUAAAUUAAAUUUCUGUGAGCAUUGUGUAAUAGGCAAGAAAACAAGGGUUAAGUUUGGUACGGCUAAUCACGAUACUCGUAAGAUCCUUGAAUAUAUUCACAGUGAUGUAUGAGGACCAACUAAGACUGCAUCAAUUGGUGGAAGCCAUUAUUUUGUUACAUUUGUUGAUGAUUUCUCUAGACGUGUGUGGGUGUACACCAUGCGAGGAAAGGAUGAGGUUCUAGAGAUUUUCGUGAAAUGAAAGAAAUUAGUGGAGACUCAAACUGGCAGAAAGAUCAAAGUAGUACGAUAUGAUAAUGGGGGUGAAUAUACUUCUGAUCCAUUCUUGCAAGUAUGCCAGAACGAGGGUAUUAAAAGACAUUUCACGGUGAGACAUACUUCGCAACAGAACAGUGUGGCUGAGCGUAUGAAUCGUACUUUACUGGAGAAGGUACGGUGUAUGUUAUCUAAUACUGGUUUAGAUAAAAAGUUUUGGGUUGAAGCUGUGAGCUACGCAAGUCACUUGGUAAACCGAUUGCCUUCUGCUGCAAUUGGAGGUAAAACUCCUAUGGAAAUGUGGUCUGGAAAGUAUGCACAAGAUUAUGAUUCCCUUCGUGUAUUCGGGUGUCCAGCUUAUUAUCAUGUCAAAGAUGGUAAACUGGAUCCUCGUGUUAGAAAAGCUAUCUUUAUGGGAUUCAAAAGUAGAGUAAAGGGCUUCAAGCUUUGGGAUCUCGAAGACAAAAAGUUUGUGUGUAGCAAAGAUGUCACAUUUGAUGAAGCUUCAAUGAUCAAAGCUUCAAGUUCUCAGCAGGUGGAGAACAAGACCAAAGAGGUAUUGCAGCGGGUGGAGCUUGACGUAACUCCAUAUGUACCAGUUAGUUCUACAUCAAAGAAGAGUUCAACUAUAGAGGUGACACCUAGAGUUGAAGAAGAGGUUGUUUUUUCUGAUGUCCCACAAAAUGAAGAAACAAUUGAUGAUGUAGAUAAUGAUGAUUUUAUAGCAACAAGGAGGCCAAGAAGAGAGAUAAAGAAACCCAGAUGGCUUACUAAAGAUAUGGUGGUAGCCUAUGCACUUCCAGUUAUUGAUGAUGACUUCCCCAACACUUUCGGUGAAGCAUUACGCUGUAGUGAAAGUGAUCAGUGGAAGUUAGCCAUGGAGGAAGAGAUGAAAUCUCUCCAUCAAAAGCAGACUUAGGAACUUGUAAAGUUACCAAAGGGGAAAAGGGCUAUUGGCAAUAAAUGGGUCUACACCAAAAAGCAAGGAUCUCCAAAUCAAACAACUCCUCGAUACAAGGCAAGGCUCGUGGCAAAAGGUUUUGCUCAAAAGGAAGGUAUUGACUACAAUGAAGUUUUCUCUCCAAUUGUAAAACAUACUUUCAUUCGUAUCCUACUUGCCUAAGUUGCAGAAUAUGAGUUAGAGUUGGCUCAAUUGGAUGUUAAGACGGCGUUCUUGCAUGGAGAUUUGGAGGAGGAAAUCUAUAUGAUUCAGCCUUGUGGUUUCAGAGUUACUGGAAAGGAGAAUCAUGUGUGUAGGUUGAUUAAAUCUUUGUACGGACUGAAGCAAUCGCCAAGGCAGUGGUACAAAAGAUUUGAUCAAUUUAUACAAAGGCAGAAAUUCACCAGAAGUGAACACGAUCAUUGUGUUUACUUUAGAAGACUACCAGAUGAAGCUUUCAUCUAUUUGUUACUCUAUGUCGAUGGUAUGCUUAUAGCUUCGAAGAAUAGAGAUGAGAUCGAAAGAUUAAAGAAGCAGCUGGCUUCUGAGUUCGAGAUGAAAGACUUAGGUGAUGCACAGAAAAUACUUGGGAUGGAGAUUCGUAGAGACAAGAAGAAUGGGAGCGUAUGGUUGACUCAAAAGUUUUAUUUGAAGAAAGUGCUAGAAAGAUUCGGUAUGGAUGACAAAAUUAAAUCGAUAUGUACACCUCUAGCUCCUCAUUUCAAAUUAAGCUCUUAUUCAUGUCCUAGAUCUCAAGAGGAGUGCGAUUACAUGGCUCAUGUUCCAUAUGCUAGUGCUGUGGGUAGUCUUAUGUAUGCUAUGGUAUGCACAAGGCCCGAUAUAUCUCAAGCAGUGAGCAUGGUUAGUAGAUACAUGCAUAAUCCGGGUAAAAAUCAAUGGCUUGCGGUAAAGUGGAUUCUCUGAUAUCUAUAUGGGACAGUUGAUGUUGGGUUAUUGUUCAAGAAGGAUUGUGGUCAAUAAUGUGUUGGGUAUUGUGAUUCUGAUUUCGCUAGAGACCUUGACAAGCGAAGAUCAACAAUGGGCUACGUAUUCACAUUGGGUGGAGGUCUGGUUAGCUGGAGGUCGAUUCUACAAUCGACAAUUGCUCUAUCCACUACGGAAGCAGAGUAUAUGGCAGCAACUGAAGCUGUAAAAGAAGCUAUCUGGUUGAAAGGCUUAUUAGGUGAUUUGGGAGUAAUCUAGGAGAACAUUGCGGUCUUCUGUGAUAAUCAAAGUGCGAUAUUCCUUGCGAAGAAUCAAACAUAUCACGCUUGGACGAAGCAUAUAGAUGUGAAAUAUCAUUAUGUGAAAGAGAUUAUCGAGAGCGAUGUUGUGUUGUUGAGAAAGAUCGAUACCAAAGAUAAUCCAUCAGAUAUGUUGACCAAGGUAGUUUCUGGAGUUAAGUUUCAACAUUACUUGAAAUUAAUUCAAAUCCUUCGAUUGUGUUAAGAUAUGUCCUUCGGGAAUUUUGAACUACGGUUGGUUUGAUCCCAAAUUUUAGAUACGUAGGCAGUCAUAGAGAUGCAACCACUUUGGGGAUGAUGGCUUGUUGGUAGUCGACUCAAAUUUGAAAAAUUUUCGCCGAGGUGGAGAUUUGUUGAAGUCAACAAAUUAUUGGUGCAAAUUUGUUGAAGUCAACAAAUUGUUGGUGCACCAACAAUUUGUUGAAAAAUAAUAAUAAUUAAAAAUUAUAUUUUUAAUUAUUUUAUUCUUAGCAUAGUAAUUCAUUUCUCCUAUAAAUAGCUAAGGAUUUCAUUCAUUUGAAAUCAUCCCAAAAUUGUUAAGCUUAUAAGUUUCUAAGCUUUUGAGAGAAGUGAGAGAAGUGUGUCUGGGGAAUUUAUCUUUCCUACAGAGUGUGAGAGUACUGGGUAUAUUUGGGUUUAUAGGAAGUGAGAUUCGUUACUCAAAUAUUGUACUCUAUUAAUUGUUAAAUAAACAAUUAUUCUUUCUUACCUCCGUGGAUGUAGGUUUAAUUACCGAACCACGUAAAUUCUUGUUUCCUUUAUUUUUCUGUAAUUAUUUGGUGUGCUUGAUUCCGCAUUCCGCGCACAACAAAUAGAACAAAGACAGAAAAUACAUUCAACUGAACCCAACACCAGAAAGCAUCACAAAUAUUAUUUAUUUUUUGUACACAAUUAACGAACCAUCGCUGAAGCACAAAUCAAUGAACUCUCAACUGAAAAUCCGAAACGAAACUUCUUAUUUAUGAGUAGACAGCGGAAACAAAGAAACCAAAAAAAAGUCCACCACUGUAGGAUCAGGAUUUGUCUGUGUAGACAGUAGAAGUGAAGAUGGAAAGGAUUCUGGUUUAAAUUGAAGCUCAGGCUGUAGUCAUGAUGUUUUCUGCUCUGAUUUCACCUACACAAGUCAUUAAAGAAAUUGUGAAAAAGAAGAAUUUUAAAUUACAUUUUUUUCCUUAACUAUUAAAACAAAUGAACGCCGAUGUCUGCUAGGCUCAUGGUUGAAUGUGGAAGAGUAUUUAAGUCUCCGCUGCUGCUAAAUAGGGCUUGAUGAUUGGGGUGAGUAUCAGAAACUCUAAAGGGUACUUAAUGUUGAGACAAACUAGAAGAAAACACUCUGUAUAACCAUCUUUAUAUUGAAGAGAAGGGGGAAAAAGUAUAUGAAAUUUGAUAAAUAAUAAAAAGUUGAAGAAAUUAGAUAAAACACGAAACAAAUAUCAAAUUCAAUAAGGGCUAAUCAAAUUCCGUAAGGAUAUAGUUGAAUGCUGCACUGUUCCUUAUCCUCAAAUUCCCUUAGCUUUUGUCUCAGCUCUGGCUGAGGCCACCAGCAAUCGAACUUGUUUAAGCUCUUUACGCACCAGAGCUGUUCAUGCAUUUUUUUCAAGUAAGGACAAGGGUUGAUAAUCAAGCAUUCUAGUUUUGGCAUGGCUCCAAUCCCCAUAGUCCACUCCUCUAGGCAUAGCAUUGAUUUCAGGUGCAAUACCUUGAGAUUUGGAAAACCAUGGGAGCCACAAGUUAGCUUCCUACCUGAAUAUGAAUUUUGCUUCAGUUUGAGCACUUGAAGAAGUGGCAGCUUUUCUAGUGCGGGCAUGGGAUCCUCCAUAAGUUCAGUAUUAGAUAAACUCAAGUGGGUUAGUGUUGGAGGAAAAUGGGAUUCAACAAGGACAAUUUUAGAGAAAGCUGGCAUCUUGCUUUCGUUCACCAACUUCAAUGAUUCGAGGCAGCUUAAUCUGCAAAGACUACCCAUGUGAGCCAACUACCCAUGUUGCGAAGAUGAGCGACUUUUAAGAGGAAUAAAACUGUCUGCCUCUUGAGGGGUAUUUAAGAAAACAGUGUACACCAGAAGAAGGAAUGAAAAAAGAAAAUUAAUCUUCCAUCGUAGAGAAGGAGAGAAAAUUUAUAUUAUUUCAUCUUUUUUUCUUAUUCUGCUUUAGUUAUUUCCUUUAUAGUCAACUAUCUAAUUUACUCCAAAUCUAACUUAAGCAUCAAAGGGUUCUCGCCAGAUCCCCCACAGGCGAGUUGUGACCGGUUUCUGUAGCUUUCAAGUUGCAGAUUUAAAGUCCAUAUCAACAUUCAAAUUUUGUUCGUACUAGUUUUCCACCAAAAACAAAUUCAGCUGUUGAAGUCCUUUUUCAGCAUCAACAUCUUGGACAUUCUUAAGAUAGCAAAAUCAAUAAACUCAACAUUAUGUUACUGGCUAAAGAGUGAAGAAACCAUAAGAAUCCAAUGACAACCAAAGCAGAAGGAUCAAUUUUAAUACAAAAGGGAAUUCCUCUGCUGCAAACGAGGGCUUUGAUGUGAUUGUAAAGAAUUGAGAGUGAGCAGCAGUACAUCCUCUCGCCAUCAACUUCAUUGCACUGCAUUACAAGGCAAAUGUGAAAACGAUCACAACUGCUCUUUAUUCUCUUAGUGCAAUUGGGCUGCUAAUCAACCAAUAGAGAAAGAACUAAAUUUUAAAUAUUAAAUCUUAAAUCUUUAUUCGCUACAACUAAAUUUUAAAUCUUCCACUUUCAGAACUUUACUCGUUAAAUCUCCUCUUCAAUUCUACCUAGUCCUUACUGGAUCCUUAAAGUCACCAAGGAUUAGUGAUGGUUUUUUAUUUUACGAGGGCUGUUGGACAACCCAGAUUGACAAGGGCUAAAAUCUCCAUAUAUUUGGAGGCUAUGAAGAUUAGACAAUAUGCCCCAGUUUCUUUUUGUUGUGUUUAAUCCUCUGUUAGUACCAAGAUCACACACUUAAGACCCUCUUUGACGUAUCAAGAAUCAUUCCCAGAAAACCAAACUCAAAAUUGAAUCAAAGUGCCUACAUCCACUGAAGAACAAGGACCAUUUCACAAUCAUUCCAAGAAUAUAAAACUUUUUCUCUUUAAGUCUCUCUCUUUCUAUGGCUUUGAUGAGACAUGUGAAGAUGACCCAACAACCAUUUCACAAUCAGUUUUAAGAUGAUGAGAUGUGAUCACAGCACAAACAUUUUUCGUCUAACUGAAGUAAUGAGAUUGAACUGUACCACUAUUCAAAAACUAGAAAAAAGAUAAAAUAAAAUAAAAAACAAUAACAUAUAUGCAACUUGAAUGUUGACAAAUUGAAUACACACCGGUGAAUGUGAAAUAGAAAGUAAAACAAUUAAUCAAACUUUUGUACAAAAUAUUAAUCCGAAUAUGACAUAAUCCUUGAAAACAAAGAAACCAAACAAUUUCAGUGAAGACUGGAUUCUUAUUGAAAUUGAAACUUUGGCUGCAGUACAGUUAAGAUAUUUUCCGCUUUGCUUUGACCUACACAUUCAAGUAAUUGAAUAUCUUAUUUUUCAGUUUUUCUUGAUUAUUUCAACAACCAAUACAUAAGGGUUCUACCUCUUCUAUAAAUAAGGGAUUAAUGAUUAGUGUCAGUAUCAGGGAAUAUAAUGGACACUUCCAAGUCUUUGUUGUGAAAAAAAUUAGAAGCAACCACAAUUAGAAUGUAGAAAACACUUUAUGGUAUCAUUAUUAUUUAGGCUGCUACGUACUAUCAAAUCAAUCAUAGAGACUAGAUGUUUACGUGAAAUUAGAUAAAUAAUUAGAGGUUGAAGUUAUUGGAUAAAAAGGAAAAAAACUUACAUCAAAUUCGAUCCAUGCUAAUCAAAUUCCAUAUGGGUAUAGCUGAAUGCCAUACUGCUCCUUAUCCUCGAAUUCCCAUAGCUGUUGUCUCAGCUUGGGCUCAGGCCACCACAACUCCAAUUUGUUUAAGCUCUUUAGGCACCAAAGCUGUUCAGGAAUCCUUUUCAAGUGAGCACAAGGGUUGAUGAUCACGCAUUCUAGUUUCGGCAUGGCUUUAAUCCCCAUAGUCCAUUCCUCUAACCAUAGCAUAGAUUUAAGGUGCAGCACCUUGAGUUUUGGAAAGCCAUCAGAGCUACAAGCCAGCUUUCUACCUAAAUACUUCAGUUUGAGCACCUGAAGAACCGGCAGCUUUUCUAGUGCCGGCAUGGGAUCAUCAAUUAGCUCAAUAUUCGAAAAACUCAAGUGGGUUAGACUUGGAGGAAAUUGGUAUUCAGCAAGGAUGGUAUUGGAUCGCCGUGGCAUCUUGCUUUCAUUCGCCAACUUCAAUGACUCGAGGCAGCUCAAUCUACAGAGACUUUUGGACAACAAAGAUUGAUAAUAACUUAAAUCUCCCCAUAUCCGGAGAUUUUGAAGAUUAGGUAGUCUGCCCAAUAUCUCUUCAGUAGAGCAGCAAGGAUGCAAGGCUAAAAUGAAAUUGAGAUUUUAUAGAGAGCCACAAUAUUUUCCUGGAUGUGCAGGAAGUGUGAUCGCUCCAAAAUUUAGAUACCUCAGUUUGCUCAUCUUCCAAAAUUCAUCUGCUGUAUGAUCUAUGUAGCUAAAGGGCAUCUCUAGGGUGUACAGGUUCAAAAGACUGCUUAAGAACGAUGAAGGCAGGCUUUUGAGGGAGGGGAUAAUACUCUGAGAAAUUUGAACAUUUUACAGAUUUUCUUGCAAUAAGUGGGGUCAAGGUAUUGGCUUCCUGAAGUGAGGUACAACAAAGAAUGGAGGAACGAGUCAAAAUCAUCUAAAAAUGUAAAAUGAUUCAAUUUUCCGUGAGCGGUGAAGCGUUUCACAUUUUCCCGUAAUCUAACUUCCUGAUCCAUGAUUGGGGAAAUGAUAAAUUCCCCCUUGAAAGCCACAGUCAACAAUGCAGGACUGCAACUCCCAGGAAUAGAGCUUGUGUUGAUUCUGCUUAUAUCACUUCUCUUCCCUGCAUCAACAAAGGCUCCAUUGAUUAGUUGUUCCAAGUACUUCUCAGUAAUUGCCUCGUUGUUGUCUGGAAUGAAACCUUCAGCUAUCCACAACUGAUAUAAUUGCUUGGUUCAUAUCUCAAAGUGUACGCGAAACACAGAUAAGUAGAGACAACAAAGUUUCAAGUAAAAAGGUAACAUACAAUAUGCAACGACUUGAAGCCCUCGGGGUUCAUCAAGUGCUUCCUCUAUAUUUUCUUUCAGUGAGAUGCUUCCAUGAUAUAAGAUGUGGAAAGGCCAUCCUUGGUAUGUAACUCUCAAUGGUCCUCCAGUGGGCACAAAAUCAAGCCCAAUGUUCUCUCCAUUUUCGAACUGAAAUGAGGUGACGAUCUCAAUUUGACUGAGUGUUAUCAAUACUCUACUUCCAAUCUGAUUAUCGGGAAGUAUUCUCGAAUAACAUCCCAUACUGAUAUUCUCCACACAUUAUCAAGCACAAUCAAAUACCGCUUGGUCAUUACAUAUUCAUGAAGAAUAAUUUUUUUCAUUUCCGAACUUUCUUUCAUAAUUUCACUUAACCUACGUGAAGGCAUCACAAACUUAAUAAUGUCGUAUAAUAUUUGGUCAGCAUCAUAUAGUAAAGACUCUUCAACCCAAGCGUGACAAUCAAAAUAAUGCUUCACAUAGUUGCUGCUGUAAGCCUCUGCGGCGAAAGCCGUCUUGUCCAAUCCAAUGCUAUCAAGUACGGCCACUACCGAAAGUUGAGGCGGUCCCUCUAUCAAUAGAUCUAAUAACUCCUCCAUUCUAUUAUCUAGACCCACCGUGUCCCUAUCCUUAAAAGAUGAGGAUGCAGGAAAAUUACCGGCUUUUGCUUCAAUCGAUUUGAGCCCAUCAAUGAUUCCGGAGUGGAUGUGCUGAACUUGCUGCAUCCGUUGUUUUAUAUCAAUGAUNNNNAUUUUGUCAAUGAUAGCCUUAAAAUCUUCUAAUUCUGCAAGAGUUUGACCCUCUUUUGCAUUGACUUGCCACAUAAACCAAGCAGUGUUGUAUCCACAGUCCCUCAGCCAAGAAGCAAUGAUUUCAGUCUCAGUGUAAAGGUUCUGAAUAGGUUGUUUAGCAGCAUCGGGCACUGUGAAUUCUUCACCAGCUGGCACCCUUCUCAGUCUCUCUGAAAAUAGUCCAAGGUUGAUGUCCAUAUCUCCUUCACUCUCAGUAGUCAGUAGCCAGCAGCUCUAGCAUGCAAAGAAAAUAAUUAUAAAAAAAAAAGUUAAAAGCUCUCCUUUUACUUCAACAUUAGUCAACAUAAUCAACUGAGGAUGGCACCAAUACCUCAUUCUAUUAAGAAGUUGAAUCAAGUUCAGGUGGUUGUCAAAGUAGAAUAGAUCAAGGCAGAGCAGUACUGGAAAAUGAAUCUUAAAACUAAAUGCUGCAGGUGCCGUGGGGAUACUGAUUGAUAAGAGGAAUUAUAUUGAGAAAUUAUUGAUGUACAAUAAUGAUUUUCUGCACAAAAUCUGAGGUAUAAUGUAUGUGUACAUAAAAUAUUCUUUAUGCAAGAAGAUAAAAGGGUGUCUUAUAAUUUGUGUUUUAUAUAUAUGUGUAUGAAGAAAGUAAAAUAGGCUAUCAAGACUAGUUUCUUUUUUGCCCUAUCAAAAGACUGAAAGAUUAAAAAUAAUUCCACUGGGACCAUAAAACUUGUCUAGAGAGAAAAAGCAUCACCUUAGAAUCUGAUUCAUGUUAAGAAAUUGAGUUUUCUCCCAAGAUCACUACAAAUAAUUUGUCAAGAAAUAAAUUAACAGAAAAAAUUAAACGGAGAAUACAUCAGUCACACAUCACAAGAUUUACAUGGAAAACUCUAAAUCCGGAAGAAAACCACGGCUGUUGUCAAAAGACAACCAGAGAAAAAAAUAUUCAUUAUGUAGAAAAUUAUUACAACCACACUCUCAGAAAUAAUUUCUCUCACCCAAGCCCCAAAUACAUGAUCCCGAAAAAUAUUCUUUAACAAAACAAACCCGUAAUACCCAUAUUGAGGAGCCAAAUACUCCUAUUGAAUGCUCUUAAUUGGAUACAAAAGUGAGGAGGAGAACCCUCCUAUUUAUAGGCAAAAACUUGCAUAAUUAUGCCCACCAAUUUUGAUCAAAAUUGGUGGCUUAGCCAUCAAAUUUGAUGAACAAAUUUUGGUCAACAAAUUUGGUGGUUAAGCCACCAAAUUUGAAGCCACCUUUCUUUUUUUUAAAUCAAUUUUCAACAAUUCAUUGAUGCAUCUAAUGCAUAAUAGUUGCUAUUGUUAGAGAUUUUCUUUUCAAGCGCUCUACAGACUACAACAGAAUACGUUAUAGUUUGAAUCGUUAGAUGAUCAUUCCAAUAGGGCUAAAGGUGUUCAUGGAUUAGAUUCAGAUAUAUAUGAUUCCAUCUGAUUUGGAUUUGGAUGUUGCCAUAUAUAUCCGAUUGGAUAAAAUUUGUGCAUCUGAUGGAUUGGAUCCACUUUAAUUUAAACAAUUUGAUUGGGAUUGCACUACUAUAUAUAUAUAUAGGAAAAUGCUUAACGUCGGGAAGGCUGAGAGAACCCUGAGAGAAACGGCAGCUUGUGCUACCGUUUCCCGCAUGUUCUCUUAGCCCCACCCCCACUUUACUUUAAGCAUUUCCUCUUUUGUUUUUUAUAUUAUUUUAUCUCUCUUUUAUUUUUUUCUUCUUUUAUCUUCUUCUUCUUCUCUUUUUUCUUUCUCUCUCUUUUGCAAUUUCUUCGUUACUUAUCUCCAUCAUCAAUUUCAUCUUCUUCAUCAACAACAUCAUCAUCACAAUUAUCUUUAAAAUUCUAGUUAUACAAUCCAAGAGGGGGGUGAAUUGGAAUUCUAAAAAUUAUUCAAUUUAUAAAGAAAAACUUAAUGCAAAUAUAAACCAAAUUCAAAGUAAUAACAAAUAAGUUGAUCACAAUAUAAAAAGAUAAGGGAAGAGAGAUUCAAACACAGAGAUUUUUACGUGGUUCGACCAACCUCGCCUACGUCCACGCCUCCAAGCUUUCCGGGCUUGAGGAUUCCACUAAGCAAGCAUCCAAGGCUUCAAAUGCUUACACUUGACUUCCAACAUGUCAAUAACCUUUACAACAAGAGAUUAUCCCAAUCUCUUUAAUCCAAGUGUAUCCCAACACUUACAAUCACUCAAAAUAAAAGAUUACAAAUUUGUUUUGCCUCUCACAAUAUUUAAGAUUACAAAAUGAUGCCCAAUAUGUGAAUAGAUGAAGCAAGAAUGUGUUCAAAGCUCUAUGAAGAUUGUAUUCUCGAGUAUAAGCUCAAUAGUCGUGUUGUGAUCAGAUUUGUUUGAAUUUGAAUGAGCUUAUUUAUAGUUGGAGCUGAAAAAACUAGCCGUUACAAACUGUCUGCCCGAAAACGGUUCGCCGUUAAGCAUUAACGGUUAACCGUUUAGGCUGGUCAAAAGUUACCGUUGGGCCAAAUUUCAAAUAAAUGGUUUGCCAUUUAGGAUUACUCUUUCGCCGUUAAAUUUCAGAGACCUGCAAGAUAAACACCAGUUAUCCGUUUACAUUAAACGGUUAAGGAUUUGCAUGAAGUGACUUCUCUGGAUAUUAUCGGUUAACCGUUUGUAAUAAACGGUUCGCCGUUUGUUUUCAGUUACCUGCAAAAUAAUUUAGCCUUAUCCGGUUUUAUUAAACGGUGCCAGAAGAGUGCAACCUUCAAUUCUGGAUUUUAUCGGUUAACCGUUUAAAUAAACGGUUCACCGUUAAAUUUCAAUAGCCUUCCCAGCUUUUUGUGUUUUCCGUUUUUCUUAAUCGGUUAGAGCUUAGGCAAUAUGUUGCUCUCUGGUUUUAAUCGGUUAACCGUUUGAAAGAAAACGGUUCACCGUUUAUUUCCAGAAUCACAUUUUAAACCAGAUUUUGCAGAGAAUCAUUUUCUAAUUUGAAAGACCAUCUUUUAUGAAUAUGAUUAGAAUGAUUAUAAGGCUUUCGUUUAUUAAGGAAUAGCUUCAACAUUUUAAUAAAAAAUCAUUUAAAGUUUGUUAUCAUCAAAAUCAAUAUUAUUAACAUAUUCAUGUUAACAAUCUCCCCCUUUUUGAUGAUGACAAACUUUAUUCAAUAUUUUGCUCCCCCUUAAUAUAUGCUCCCCCUAAAUGUAUGGCCAAAUUAAGAAAUGUCCAAUAAAAAGACUUUUGCUCGAGAAAAUAUUUUUAAAUUCAUUUUAAAUCUCCUCAUAAUUAUCUCCCCCUUCAUCAUCAAAAAGAAAAGAGAGAAAGGAAAAUCGCAAAUCCGUUAAAGAAGUUACCCGAUUUUGGCGAGUGAAAAUUUUGGCAGAGUUUCCCCUUAAAAUGGAUCAAAACCACUAAUACAAAAUGAGAUUAAAACACUUACAAAAUAUAUUAACAACAACUCCAUCAUUCAACAAACCAACAACGCCAUGAACAAACAAACCAACAACUCCAUUAACCAAUAAACCAACAAUUUCAUCAACCAAUAUCAAGUCAUCCAACAUCAAGAACAUCAUAAAAACAUGUCAUCAAAAUCCAUAAAGAGCAUAUAGAGGUAGCAAUGUAUAUAAAAAUAUAAAUGGCAACACGCAAACAACCAAAAUAUGAAAUGUAUGUGCGAAAAUAGAAUUCAGAAACUAUGGAGGUGGAGAAGAUGUGCUCCCCGGAUCAUAGCCAAAAUAGUGGAGAAGAGUGUGCUGUCCAGCGAUAAGCUCAUGCUACUGAUCAAUGCUCUGCUACUGGAAGGUCUGAAAGUCAGAACGUAACUGCUGGUGGUCACGGGAAAAAGUGUCCAACCGAUCAAGAAUCAGCUGCUGGCGCUCCGAAAUUCGGUGAACAUCAGCAAUCAACUGCUGCACAACAUCUGAAGCAUGGGGCUGAACUAGAGCUGGAGGUGGUUCAGAGGCAGAUGGGUGCUCAGGAACAUCAGAUGGCUCAGGAGCAGGAGGCUGCUUGGGAGCUAGAGGCGGCUCGGAAGAGGAGGGAAUAUCAGCACCCAUCGCACGCUCCUCAGAGUCAGAGUCAGCUGAAGGCCAAGGGACAAAACGGCGAUGAGGAGGAUGAGGAUGAGCUCCUAAUCUAAAAUCUGGAAGCUUAUUGGGAGGAUAGACAUCGUUGAGCAUCCGAUCGUCCUCUGGAGCAAUCAAGGUAUCCCGGUUUUUGGAGUUGUUUGUCUUUAUCCACUCACCAUUCUUCCUAGUAAAACCGAUACUAGUCAUGGCCUCAGGACCAAUCCCUCUAGUCUCCAUAUAAGUGGUAUCAAGAAGAGGCACCUCAAAGCGUCGUAGUAUCUUAGUAAUGAUACUGCCAUAUGGAAGCAAGUGGUGGUUAACUGCGGGAGUACUCAACAUGUGCCGCACAAUAACAUAGCCGAGGUUAAUGGGACGGCUUGAAAUGAGACUAUCUAAUAGGCCAACGUCCAACCUCGUAACCUCAUCCGAGUGAACCUUCCUAGGUGUCACUAUGUGCUGUAAAAUAGUGUGAAGAAUGCGAACUUGGAGAGGUAAAAGUUGAGACCGAAAAGGUAGAAGACAGAUCUCAUCAGACAAGUCUCGACGACGACAAAUAUUACGGACUCCAUCAGUAUGAUAAAAACUGUAAAAAAAAAGGGCUUUCCUAGAGGUGUAAAUAUCAUGACCCUCACUAGAGAUACCAAGAAAGUCAGCUAGGUCCGCAUCAUCAAAUUCAAUAGGCACAUCGCCGACUUGAGUAACUAUCCUAUUUAGGCGAGUUGCGAAGAUUUCCAUGUUCGAAUAAAAGACUCGUACUAAGUUGGGAUAAACUCGGUCAUCAAAGUCAAUGGCAGACUCCCAAGGCUGAAGCAUAUCCCUAAUACUUCUACCACAUACAACUAAGGUACUGAAAUCAUCUAUUUCAACAUAAGAAGAGUCAAGUACCUUUCGACCAUUGAAGCGAUUCUCGAACCGCUUGGCCAAGGAAGGCAUGGGGAAAUGAAUUAUUGCGAAUUCAGAGACUUCCCGUAGUGGUAUAGGGUUCCUUGGAGGCACAGAUUUUCGCCUGAGAUUUCUCCGAGGGGGUGCAGCCAUGGUGAAGCACAAAGGAGUUUGAAAAUUACUGGAGAGAUGUGAUGAGAAGAAGAUGAAUCGAUUAUUUGCUUAGGAAUGAGUAAAUGAUGUGAUUUUGAUGCUUAAUUUGGCUGAAGAAGGGGAAGAAUCGGGUUAAAAAGGAAGAAACCCGAGCGGCCGCAGUUAGGGUUUAGAUUUGGGAUUUUUCAAUUUUGGGCUUGAUUUGAGGAUUUGAAUCGGUGAAAGUGUUCUAAAGGUGAUAAGAAAUGAUGUUAUAGGUUUGAUUUGACAAGAAAAACAAGAAAAAUGAAGGUUUGAGGGGAGAGGAGGAUUCGGCUGUGCAACAAUGGCCGAAACGGUGAAGGGGCAACUGGAGAAGGAGAAGAAAAAACCUUUGAACAGUUUUAUAAUCACGAAAAUGGUUAACCGUUUAUUUAAACGGUUAAGGGGUAACUUCCAGAGGCUAAAGAAUGGGAAACGGUUAAAGGUUAAACUCUUAACGGCUGAGGAGUAACUGCUAGCGAGCUCUCUGAUUUUAAACGGUUUACCGAUUGCAACAAACGGUAAAAGGGUUAAAAGGCAGUCAACUUAAUCGAGUUUUUGGAAUAAAAUGGUACACCGUUUAUUGGAAACGGUUAGCCGUUUAUUUUAUCAAUAAUUUCGCACAUUUGAUUUAAUUUUUUGCCAGCAAAUAAUACAUUCCAAGAUCAUUUAAUUGAUCUAAAAAUGUUUCAUGAGCCAUUUUAAUGCAUGAUUCAUGAACAUGUAUUGAAGCAAUUAAUUCAUAUAAUCAAUCAAGAAUUAACAAAGCAAGCACAUCAUUUGAAUAUCAAGCUUAAGCAUUUAAAUCAUCAAUUCACCAAGAAGUCAAUCAAUUCAAUACACUCAGUAGCAUGAAUAGUAACGUUAAUGUGAAAAUUUCAUCAUUCCAAGUUCAUGCUGAAUCUUUGAAAAUUGUUCUUCACCAAGAGGUUUGGUAAAAAUAUCCCCCUUUUGAACAUGAUCUCUCAAGAAAUGAUGUCUUAUUUCUAUAUGCUUGGUUCGAGAGUGUUGAAUAAGAUUCUUUGAAAGAUUUAUAGCAUUAGUAUUAUCACACUUAAUAGGAAUUUGUUCUAGGUUAAUACCAUAGUCUCUAAGUGUUUGUUUCAUUCAAAGAGCUUAUGCACAAUAACUUCCUGCAGCUAUAUAUUCGGCCUCUGUAGUUGAGAGUACAACAGAAUUUUGUUUCUUGCUAAACCAUGAAACAAGUGAGUGACCUAGGAUAUAGCAUGUUCCACUAGUGCUUUUCCUAUCAACGUUAUAACUGGCAAAAUCCGCAUCCGAAUAACAUGUUAAAUCUAUAUGAGUUCCCCUAGGAUACCAAAGGCCAAUAUCUACGGUUCCACUCAAAUAACGGAAAAUUCUUUUAAUAGCAAGCAAAUGAGAUUCCUUGGGACAAGAUUGAAAUCUUGCGUACAAGCAUACACUAAACAUGAUAUCGGGUCUACUUGCAGUUAAAUAAAGUAAAAAUCCGAUCAUACCUCGAUAUAUUUUUAUAUCUACUUCCUUGCCUUUUUCAUCUUUGUCAAGUUUGGUUAUUGUGCUCAUUGGAGUGUUUUUGGUCUUUGAGUCAUCAAUGCUGAAUCUUUUGAGUAGAUCUUUUACAUACUUGGCUUGAUUUAUGAAAAUUCCUUUCUCAUUUUGUUUUAUUUGCAGCCCAAGGAAGUACUUCAACUCUCCCAUUAUACUCAUUUCAAAUUCAUUACUCAUGUAAGAUGAAAAUUCUUUACACAACAAUUCAUUAUUAGAACCAAAAAUAAUAUCAUCAACAUAAAUUUGAACAACAAGUAUGUCUUUUUCCUUAUGUUUGACAAAUAAAAUAGUAUCCGCUUUACCCAUUGAAAAAUCAUUUUCUAAUAAGAAAUUCUUAAGUCUAUCAUACCAUGCUCUAGGUGCUUGUUUUAAGCCAUACAAAGCUUUAAAUUACUUAUAAACAUGAUUUGAAAAUCUUUCAUUUUCAAAACCAGGGGGUUGUUUUACAUACACUUCUUCCAUUAUAAAACCAUUCAAAAAGGCACUUGUCACAUCCAUUUAAAAUAAAAUAAAAUCUUUAUGACAUGCAAAUGCCAACAAUAUUCUAAUUGAUUCUAGUCUAGCUACGGGUGCAAAUAUUUCAUCAAAAUCAAUUCCUUCUUCUUGGUUGUAACCUUGAGCCACUAAUCUAUCUUUAUUCCUUACAACCACACUGGAUUCAUCCAUCUUAUUUCUAAAUAUCCAUUUAGUACCUAUGACGGAUUGAUGUUCCGGUUUAGGAACUAAUUCCCAUACAUUGUUUCUUUCAAAUUGAUUUAACUCCUCUUGCAUUGCCAUAAUCCAAGAUCAUCAUUUUCCGCAUCCGCAAAGGAUUUGGGUUCAAUUUGAGAAAUAAAUGCAUUAUGCUCACAAGUAUUUCUAAGAGAUGAUCUAGUUGUAACACCUCGUGAGGGAUCUCCUAAAAUUACAUCCUUAGGGUGAGAAGAAACAUACCUCCACUCCUUGGGAAGUGAUUGAGAUGCACUUUCAUUGUGUUCUACAUUCAUUUCUUCAUGUUGCUCAUCUUGAUUCCCAUGAGACGUAUCCUUUUGGUUAUCUUUUGAUGAUUCUUUUUUUAAGUCUUCAUCUACAUCAUUAUCAACAACAACUUUCUCCGUAGAUGAGGGGUUAGACUCAUCAAAAGUAACAUGCAUAGAUUCUUCUACAACUAAUGUAUUUUUGUUAUAAACUCUAUAAGCUUUGCUUGAGUUUGAAUAUCCAAGAAAAAUACCAACAUUAGAUUUUGGAUCAAAUUUGCCAAGAUUGUCUUUUGUGUUCAAAAUAAAACAUUUGCAUCCAAACACUUUGAAAUAACCAAUGUUGGGUUUUCUAUGUUUCUAAAGCUCAUAUGGAGUUUUGUUAAGGUUAAGUCUAAUCAACACACGAUUUAAAACAUAACAAGCGGUGUUGACGGCCUCGGCCCAAAAAUACUUAGGCAAUGAAUUUUCAUUCAACAUAGUCCUAGCCAUUUCUUGAAUGGAUCUAUUCUUUCUCUCAACAACUCCAUUUUGUUGUGGAGUUCUAGGUGAUAAAAAUUGAUGCUCAAUGCCAAAAUCAUUACAAAAAAUCUCAAAUGCAUGAUUUUCAAACUCUCCUCCAUGAUCACUCCUAAUGCAUGCAAUACCAUACCCUUUUUCAUUUUGUAUUUUCUUACAAAGCACUUUAAAGGUAUCAAGAGCAUCAUCUUUAUUGGCUAAGAAUAAUACCCAUGUAUAUCUAGAAUAAUCAUCCACUAUCACAAAUGCAUAAUAUUUGUAAUUUAAACUAGCAUAUCUAGAGGGUCCAAAUAAAUCUAUGUGAAGAAGUUGAAGUGGUUUUGAAGUAGAAAUACGAUUUUUAUUUUUGAAAGAUGUUUUGAUUUGUUUUUCAAAUUGACAAGCUUCACAAAUCUUAUCUUUUUGAAAACCAAUUUUUGAAAGACCUUUAACUAAAUCAUUUUUCAAAAUUUUUGAAAUCAAAUCCAUACUUGCAUUUCCUAACCUUCUCUGCCAUAACCAACUAUCAUCAUGCAAUGCCGAAAAACAUUUAUCAAGAGUAGAUGCACAUUCUAUGUCAAUGAUAUAAACAUUACCACAUCUAUUCCCACUUUUCAGUCAUGUGCCUUGAACAACCAUUGUCCAAGUAUCAUUUAUUUUUCUUCUUCUUUAAGCCCUACAAGAAAAAUCUCAAGUUUUAGGUACCCAAAGCUUUUUUGGUCCUUGAGAGUUAGCAACGGUUCCUUUUGGAACCCAAAUACAUUUGACACCAUAAUAUGCAUUCCUUUUCACGGGACAUCUAUAUUUCAUGUGACCAUUUUGAUUACAAUAAUGGCAAACAAUCUUAUGAUCACGUGUGGAGGUAGCUUUAACAAAAUAAUUCUUAUAAUACUUUUGCUUCAAGUUAGGCUUAUACCCAAGUCCUCCUUUAUCAAAAACACAUUUUUGUGAGUUAAGCAUAUUAUCCAACAUCUUUUGCCCAUUUGUAAAUUUCAAAACAAUUUCAUUCAAUUCAUUACUCUUUUUCUUGAGCAUUUCGUUCUCAUUUUUCAACUCAUCUAUGUGUGAUUCUAAAUGCUCAUGUGAGAUGCUAGGUUUCUCAUUUGAUAAUGCAAUUUCAUCAUGCAAUGUUUUGUUCUCUAUUUCUAGGCAUGCAAUUCUUGCAUUUAGAGAUUCAUUUUCAUUUUUAAGCUUUGCCAUUUCCUUUUUAAGACAUACAUUCUUUUUACCAAUCUUCAUCAACUCAUUAUGCAAUUCUUUAAAAGCAUCAUACAAUUCAUCAUUGGUGGGAUCACUUACCUCAUUGAGAUCAUCAUCCCCUCUUAUUGCCAUAAGCACUAGGUUUGAUACUUCUUGCAAUCCUUCUUCAUCACUUGAAUCUUCCUCGCUAUCAUCCCAAGUUGCAACCAAUGCUUUCUUCUUGAGUUUUUUGAUAAGUGGGCACUCCGAUCUUAUAUGGCCAUGCUUCUUGCAUUAAUAGCAUGUGAUUACCUCUUUCUUCUCCCUUUGGUUCUUGAAGUUUCUGAAAUUUCUUCGCUCUACGGUUUUCUUGAAGAAUUUUCUGAACCUGCUUGCUAGCAUGGCUAGCUCUUCAUCAUCCGGUUCACUCUCCCCAUCACUCUCAUAUUUUGAAGAUUUGAGAGUAAUGCUUUUCUUCUUCUCCUCAUGCCCUUUUUCUGCUGCCAAAUCUUCUUCAUAUGAAAUGAGAGAACCAAUUAAAUCAUCGAGGGCUAAAGUAUUUAAAUCUUUGGCCUCUUCAAUAGCGGUUCUUUUUGGUCUCCAUUCUUUUGGAAGUGACCUAAUGAUUUUCUUAACUUUUUUGCUAUUUGAGAAGGUCUUUCCUAAGGCUCUUAGGGUGUUUACUAUGUCCGUAAAUCUCGUAUACACAGAGUACACACUCUCAUUUUAUUCCAUUUGGAAUAACUCAUGUUGUCGAGUGUACCUACUAAUUUUUGACUCUUUCACUUGAUUUGUGCUUCAAGUUUGUGCUAAAUUUCAUUGGCACUUUCACAACUAGAUACUCGAUGAAAUUCUUUUUUAUCAAGUGCACAAAAUAAAGCAUUCAUAGCUUUGGAAUUUAGAGAAGCUUUUCUCUUUUCCAAUUCAUUCCAUUCCGUUGAAGGUUUUGGAAUAUCUUCCCCGAAUUCAUUUUUAGUUAGGGGCAAAAACAGACCAUCGCGUACAACUUCCCAAAUUUCAUAAUCUAAAGCUUGCAAAUAGAUUCUCAUUCUAGUUUUCCAAUAUGCAUAGUCAUUACCGUCAAAGAACGGUGGUCUAGUUGUGGAUUGCCCUUCUCUAAAGGUUGAGUCAUUUAGGGUUGCCAUAGAUCUUUUACUCUAGACGAUUAAGUCCUAAUAAGAGAACAAGGCUCUGAUACCAAAUGAAAUUCUAGUUAUACAACCCAAGAGGGGGGGGUGAAUUGGAAUUCUAAAAAUUAUUCAAUUUAUAAAGAAAAACUUAAUGCAAAUAUAAACCAAAUUCAAAGCAAUAACAAAGAAGUUGAUCACAAUAUAAAAAGAUAAGGGAAGAGAGAUUCAAACACAGAGAUUUUUACGUGGUUCGACCAACCUCGCCUACGUCCACGCCUCCAAGCUUUCCGGGCUUGAGGAUUCCACUAAGCAAGCAUCCAAGGCUUCAAAUGCUUACACUUGACUUCCAACAUGUCAAUAACCUUUACAACAAGAGAUUAUCCCAAUCUCUUUAAUCCAAGUGUAUCCCAACACUUACAAUCACUCAAAAUAAAAGAUUACAAAUUUGUUUUGCCUCUCACAAUAUUUAAGAUUACAAAAUGAUGCCCAAUAUGUGAAUAGAUGAAGCAAGAAUGUGGUCAAAGCUCUAUGAAGAUUGUAUUCUCUAGUAUAAGCUCAAUAGUCGUGUUGUGAUCAGAUUUGUUUGAAUUUGAAUGAGCUUAUUUAUAGUUGGAGCUGAAAAAACUAGCCGUUACAAACUGUUUGCCCGAAAACAGUUCGCCGUUAACCAUUAACGGUUAACCAUUUAGGCUGGUCAAAAGUUACCGUUGGGCCAAAUUUCAAAUAAACGGUUUGCCGUUUAGGAUUACCCUUUCGCUGUUAAAUUCCAGAGACCUGCAAGAUGAACAUCAGUUAUCCGUUUACAUUAAACGGUUAAGGAUUUGCAUGAAGUGACCUCUCUGGAUAUUAUCGGUUAACCGUUUGUAAUAAACGGUUCGCCGUUUGUUUCCAGUAACCUGCAAAACAAUUUAGCCUUAUCCGGUUUUGUUAAAUGGUGCCAGAAGAGUAUAACCUUCAAUUCUGGAUUUUAUCGUUUAACCGUUUAAAUAAACGGUUCAUCGUUAAAUUCCAGUAGCCUUCCCAGCUUUUUGUGUUUUCCAUUUUUCUUAAUCGGUUAGAGCUUAGGCAAUAUGUUGCUCUAUGUUUUUAAUCGAUUAACCAUUUGAAAGAAAACGGUUCACCGUUUAUUUCCAGAAUCACAUUUUAAACCAGAUUUUGCAGAGAAUCAUUUUUUAAUUUGAAAGACCAUCUUUUAUGAAUAUGAUUGGAAUGAUUAUAAGGCUUUCGUUUAUUAAGGGAUAGCUCCAACAUUUUAAUAAAAAACCAUUUAAAGUUUGUUAUCAUCAAAAUCAAUAUUAUUAACAUAUUCAUGUUAACAAUCUUCUUUUUCCUCCUGUUAGUUUUGUUUCUUCUUCUCCAUCAACAUCAAAAUUUGGUUUCAUCUUCUUGUAUAAUUAAAAGGCAAGCACCCCUUUGACUUGGAAUCAAAAAAUCGAAAUCAAUACAGGUGUUGUUCUUCAUUUUUUUGGGUUUUUUAGAACAAAAAAUAGGGGAAAUACACUUGGAAUAAUGGAGAGACCGGACGAAGUGACGAACCGGACUGGUGGUGUCUGUCGUGAUGAGCUGAAGAGAAAGAGGUGGUUGUCGGUAACGAUGCCAUUGAUGAGAGAGAGUGCCGAUGAAAUUGAGGGAAGGGAGAAGAUACAGUAGUUUCUGGUGCUGGAGAGAUGAGUUGACUGCAACAAAAGGCUGACUGCAGCAAAUGUUAUGUUAAAAAGAAAAGAGAAAGUAACGUGGGAGGUGGGGCCAAGAGAACACGCGCGAAGCGGCAGCACAAGCUGUCGUUUCUCUUAGGGUUCUCUCAGCUUUCCCGACGUUUAGCACUACUCGUAUACUGCUGUACGGCCAAGGCGGAUGUACGGUACAGCAGCCCUUUCAAAUUUUUGUCUGAAAUAUUUAUCAGAUCCGAUUUAUUUUAAAUCCGAUCGAUUGUAUUUGAGAUUCAGGUUGGAUUCGAAUGAUUUUUUUUCCUAAUCCAAACAAUUCAAAAUCCAAUCGCACUUAUCCAAAUCUAAAGUGCAAUAUUCAUCUCUUUUUCAUAUAUCCUUUGCUAAAUGAAAGUAAUCAUGAUGUCGGGCCCUUCUUUAAAAAAAUAAUAAAAAUCUUCAAUUUAUAUGCAACUCCUUUCUCAUUAUUACUCUUCUUUGUGUUCGACUAUUGUAGUGCUUUUUCUUCUGAGAUAAACUUUAUAGUCCCUAGUGUGAUUGUUUUUACCUUUUCUUUCUUGAAAGUGGAUAAAACAAAUUGAUCUUUGAUUGAUACUUGAUGAUGUCCUAUUUUCUUUUUAUUUUCAUAUUUCUUUUUUCUAACAUAUUGGGGUACGCAAUUGAAAUAGAGGUUCAUUUGUCACAACAGUCCACGCUAAUAUAGACUAUCAAGUUGUGACAGGAAUUAGUCCAUUUGUGCAGCCACAUGACAACAUUUAAAGUCGUCCCACUGCAAGCAAAUAAAAUUAGGUGCCACGGAUUUAAUGGGACAAUCAAUAAAAUUAUGUCCACUGUUUUUUAUUUACUCAUAGUUUAUAAUUAAGUUUUAGAAUAAAUAUGUGACUAGAUUUUAUUUGACAAAGAAAUUGCGUACACUCGUAUGCAACUGUGACAUCUAACUAUCUCUACCAUUUCCAAACCAGAACUUCUAUGUCAUGUUUAAAACACGAGCAAGGAAUUUUAAGUUGGAGAAAGACUUUAGGUAGAAUAGAGACACAAUAUAUGAAAAAGUAAAUGUAUGCGUUAUGAGAUUUUCGAAGACAAGCAUAUUUGUUGACUCGGUAGUUACAUCGAAGUCUUACUCUUCGAGUUAAGUCAACGGUGCAAAAUUCAUGGAAUCUGCAUUUAAUUGUCUGGCUAAUGGGUUCUCAAAUUGCAAAUGAAAGAUAAAAAGCUUUGGUUACACACACACACCCAAAAAGAGAAAAAAAAAUGCCGCCACUGGGCUAGAUACUGUUUAGGAAAUGAAAUAUGGUGACUAAGAUAAAGGUGUUUGCUCAUACAUUAUCGUGCUCUCCUCAAAGUAAAAGUGAGCAAAUGGUUGAGCAGAUCACCUCGACCAGGAUGUUGUUUGGUGACCUCGAGCACAUCACCUCGACCAGGAUGUUAUUGGUCACCUCGAGCCGAUCAUCUCGACCAGGAUGUUAUUGGUCACCUCGACCAGAAUAAUAUGUGGUGACCUCGAGCACAUCACCUCGACCAGGAUAUUAGUGCUCACCUCGACCAGAAUAAUAUGUGGUGACCUCGAGCACAUCACCUCAACCAGGAUGUUAUUGGUCAACUCGACCAGAAUAAUAUGUGGUGACCUCGAGCACAUUUUCUCGACUAGGAUGUUAUUGGUCACCUCGACUAGGAAGUUACCAGGAAGCACGAUUCAGUCAAAACAUUUUCUCCGAAAUAUUAGGGACCAUAUUCUUAGUGGGCUGAAAAUUAGUAAAAAUUAGUAGUUUUCUUGAGAAUUCUAGGGGAGAGGAUAAAAACCGCUAUAGUUUCCUAUAAAAACCCUAGGAAGGGGAAGGAAAAAAGGGAUUCUUCUAGCUCUCUCUCUCUCUCUAGGCAACUGAAUCCAUUGGACCUUUUUCUCUCUCUACCACUGGAAAAUUUCUCUUUCGCUUAGGAUUUUUUUAAGAUUAAUUAUUCUCAGUUAUUUUCCUUUAAAUUUACUUAAAAGCUUUUUUGUUUAAAGCAAUCAUAAUUAAUUCACAUGAAUUGUGGUAUGGAUUUUUCCAAGUAAGACCCAAAUCGCUGACUUGAGCAUCGGAGGGUUCUUGCCAGAAAAACUUUCGGCACUUUCUGACUGUUGGUUGUGCUCACAGGCUCACAGGUUAUCUGCUCAUGAGUUCUCUGCUCAUGGAUCGUCUGCUCAUGGAUCAUCUGCUCAUGAAUUGUCUGCUCAUGGGUUGUCUGCUCAUGGAUUGUCUGCUCAUGGGUUGUCUGCUCAUGGAUCGUCUAUCCAUAGAUUAUUUGCUCAUGGAUUGUCUGCUCAUAGAAUAUCUGCUCAUAGAAAUUCUGCUCAUGGUGUUAACUAAUCAGCAGCUUCCCACCAAACAAAUUUAAUGCUGAUGCAGGGAUUUGAGAUUCGAUCCACUCAUCCGGAUUUCGGCAUCAACAGAUACAAUUAGCUGAAAUGAGGAUAUUAAAAAGAACACGUGCUCUAUUUAAUUGGUAGAGUAUUAAUGGAGCUUGUGUAAUUGUACAUUUACUGUUUUUUAAGGUUAUUUUUCAUAUAGUAGAAAGAUCAUAAAAUGUUUUUAUUGAAUUACACUCAUUUAAUGUAUGUAUGAUAUAUAUGCGUAUGAAUUAAAUAUAAAUAUAGAUAAAGGACAGUGUAUGCCAGCAAGAAAACUUUUUCUCUAGAUUGAAAAUGAUUUAAAAGAACCAUUUUUCUCCCACUAAUAUCUUCAAAAUCAUUAUUGUUAAUAACAGAACCCAAAAAAUAAUUAAAUAAUCUCUUGUUUAAUAUGUUGCAUGCUUGCAGAAAAUUGCGGAUGAUUGAACCAAUAAUUCAACCUUUACUCCAUGAGCUUUAAACUAAUAAUCUGUCAUCAGUUAUUGUCUAAAUAAAGAAAUUUAUGAAUCGGUAUAAAAUGGGGUCCCAAAUCCUGACCUACAUUGAAAAUUAGGAUAUGAAAUUUGUAACAAAUCUUAUAUAGGGUUUGUAUCUCGAUUGUUAUCUGGAUAAUUUUGCCAGCCUAGGUUCACGUAUUAACAGUUAGAGCGGGAGAUCCCAAAAAAGGGUAUCUUGAAUUUAACCAAAUUCAUUAUAAGGAUAUAUGGACCCAUUUGAUUGCCUAAGGGAUCUCGAAUGAAAUUUUCAAACAUCUCAAAUCCUGCCUUGAUUAUUAAAUUGGAAGAAAACUAGAUCUUGAAUCUCAACUCGAAUAAUAAAUCAGAAUGAGAAAUUUUUAUCAAAUCUUGUAUCAUUUAGGACGGACUCCCAAAUUCCAAUCGAGAUUUGAGGAAUUUUGUAUUAGCAACUAGAGCCGAAGAUCCCAAAAAAUAUCUUGAAAUUAACCAAAUUCACUAUAAGGUAUGAACUCAUUUGAUUGCACCCUUAAAAAGUAUUACAGAUGACACCACACAAUCAUAUUAUUAAAACAAACCAAACCACACAUAUCCAGGCUUAGCAUGUAUAUAUAAGAGCACAAAAAAUAACUUCUUUCUCGUUAUAAAGGAGAACAGAAUCAGCUAGAAGCAGGGGAAUCAAAGUACAACAGAAAAUAAAAGAAAAAAAAUGAUACACAUUCAUUUGUUCAGCAAAAACCAAUGACUAUAAGGUGAGCAUGAGGCAUCAACCUUUAAAAUUGGACAGAAUAAGCUAAUUCCUUAAAAUUCACAUGCUAAUACUAUUUAUAAUUUCUAAGUCCAAAGUUUAAAAUAAUAGGUAGUAUUUGUUCAAAACAAGCAUUUAUAAUUAUUAUUCGGAUGAUUAUUUCAAGAAUCUAAGAUAAUAACAAUCCAGUAUUCAAGUUAUUUAUGAAUGAUUAGGGCUUAAAAUCUCCAUAAAAUUGGAGAUUCUGAAGAUUAGGCAAUAUGUCCCAGUUUCUAUUUCUUGUAUUUAGUCCUCUAAUGUAUCAACAAUCAAUGCUAGAAACCCAAUCCCCGAAAUUGAAUUAAAAAAAUAUAGAAAACAUAGAGCAAAUCAACAGUAGAUUCAGCAGCGAUGAUGCCUACAUCCAAACUUCUCUUCUAAUGGAAGUGAUGCAGAAUUCCCUUAAGAUAAUUAUGACCAUUAACAUGUAUUACACAUGGUACGACCAAACCACACACGUCCACACUGAACUGGAGUUUCAAGCACAUUACGAGAAUGAAGACACACGAAUAGAAUAUACACAGUGAAUCCAAAAACUUGACAUGAUUGCUUGUAGCAGAUCCUUGAAAACAAAGAAACCCAACAAUGUCCUGCAUCAAUCCUGAGGACUCAAUAAUGUGUAGACAACAGAAGUGAAUAUUGAAAGGAUCAAGGCCGGAUUCUAGUUGAAAUUGAAACUUUUGCUGCACUACAGUUGACAAAUUUCCCGGUCUGAUUUCACCUGCGCAAGUAAUUUAAGAUCUGAAAUUAUAGUUUUUCCUCACUGUUCAACGAUCAAUACACAAGGGUUCUGAAAUUAUAGUUUUUCCUGACUGUUCAACAAUCAAUACACAAGGGAAAAUGGUCGGGGUCAACUUCAGGAUCUGUGAUGAACACUUCAUCUCUAAUGUUGAGACAAAAAUUAGAAGCAACCACAAUUAGAAAACACUUUAUAGCAUUAGGAAGCUGCGUACUAUCAAAUAUAUUGAGGAAAAGAAAAAACAUAUGUAUGAAAUUAGAUUAAUAAUUAAAGGUUGAUGAUAUUGCAUAAAAUGAAAAACUUACAUCUAAUUAAAUCCAUGCGAAUCAAAUUCCAUAAGGAUAUACUUGAUUGUCAUACUGCGCCUUAUCCUCAAAGUCUCGUAGCUUUUGUCUCAGCUUCGGCUAAGGCCUCGAAUUUGUUUAAGCUCUUUAUGCACCAAAGCUAUUCAGGAAUCUUUUUCCAGUAAGCACAAGUAUUGAGAAUCAAGCAUUCUAGUUUUGGCCUGGCUCCAAGCCUCAUGGUCCACUCCUCUAGCCAUGGCAUUGAAUUCAGGUGCACUAUCUUGAGCUUUGGGAAACCAUCAGACCUACAAGUCAGCUAUCGACCUGAAUAUGAGUUUUGCUUCAGUUUGAGCACUUGAAGAAGUGGCAACUUUUCUAGUGUUCAAGUGCAGGCAUGGGAUCAUCCAUUUGUUCAGUAUUAGAGAAACUCAAGUGGAUUAGACUUUGACGAAGUAGGUAUUUGGCACAGACGAUUUUGGAGAGCCUUGGCAUCUUGCUUUCAUUCACCAUCUUCAAUGACUAGAUGCAUGAGUUUAUUCAUCUUCCAAAAUUCAUCUACAGUGUAUGAUCUAUUUAGCUAAAGGGCAUGGCUAUGGGGUACAGAUUCAGAGAUUUCUUAAUAAUGAUGAAGCCAGGCUUUUGAGGGAAGGGAUAUUCAGCUUCAAAUAUCAAAAGAAAUAAAGUUUCAAUUUUGGAUGGAAAUUGGCUGAGAACAAGAGAUCCCAAGUCCAUUACUCAACCGAUUUUCACCCAAUCUAUGGGGUCAAGGUGGUCGCUUUCUGAAGUACAACAAAGAAUGCAGGUGCGAGUCACAAUCAUCUAAGUAAGCAAAAUCACUCUGUUUUUAAAAAACGUACACACGUUUGACAUUUUUUCGCAAUUUACCUUUUUGAUCCAGGAUAGGGGAAAAGGUAAAUUUCGCUUUGAGAGCCAUUUGCAACAAUGAAGCCCAGCAACGACUACGAAUAGGGCAUGUGUUGAUUCUACCUCCAUCGCUUCUCUUCUUUGCAUCAACAAAGACUCUAUUCAUUAGUUGUUCCAAGUACUUCUCGGCAAUUGCCUCGCUAUUGUCUGGAAUGAAACCUUCAGAUAUCCACAACUGAUAUAACUGCCUGGUGGAUGUCUCUAGGUGUACAGGAAACAUAGAUAAGUAAGGAAAACAAAGUUUCAAGCAAAAAGGUAAACAACUCUCAAUGGUCCUCUAGUAGGCACUAAAUCAAGCCAAAUAUUCUGUCCACUUUUAAACUGAAAUGAGGUGACGAUAUGAAUUUCAGUGAGUGUUAUUAGUACUCCACUUCCAUUCUGAUUAUCCGGAAGUAUUUCUUGAAUAACAUCCCACACUUCAAUGCUUCACACAUCAUCAACCACAAUCAAAUACCGCUUGAUCAUUAGAUAUUCAUGAAGAAAUUUGUUUUCAUUUCAUAAUUUUUAUCCUUUAUUACACUCAACCUAGAUGAAGGCAUUAGAAACUUAAUAAUGAUAUCUAAUAUUUGGUCAUCAUCACCAUCAUAGCUGUAAGGCUUUGGAACCUAAGCGUGACAAUUAAAAUAAUGCUUCACAUCACUGCUGCAUUAAGCCUCUGCAGCAAAAGCCACAUUGCCCAACCCAACGCUAUCAAGAUGGCCACCACUGAAAGCUGAGGUGGCCCCUCUAUUAAUAUAUCUAACAACUCCUCCAUUUUGUCUUCUAGACCCACCGUGCCCCUAUGUCCUUGUUGAGUGAUGCUGUUGAGAAUGUGUCAAUGACCUUCUCAGAUUCAUAUGUAAAGCAAUUGAUUUCUGGUGCCAAGGUCUGGGUUGUCAAUUUCAUCUUCUCCUAUUUUUUUGCAGCAGAAGCUAGGACAUAUCAUAUUCAAAGUCCCUCAGCCAAGGAGUAACGAUUUCAACCUCGGCACAAAGGUUUUGAAUAGGUUGUUUUGCAGCAUCAGGCAAUGUGACUUCUUCGCUAGCUAACGUCCUUCUCAGCCUCUCUGAAAAUAGUCUGAAGUUGAUGCCCAUAUCUCCUCAAUCCAAAAAUUAGUGCUGGCUCCCAUGCCUCCCUUCUCUUAGCUAGUACUCCACCCAAGCAGUUGAAUCAAGAUUGCUGACUCUCAAAUUAGAACAGAUCAAGGCAGAGCAGUGCGGGAAAUGAAUCUCACGAUACUCAGUCUUCCAUAUGUUGCAAAAAGAAUAAAGCAAAGAGAAAUAACUACAACAUCAUCAAGUAUCAAUCAAGACCAAUUUGUUUUAUACAUCCACUGUCAAUAAAGAAAGGGUGAAAACAAUUCCACUGGGACCAUAAAGCUUAUCUAAAAAGAAAAGAACAGAGUAAGCACAAGAGCAUUAUCAAUUAUUUAACAAUUUAAGCUGUGGAAAAAUAGAAAAUCAUGCCUGCCACUUAUUAAAGAAGCAAUAACAUAGCAACGUCAUAAAAGCAAUGGAUACAAUCAUUGCUAUAUGUUGAAAUUAACUAACUUCACAAUCUGGACAUGAACUCAUUUGAUUGCAACCAUUAAGUAGACUUAUAGAUCACAUGACACAUGAUCUUAUAAAUGGACUAAACAUAACAAAACACACAUCUCCAUGUCCAGGCUUUGGUGGCUACAUAAUUACAAAACAGCAUGUAAGUAUAUAAAUACAGAAAAAAAUUAUAAGACACAAAAUUUGUUCACAAAGUAAGAAAUUACCUCUUGUUGAUGAGUCCAGAAAUGACCGAGGUGUAGUUUUAAUUGAGCUGACGAUCUUCCUCCACAUACAUCACCAUUUUUUCUUUUUUGGACGCAAUGAGACAUGACUUGGCAUCAUUGUCAUUGAAAUACACCAGAUAUUUCUAGAAUGCCUGCGAAUCUAAUUUAUUUCCAAACACACUUGAGAAUUGGGAUUGUCAAUAAAAGAUGAACAUUGAUCAUUGAUGUGUAGGUUUCAAGUAUUUUGUGUAUGAUGCGGAGAUAAAUUAGAACUCUACAUGACCAUCUGAAGAAUUUUUUCUCAAAUGAAUCUUUUGAGUUGGAAUUUAGACAGAUUCACUAUCUAAGUAUCUUGAAGCAGUGGAGAAUACAUAUGACAAAGGUUGAAGUAACUAAUUUUAUGAGCAGGAACUGAAAUGAUUUUGGCAUGAGAUUACAACAGGUGAUUAACAUAUAUGCUUCGUCUAAGGCAGCCUCAUUUUAAGUGUUAUUUCAUCAGGUCAACAAUCUUCAGGAGAAAAAUGAAUCAAGGGCAAUAAAGGAGGUGGUUGAUGCUAGUGAUUCCUGAGUGUAGCAGCAAAAAUAAAACUAAAUUGUAGAUUUGCUGUAGUCUUACAAUAGACUCACCCUGUCCUUGUCCUUGUCCUUGUCCUUCUUCUUAUACUGAUGAAUAUGAGGCCGAUGAUAUUUCUGUGAAUAAAGAAAAUGAUAAUAGAAAUGGAACCAUUGGGCAAAUGGUACUGCUGUACCGUACAUCCGCCUUGGCCGUACAGCAGCAUCAGUAUGAUAAAAACUGUAAAAAAAAAGGGCUUUCCUAGAGGUGUAAAUAUCAUGACCCUCACUAGAGAUACCAAGAAAGUCAGCUAGGUCCGCAUCAUCAAAUUCAAUAGGCACAUCGCCGACUUGAGUAACUAUCCUAUUUAGGCGAGUUGCGAAGAUUUCCAUGUUCGAAUAAAAGACUCGUACUAAGUUGGGAUAAACUCGGUCAUCAAAGUCAAUGGCAGACUCCCAAGGCUGAAGCAUAUCCCUAAUACUUCUACCACAUACAACUAAGGUACUGAAAUCAUCUAUUUCAACAUAAGAAGAGUCAAGUACCUUUCGACCAUUGAAGCGAUUCUCGAACCGCUUGGCCAAGGAAGGCAUGGCAAAACUUAAUUAAGGCAAAUGGGUAUUCAACCACGUUGAGUUUUAUUCAACGUGGGUAUUAAUGGAUGAAUGAUUUUGGUAGAAUUAAAGUUUUUUUUUUCCGUUUUUGUUUCAUUUGUCAACUCCAUUUAAUCAAUUAAUCUCAAUGGCUAUAAGGAUCAUUUUUAAUGCAAACGGGUAUUUCUUUGCUGCAAAAGACGGCUUUGGUGUGAUUGUAAGGAAUUGAGAGUGAGCAGCACAUCCUGCGUGCCAUCAACUUCUUUGCACUACAGGCACCCUCUGCAUGCUGUGAAGGGAAAAAUGUGAAAACCAUUGCAUGCUGUGGGGCUGCUAAUCAAUCAAUAGAGAAAGAAUUCAGUAAUCAAUUCUAGCAAAGCUUCCAAAACGUGCAGCACUAUAGAUUAAAUCUUCCACUUUCAGAACUUUACUCAUUAAUCUUCUGCUCCAAAUCACCAAUGAUUAGUGCUGGUUUUUUAUUUUACAAGGGCUUAAUCUCCAUAUAUCUGAAGACUAUGAAGAUUAGGCAAUAUGCCCCAAUUUCUUUUUGUUGUGUUUAAUCCUCUGACAGUACCAAGAUCAAACACCUUAGACCAUCUUUGAUUUGAUGUAUAAAGACUCGUUCUCCGAAAUCCAAACUAAAAAUUGAAUCAAAGUGCCUAAAUCCAGUGAAGACAAGGAUACAAGCUUUCAAGCUUUCACUAUUUCACAAAUCAAGGUUACCAGGAUGUAGAGCUUGUUACAGAGAACAAGAAUAUACAACUUUCUACUUUAACUCUCUCUCUCUCUCUCUCUCUCUCUCUCCAUAGCUUUGAUGAGAUCUGAGAAGAUGACCCAUCAACCAGCCUUAUAAACUAUGAUAAGGCCAUCUCUAACAAUCCCAGAAUUUUCCUGCACUUUUUUAACUAACCCCAACUGACUUUUGACCAGCAUUCUCGCCCUUAUAAUGACUGACACGUCGGUGAAAUUCCAAAAAACCGAACAACAAUGUCGUUCUGCCAGUGUUGAGAUGAUGAGAUGAGAUCAAAGCACAAAUACUUUUCUUCUAACUGAAGUACUAAGCUUGAAGUUGAACUGUACCGCUACUUAAAAACUAGAGAAAGAAAUAAAAUAAAAAUAAAAACAUAACAUAUAUCAAUUUGAAUGUUGACAAAUUGAAUACACACCAGUGAAACUGAAAAUAGAAAGUAAAACAAUUAAUCAGACUUUUGUACAAUAUAUUAAUCUGAACAUGACAUUAUUACUUUUAGCAUGCAAAUCCUUGACAAUUUGAAUGUUGACAAAUUGAAUACACACUAACUGAAGUACUAAGCUUGAAGUUGAACUGUACCGCUACUUAAAAACUAGAGAAAGAAAUAAAAUAAAAAUAAAAACAUAACAUAUAUCAAUUUGAAUGUUGACAAAUUGAAUACACACCAGUGAAACUGAAAAUAGAAAGUAAAACAAUUAAUCAGACUUUUGUACAAUAUAUUAAUCUGAACAUGACAUUAUUACUUUUAGCAUGCAAAUCCUUGAAAACAAAGAAACCAAACAACGUGUAGACAACUCAGCAGAAGUGAACACUGAAAGGAUGAAGGCUGGAUUCUGGUUGAAAUUGAAACUUUGGCUGCAGUACAGUUAAGAUAUUUUCCGCUGUGCUUUUACCUGCACAUACAACUGAUUGAAGAUCUUAUCAUACAGUUUUUAAUGAAUGGUGUCAGCAUCAGGAACUGUGAUGGACACUUCAAGUUUAUGUUGAGACAAAAAUUAGAAGCAACCACAAUUAGAAUGUAGAAAACACUUUAUAUUAUGAUUAUAGUUUAGGCAGCUGCAUACUAUCAAAUCUUUUGUGGAGAAAAAAAAAACUUUUAUAUGAAAUUAGAUCGAUAAUUAAAGGUUGAAGUUAUUGGGGAAGAAGAAAAAACUUACAUCAAACUCAAUCAGGGCUAAUCAAAUUCCGUAAGGAUAAAUCUGAACGCCAUACUGCUCCUUAUCCUUGAAUUCCCGUAGCUUUUGUCUCAGCUCUGGCUGAGGCCACCAGCAAUCGAAUUUGUUUAAGCUCUUUAUGCACCAGAGCUAUUCAGGAACCCUUUUUAAGUAAGCACAAGGGUUGAUAAGCACGCAUUCUAGUUUUGGCAUGGCCCCAGUCCCCAUAGUCCACUCCUCUAGCCAUAGCAUUGAUUUCAUGUGCAAUACCUUAAGCCUUGGAAAACCAUCAGAACCACAAGUCAGCUUUCUACCUGAAUACGAGUUUUGCUUCAGUUUGAGCACUUGAAGAAGCGGGAGCUUUUCUAGUGUCGGCAUGGGAUCAUCCAUUAGGUUAGUAUUAGAAAAACUCAAGUGGGUUAGACUAUGAGGAAAUAGGUAUUCAGCAAGGAUGAUUUUGGAGAGCCGUGGCAUCUUGCUUUCGUUCACCAACUUCAAUGACUCGAGGCAGCUCAAUCUGCAAAUACUUUGGGACAACAAAAAUUGAUAAUAACUUAAAUCUCCCCAUAUGCAGAGAUUUCGAAGACUAGGCAGUCUGCCCAAUAUAUCUUCAGUACAGCAGCAAGGAUGCAAGGCCGAAAUGAAAUUGACAUUUUCCAGAGAGCCGCAAUAUUUUCCUGGACGUGCAGGAAGUAUGAUUGAGCCAAAAUUUAGAUGCCUGAGUUUGUUCAUCUUCCAAAACUCAUCUGCUGUAUGAUCUAUGUCGCUAAAAAGCAUAUUGAGUGUGUACAUGUUCGAAAGAUAGUUGAAAAAUGAUGAAGGAAGGCUUUUCAGGGAAGGGAUAUUCAACUUCAAAUAUCUUAAAAGAGAUAAAUUUUCAAUAUUGGACGGAUAUUGGUUGAGAACAAGGGAUCCUAAGUCUAAUACUCUGAGAAGUUUGUACAUUUCACAAAUUUUCUGCCAAUCUAUGGGGUCAAAGUGGUCGCUUUCUGAAGUGAAGUACAACAAGGAAUGCAGGUGCGGGUAAUAAUCAUCUAAGUAAGCAAAAUCGCUCUGUUGUUCUAGAGCACAGAAACGUUUGACAUUUUUUCGUGAUUCACCUUUUGCAUCCAGGGUAGGGGAAAAGACAAAUUCAGCAUUCAAAGCCACUACAAGCAAUGAAGGCCAACAACGACUACGGAUAGAGCAUGUGUUGAUUGUGCCUCCAGCUCUUCUCUUCUUUACUUCAACAAAGCCUCUAUUGAUUAGUUGUUCUAAGUACUUCUCAGCAGUUGCCUCGCUGUUGUCUGGAAUGAAACCUUCAACUAUCCACAACUGAUAUAACUGCCUGGUGGAUAUCUCUAGGUGUGCGGGAAACACAGGUAAGUAAAGACAACAAAGUUUCAAAGGAAAAGGUAACAUGCAAUGUGCGACGGAUUGAAGGAAAAGGGGCUUAUCAAUUGCUUCCCUUUUAUUUUCUUCUAAUGAGAUGCUUCCAUGGUAUAGGAUGUGGAAAGGCCAUCCUUGGUAUGUCACUCGCAAUGGUCCUCCAGUUGGCACUAAAUCAAGCUGAAUAUUCUGUCAGUUUUCGAACUGAAAUAAGAUGACGAUAUCAAUUUUAGCGAGCGUUAUUAGUACUCUAUGUUGAUGCUGAAAUCUGCUCGCCCUUUGCCCGACAAGAUUUUUACACUAACGUUCACGUUAUCAAUAAUGAAGAUAUCAAUUCCUUCUUACUUCAACGAUUGCUCCAGCCACUGAAGUUGGAGUUGUCCCUUUUUUUCUCACUAAGCCUGCGUUCACAAAAGUGGAUCAGAGACACCGGUGGUUUUGCCGGCGCAAACCCUCUGAUGCCUAAGUUAGCUAAAGGUGUUUAUGGGAAAACGGUGCAAUUAGGGUUCAAAUAAUUUCUUAGAAUUAGCUCACUCUCGGUAUUAAAAAGCGUCUGGAUACAAUUUGGCAGAGUUUUCCCUUCUCUCAUUUUUUCUUCCCUUUUCUUCAUUGAUUUCUUCUUCUUUUAUAGCCGCUGUCCCACGUUCCUGUUUAGCCUUAAUCCCUCCUUUUUCGGGUGGUGGCAGCCCCUCAUGGGACUCUAACUGCUACAUUAUGGGCAAACGUGGGAUCUCGCGUCUCCCGCAACGGUUCUGGAAAAAGCGCAACUACCGUGAUUCUGUGGGAUCGUGUUCCCACUUUUUCGGGGGAUGGGUAUCGGCUCGGUAUAUACCUCUGGUCAGUAUACUCCCCUGGUUGGUACUCGUCUCUAGUCUGCUCAUAUUUGUCCCCGUGUUCUGCUCGUACCAUUUGGCUGAGAUGAUCCAUGCCGGGGCAGAAAUAGUAGCAUGGCCGACCUGAUGCUUUUAUUUACUUAACACCAGUCCCCCAGUUUAUGGUCUUGCAAGUGAAAUGAAUUAAGAAUAGAAACUGAUAGUCAAAUGUUACCAACCCGGGGGCUUCUCAUCUGGUCUUCUAUUUACCGGGACGGACCUGAGGUACCAUUUUUCUUCUGGGGAGGUUCCGACCUGAGCAUGGGCCUUAAUGAGCAUAUCCAUUGCAUAUCUGGGCUUGCAUCUAGCCUGGCCUCUUGUAACGGUUAGUGACGUGGCAUCUCCAGACUGUUCGUAUUUGAAAUUUGAAACGACGGGCUAUUCGUCCUCGAUAUACGGUAAGUGAGCUGGCAUCUUUAUCACUUAAAUGCUUUCAUUUCCUCCUUUUCGUUUCAAAUCCCUAGACUUACAUCAUCAUCGUUUUGUUAUUCGUCUCUCCGUCGUUAACCUACCCCCUCUUUGAACUUUACUUACACUUCCCGUGUUCGGAGUAUCUACUUGCUGGGUUUUUUCUCUGUCACGGCAGCGCUAUCAGGGCCAGUUCAUUCCAGGUAUUGCUUUUAAUCUCUUCCCUGGUUGUUGUUGAUUGGGUUCUGUGUUGCCCCCUUUUGUAUCCGUAUACUUGAGUUUUCUUUGUUUUCUUUUGGGAUUCUGAUAUGUCAAAUCGGAAAAGGAAGUUAAUUGUUGAUGAGAGUGAUGAAGAAACAGGGGAUUCAGACCUUAACGUGUCAAUACCCACCGAUUUCUUAGGUCCCUCCAGUAGUGUAGGUCCUUCCCAUGGCAGGGAUAUCCUUGAAUACCCACGCCCCCUGACCAUUUCGCCUUCCCCUGAAUUAGAGCUUGUGGGGAAUAGAGGUGGACCCACAUCCAGCUCUGGUGAAGAUCACAGUUAUGGUGGGGUUGGGGUCCCUGAAGAAGUGGGUGAUGGCGAGAGAAGCAGUUCCGAGCCGAGCGGACCCUCUAGGAAAAGGAACUUUGGCCACAUAGUGGAGGCAGAUUCUUACCCUAUUGAUUUCAUAGCUUGUGCCACCACCCCCACUGAUCUAUUAAAGCUUAGGAACCUCUACAACAUUCCUGAGGAGGUUCUCCUUGUAGUUCCUGGGAAAGGUGAUGUACCUAGUCGGCCUCCGAAGGGGUACGUGACGAUGCACUUGGAGAGUUUCAGACUAGGAGCUCGGCUGCCCCUUCAACGUUAUUUUGCCAAGAUAUUGGGUGGUAUGCACCUGGCCCCAGGUCAGCUACACCUAAACGGGUGGAGGGUUCUCUCGGCUAUGUUUGUGCUGUGGGAGAGGUGCGGGUCGGAGGAGCCUUCCCUUGUUGAAGUGAAGCAUCUGUACCAGCUGCGAAGCAGCCCAAAGGAGGCGGGCUGGUACUACUUCAUGUCCAGUUUUGCAAAGAGGAAACCGAUCACUGGGUUUCCUUCUUCAUGUAAGAAUUGGAAGAACAAAUUCUUCUUUGCUGGAGGAAACUGGUGUCCAGCAGUCCGGUCGCUUGGUGGGGAUAUUUACCUUCCAAUGCAUUUUAUCACCCCAGGUCGUUCAUUUUUGCCUAUAUUCUUAAUCAAAAUUGCUACUUAUUGAGUUCUUUAACCUUGUUUGUUUUUUUCAGAAUCUUGGGGUUUGGUUAAGGACCUUGAAGACCGACCCUUGCUCCAGGUUGAAACUACUCUGGUGAACGCGUCUACCUGCCAAGACCUGCUGUCACUAAUAAACUUGGUCGGUUCGGGCUUAGUGGACAUUGUUGCCUGGAUGGAUAACAAUAUCCUCAGUGCAAUGAGCAGAAAGCGUGGUCGGGCUCCGAGCAGCUCCAGCAACCCUCCUCCUCCUCCGAAGAAAGUCAGUGUUAGCCCUUCUAAGGCUUCUGUUCCUGCUCUGCCCCCUCCUCCACCUAGUAAGAGUGUCGGGGAGAAAACUAUUGACAAGAGUUCUGAGGUCAGUACACGCUCUGGGGACCGAUCCUCCCCUCUUCCAGCUCGUGAUCAGGGUGACUACCUGAUCCUGUAUCAGAGGGACUAUGGGAAGUCAGUGGGACCGAAGAUGGUCCAGGACAUUGAGAGCAUGAAUCUCAAUGAAUUAGUUGGUUCUGUCCAAAGGGUCUCCUUCAAGUUGGCCACUCUAGUAUCUUGUUACAAGAAUAGGAUCACGCGCCAAGAGAGGAAGCUCCAAGCUGAGAACCAGGACUUGAAGAAGAGGGUUGAGUCUGUUGAUCGCUCGAAGGAGAAGCUGGUCGAGCUGAACGGGUAGAUUAUGGAGCUAGAGGAGAAAGUUGCGGUUGCUGAGUCCACUUCCUCCAAACUUGAGGGUGAGUUGGGUGACCUGAAGUCUGAUCUUCAGGUUACUCAAAGUGAAAGAGAUACUCUGAGGACUGCCCUUGAGGGAGAAAUCAAAUCCUUGAGUGAGCAGCUGGCUGAGGAGAAAGGUAAAUCCGCUGACGUGGACGAUCGGCUGGAUGCCGAGUAUGACUCUGGGGUUGUUUUCUCCUAUAAGUGCAUCAUGUCUGUGCUUAAGGAAGAAUAUCCCGAGCUGGACAUGAGCAAGCUGGAGGCUGGAGUAUAUGGCAGAGAUCGGCCAGGCAGAUAAAGAGUAGGGUGAGCAGGAUCAAGUGGAGGCUCCUUUAGAUGGGGUGCAGGAGGGGGAAGUUGGGGGACAUGCUUUUGAAGUGGGACAAGGGUCCGUGCCUCCUCCUCCCGGUAUUGCUGAUCUUCCACCUCCAGAGAUAGCUGAUCCUUCACUUGCUAAAGCCGUUGACCCUCCUAAUCCUUAGGUCUAUUUUUGUAUAGACUCUAGAUUUUCAUUCGUUUUGUAAACAUUUAAAUGCUUAUAAAUUUUUAGAUGUUCUUUACUGGCUUUCUUGUCUGGUUUUUGCUCAUGGAUUGUUUCUGCAAAUUAAUUUGACAAUUUAUCUGAUUUUGCUUGUUGGUUCUUUAGUGGACCGAGUAGGAAUAUGCAUCCGCUUGCCUUAGUAAAUUUUUGCAAAAUUGCCUGUUGGUCGUUUGUUGACCGAUCAAGAGCAGGCACUUACUUGCCUUAGUAGAAUUUUCGUAAAAUUGGCUGCUGGUCUUUCGUUGAUCGAGCAUAAGCAGGCACUUACUUGCCUUUGUAAAAAUUUAUUGAAAUUGCCUGCUGGUCUUCGUUGAUCGAGCAGGAAUAGGCACUUGUUUGCCUUUGUGGAAAUUUCGUAAAAUCGCCUGCUGUUCUUUCGUGGGCCGAGCAGGACCAGGCACACACUUGCCUUGGUAAGAAUUUCAUAAAUUUAGCUGUUGGUCUUUCGUUGACUGAGCAGGAGCAGACACUUACUUGCCUUAGUAGAAUUUUCAUAAAUUUAGCUGCUGGUCUUUCAUUGACCGAGCAGAAGCAGACACUUACUUGCCUUAGUAGAAGUUUCGUAAAUUUAGCUGCUGGUCUUUUCGUUGACCGAGCAGAAGCAGGCACUUGCUUACCUUAGUAGAAUUUUCAUAAAUUUAACUGCUGGUCUUUCGUUGACCGAGUAGAAGCAGACACUUACUUGCCUUAGUAGAAUUUUCGUAAAUUUAGCUGCUGGUCUUUCGUUGACCGAGCAGAAGCAGACACUUACUUGCCUUGGUAGAAUUUUUUUUUAUUGGGUUUGCUAGCAGGGGGAUUUCGUGCUGAAUUCAUCUUUAUUGAAAUUUGAAUGCAUUACAGGAACACAGAAUAUAUGUAUGUGCAACAAGCCAUCAUGCAUUUAAUAGAAAUAACUUAUGAAGACUUAGUAGAGCACUUUGCUUACUGGAAAUACUUCUUCAAGUGCUCGGCGUUCCACAACCUCUUUACGUCUCGUCCAUCUGUGUACACUAACUUAUAAGCUCCUGGUCCAGUUGCUCGUAUCACCCUGUACGGGCCUUCCCAUUUCGGGCCAAGAGCGCCAUGGUUGGGAUCCCUGGUGUUUUGGUUCACCUUCCUAAGCACCCAAUCUCCUGGUCGGAACUGCCUCACGCGUACGUUCUUGUUGUAAUAACGCGUGACCCUUUGCUGACAUUGGGCCACUUUCUGCGAGGCCCCUUCCCUUUUCUCCUCCAGCAGGUGCAGGCUCAAGAAGAUCUGCUCGCCAUUUUGCUCCUCAUUGAAGUAUUCCGUCCGAUGUAUUCGUACUCCAAUUUCUGCUGGGACUACCGCCUCAUGACCAAAAGCUAAGGCAAAUGGGGUUUCCUCUGUAGCGGUUUUGUGAGUUGUCCGGUAAGCCCACAGUACCCCUGGUAGCUCGUCAACCUAAGCUCCCUUCUUCUCUCCCAGUCUAGUCUUCAGGAGUUUCUUUAUCACUUUGUUGGCUGCUUCCACUUUUCUGUUUGCCUGGGGGUGUGCGGGGGUGCAGAACUUCAGGUCCACCCCUAGGUUCCGGCAAAAUUCUCUGAAGUUGUUGUCAAAUUGCCUUCCAUUGUCGGUGAUGAUGGUAUAAGAGAUUCCGUAUCUGCAGAUGAUAUUCUUCCAAAUAAAAUCCGUUGUCUUUCUCUCCGUGAUUUGGCUAAGGACCCCCACUUCUAUCCACUUGGUGAAAUAGUCUAUUGCUACAAUUGCAUGGGUUGCCGCUCCUCGGCCUUUCAGUAACGGACCAAUCAGGUCGAUUCUCCAUUGAGCAAAAGGCCAUGGGGAUGUCAUAGUGGUGAGCUUUUCUGGGGGUUGUGCGGGAACCUCUGAGAAGCUUUGGCAGAUUUUGCAACUCUUUGCCAUCCUUUUCGCAUCCUGGUGCAUGGUCGGCCAAAAGUAUCCUUGCCGGAGUGCCUUGAAGGCUAAAGUUCUUUCUCCUGAAUGAUUUCCACAUAUUCCUUCAUGAAUCUCCCUUAGUACAUAGUCUGCCUCCUCAUCAUCCAAACAUCGCAAAAGGGACAAGGUGAAUUCUCGGCGAUAGAGCACCCUAUCGAGCAGUGCAUACCUCGCUGCUCGGCGUUUUAACUUUCUUGCUUGCCUUUUGUCCUCCGGUAAAAUGCCAUCGCGGAUGUAUGCGAGAAUCGAGUCCAUCCAAGAUUCUUCGAUGCUUAUUCUCAUUACCUCUACUUCCUCUCCUAUACUCGGCGAGGCCCUCAUCUUUAGUGGAACUGACUUAGGUAAUUUGGGAUCUACUGUUGCAGCCAUUCUUGCCAACAUGUCUGCUCGGUAAUUUUCAUUCCAGGAUAUCUGCUUCACCUCUACCUUUUUGAAGAGUUCAACCAUUUGUUUCGCCUUCUUCAAAUAAAGCCCCAAUUUCUCUUCCCUUACUUGGAAUUGAUCACUGAGCUGAUUACAUAUUAGCUGGGAAUCUGCUUGGAUUUCUACUCUUUCUGGGCUUCGGAUUAUAACUCCUGCUCUAGAUCCCUGUUCACUACGUGACCCAUCAACCAUUACCAGCCACACCCCCUUUGGAUCCUUCUGUUCCACUAGUUGUUCCUCCUGGACCUCUUCCCCUGGUUCAACACGGUCAACCAUAAAAUCAGCCAGGGCUUGGGCCUUGAUUGCUCCUCGGGGCCUAUAGGACAGGUCGAAUUCGCUCAGCUCCAUGGACCACUUUACUAACCGCCCUGAUGCAUCUGGUUUUUGGAGCAUUUUCCGGAGAGGUUGGUCGGUCAUCACAAUUAUCGGGUGGGCCUGAAAAUAUGAUCGCAGUUUUCGUGCUGCCGUUUUUAAAGCCAGUGCCCAUUUCUCCAUCAAUGGGUACCUAGUUUCUGCGUAUACCAGGGCUUUGCUAGUGUAAUACACAGGGUGUUGCUUCCUUUCUUUUUCUCGGACUAACACUGAGCUGGUGGCCCAUUUUGAGAUUGCCAAGUAUAAAAACAGUUGGUCACCUUCUCUCGGAGUUGAUAGUAAUGGGGCGUGAGCCAGAUAUUCCUUCAGCUGCCCAAACGCUUCCUCACAUUCUGAUGUCCACUCCAUCUUUCUCCCUUUCUUUAUGGUUUCGAAAAAAGGGUGGCAUUUAUCUGUGGCCCGCGAGAUGAAUCGGUUCAAUGCUGCCAAUUUCCCUGUAAGGCUCUGCACCUCCUUAACUGUUCGUGGGGACCUCAUUUCUGUUACCGCCCGUAUUUUUUCUGAGUUGGCCUCGAACCCUUGGUGGCUCACCAGGAACCCCAAAAAUUUGCCAGAGCUGACCCCAAAUGCACAUUUCUCCGGGUUUAGCUUCAUUCCAUACUUCCUCAGUAGUUCAAAGGUCUCUUCCAAAUGUUUCACGUGAUCACUCGGUUCUUUGGACUUUGUGAUCAUAUCAUCCACAUAUAUCUCCAUAGUAUGACCGAUCAAUUGCUUGAAGAUCUUGUUCACCAACCUUUGAUAGGUGGCUCCUGUAUUUUUCAGGCCAAAAGGCAUCACCCUGUAGCAAAACAAACCCAUGUUAGUUAUAAAGGUGGUGUUUUCCUCAUCCUGCUCGUCCAUGGGUAUCUGGUUGUAUCCCGAAAAGGCAUCCAUGAAGCUGAGCAGACUGUGACCCGCUGUUGAGUCCACCAAUUGAUCUAUCUUUGGUAGGGGAAAACUGUCAUUCGGACAUGCCUUAUUAAGAUCUGUGAAAUCCACACACAUCCUCCAUUUUCCGUUGGCCUUCUUUACCAGUACUACAUUGGAAAUCCACUCUGAGUACUUGGCCUCCCUUAUAAAUCCUGCUUUCAAUAGUUUCUCCACCUCGGCAUUUAUGGCCUCGUACCUUUCCUAGUUAAAGCAUCUUCUCUUCUGCUUCACCGGCCUCGCCUCAUUCUUGAUUGCCAACUUGUGGCAAGCUACCCCGCGAUCAAUUCCUGGCAUAUCCUCGUGAGACCAGGCGAAUAUAUCUGCAUGAGACUGUAGGCACUUUACCAGCUCGCCUCUUACUGUCCCAACCAAUCCUGAACUGAUCUUAACCACUCUGCUCGGGUUGCUUUUGCUUACCGCAACUUCUUCCAGUUUCUCAACGGGUUCUUGGCGGCCCUUUUUAGACUCUCCUCGGUUAUCUAGAGAAGUAACCUGUAGUGUCUCCUUGGCCGCUGUAGCAUAACAACUCCUUGCCAUUCUCUGGUCGCCUUUUACUACACCAACCACUCCAUUUACUCUGUAUUUCAGUGCCAGAUAAUGCGUAAAUACAACGCAUUGGCUUAUCCUCAUGAAGGGUCUCCCCAGUAUCAUCUGGUAAGGGCUUCUUUCCUCUACCACGACAAAGUCCAGCAUCAUCGUUCUUUCAAACGGCUUUGUCCCCACAGUAAUUGAGAGUUCGAUGAUCCCCAUGGGAGUUAACCGUCCCCCUCCAAAUCCCUUUAAGGAUGUAUUUGUCCGUUCUAAUUUCAAGUCUGCAAUUCCCAUAUCAUCUAGGGCCGACUUAAACAGGAUGUCAACCGAGCUGCCCGUGUCUACCAGUAUUCGUCCCAAUUCUGUACCAGCCACCAUUGCCUUAAUCACCAGUGCAUCCUCAUGAGGAUAUAAGAUACCCUCUUCAUCGUCAUCUGUCCAUAUAAUGGGAACUUGCCGCACUUUUGCCUUCUUGGUUGCUGGCAAAUUGAAAAGCACCUCUUUGCUAGUCAUGGCGUAUCUCCCAUAGUUCUUCCGUGCCUUGUUCGAAUCCCCAGCCAAUGUUGGCCCUCCUGCUAUCACACGGAUAGUCGGCUGUUCACAUUCCAGGCCCCUCUCAGCUCCUUCAUCCCGCGUGUACUGUGAUUCAAUGACGGAGGACACCCCAUCUACAUAUUUAUCCAAAUAACGGUUUCUCACCAAAUCCUCCACCUGGAUCUUUAAGUCACGACAUUGGCUGAUUGUGUGACCGUGAGUGUCGUGAAAUUUGCAAAAUCUGCUCUUAUCCCGUCGGUGAGCAGGUUUUGUUAUAGGGGUUGGAGGGUACAACAGGCCUCGUCCCUCGAUUCUCUCGUACAACUCCUCCAUAGGGACUUUUAACGGGGUGUAUUGUCUAUACGCUGAGCUCUGGUCAAUUAGCUGGACUACUCGGCUAUUAUGAAUAUUGUCCCAAGCGGAUAUUGAAGGUAGCUGACCUGAUCGUCCCGUUCUGGAGUUGGCCGUGUGUAGUGCUUUGGGAGCGUUGUGAUAAGGAUGGUUAGCCAACUGCCGGAAUUCUCGUUGCCGCUCCAGGAAUGGGGGGCGCGGGGGCUGAGCCCUGUUGCGGUCUCUGAGCCAUGGGGUAAGGGCGAGACCGAGCUGAUACCGCACCCAUCAUUGAGGAUUCCCCAGCUCGCUUUCCCGACUCGCUCCCACUUGGGGUUCUCUUUUCCUUUCGUCUCAGCUCCUCCAGCUGUUCACUCUUUAUCCUUGCCGAUUUUUCCUCUUCAAUUUCAAUGUCUCUCUUUGCCUGCUCAUACCUCGCUGAGUAAUUCUGCACCAGGAGACUUCUCAGGUUAUACCAUAGCCAGCCUAUCCUCACACCCUCCUUUAAUCCGCUUAACGCCUGCGGGUGAUUGAAAGCUCCCAAAUUAAACACGGCUCGGUGGUAUCGUUUUACAAAAUCUCGAAGGGAUUCUUGUUCCUCCUGCUUCAUCCCCAUUAGUUCCAUCAUAUCAUCCUCUGGGGCCAUUGCUCCUCGGAACUGUUCGACUAACUCUUGGCACAUCUGCUCGUACCCUCUAAUACUUCCUCGUGACAGCUUGCGGUACCAUUCUCGAGUUCGUCCCUCCAGUGUCAAUGGGAACACCCUACACCUCUGAGCUGGUGUUAACCCCUGAACACCCGUCAUGUCGUUGAAACGUUCAAUAUGCACCAGUGGAUCACUUCGCCCGGAGUAUUUGAGGUCGGGGAAGCGAAAAUCUCUUGGGAUUACAAUACCCAUGAUCUCAAUUGAUAGUGGAGAUUCUUCAUCUAGCAUUAUCCUCCAGCUCGGGGGCUUUCUCUUGCCUUGUAUCUCCUCUAUCACUUGCGCUAAUCUGCGCACCUCUCCCUCCAAUUCUACAGCACGGUCAGGAUCACGCGCAGCUAUCUGAUCUCGCUCCUACUCGGCAUUUUGCAACCCCUGUCUGAGCUCUCCUUCAUCAAUACUGGCCCCUCGGCCAUCAGUUUUCGGUACCCAUCUAGGGCGAGGUUGGUCCCUCCCUUCAUCUACUCGUUCUCCUGGAACCCGACUAGUGCUUCUGUGGGGAUGCACCCCAUUAGGUUGGUCUGCCGGCGGAGGGAUUUCCUCAACUCUACGCCUCCGGAGGCUGGGUUCUGCUCCAACAUCAUCUCUUCCUACGGGGGUUUCACAAUCCUUUCUCCGCUCAUCCCUCAGCUCAUACAGUAUGGUCGCGAGAGUCUCCAUUUGUUUCUUCAUCCGCUCCAAUCGAUCUUGCAUCAUCCUCUCCCGGGCUUCAUUUGUAAUUUCCCAGAGAGUGAUUGUCUCCACAGUUUCAUUAUCCUCCCUCAAAGCAUCCUUCCUCGGCACAUCCAUGUCUAAUCGUUCGUUGCUUCUCCGGUAACUACUAAUUCAGUGGUAGCUUUUUAUCCAGCUCCCCACAGACGGCACCAAAAUGUUGAUGCUGAAAUCUGCUCGCCCUUUGCCCGACAAGAUUUUUACACCAACGUUCACGUUAUCAAUAAUAAAGAUAUCAAUUCCUUCUUGCUUCAACGAUUGCUCCAGCCACUGAAGUUGGAGUUGUCCCUCUUUUUCUCACUAAGCCUGCGUUUACAAAAGUGGAUCAGAGACGCCGGUGGUUUUGCCAGCGCAAACCCUCCGAUGCCUAAGUUACCACAAGGUGUUUACGGGAAAACGGUGCAAUUAGGGUUCAAAUAAUUGCUUAGAAUUAGCUCACUCUCGGUAUUGAAAAGCGUCUGGAUACAAUUUCGCAGAGUUUUCCCUACUUUCCUUUUUUCUUCCCUUUUCUUCAUCGAUUUCUUCUUCUUUUAUAGCCGCUGUCCCACGUUCCCAUUUAGCCUUCAUCCCUCCUUUUUCGAGUGGUGGCAGCCCCUCAUAGGACUCUAACUGCUACAUUAUGGGCAAAAGUAGGAUCUCGCGUCUCCCGCAACGGUUCUGGAAAAAGCGCAACUACCGUGAUUCUGUGGGAUCGUGUUCCCGCUUUUUCGGGGGAUGGGUAUCGGCUCGGUAUAUACCUCUGGUCAGUAUACUCCCCUGGUUGGUACUCGUCUCUAGUCUGCUCAUAUUUGUCCCCGUGUUCUGCUCGUACCAUUUGGCUGAGGUGAUCCAUGCCGGGGCGGAAAUAAUAGCAUGGCCGACCUGGUGCUUUUAUUUACUUAACACUCUACUUCCAUUCUGAUUAUCCGGGAGUAUUUCUCGAAUAAUAUCCCACACUUCAAUGCUCCACACAUCAUCAAUCACAAUCAAAUACCGCUUGGUCAUUAGAUAUUCAUGAAGAAUAAUUUUUUUCAUUUCAUAAUUUUUAUCCUUUAUUUCACUCAACCUAGAUGAAGGCAUCAGAAACUUAAUAAUGAUAUCUAAUAUUUGGUCAGCAUAGCAGGUGUAAGGCUCUUGAACCCAAGCAUGACAAUCAAAAUAAUGCUUCAUAUAGUUGCUGCUGUAAGCCUCUGCGGCGAAAGCCGUCUUGUCCAAUCCAAUGCUAUCAAGUAUGGUCACUGCGGAAAGUUGAGGUGGUCCUUCUAUCAAUAGAUCUAACAACUCCUCCAUUCUAUCAUCUAGACCCACCGUGUCCCUACUUUUAGAAGAUGAAGAUAUACCGGCUUCAGCUUCAAAAGUUUUGAUGGCAUCAAUGAUUUCGGAAUCCGUGUGCUCAAGUUGUUGCAUCCGUUGCUUAAUAUCAGUGAUUCUGCUUUGGGGUCCUUGCAGAGCAUUACAAAUGUCCUUGCUGCCGCUGCUUUGACUCUUUUGUUCACUGAUGCUGUUGAUGAAUGUGUUAAUCACCUUCUCAGAUUCAUACGUAAAGCAAUUGAUUUCAUCCAUAAUGUUCCCGAGAUCAGGGUCAUCAAUUUCAACUUCUCCUAUUUUUUGCAUCAGAAGGCAGGAGAUAUCAUCUUCAAAUUCCCUCAGCCAAGAAGUAACGAUUUCAGUCUCGGCAUGAAGGUUCUGAAUAUGUUGUUUUGCAGCAUCAAGCAACGUGACUUCUUCACCAGCUAACACCCGUCCCAGCCUCUCGGAAAAUAGCAUGAAGUUGAUGUCCAUAUCUCCUCCUCUCUCGGUACCACCCUGUAAUCAGUCCUGUAGCAUGCAAAGAAAUAGUUAAAAACAGAGAGUUGGAAAGAAACUUUGCUUUAAACCUCCCCUACCUCCGUUCUCUUAGCUAGUACUCCAUUCAAGAAAUUGAAUUGAGAUUGUUGACUCUCAAAUUAGAACAGAUCAAGGCAGAGGACUACGGUAAAUGAAUCUUACAAUACACUGUUCUCCAUAUGUUGUAAAAAGAAUAAAGCAUAAGAGAAUAAAUAGGUCUUGAUCAAGGAUCAAUCAAGACCAAUAUGUAUUAUACAUCCACUUUCAAGAAAGAAAAGGUCAAAACAAUUCCACCGGGACCAUAAGGCCUAUUUGAAAAGAAAAGAACAGAGCAAGAUCUUUAGUAAUUUAAGCUGUGGAAAAAUGCAAAAUCACGUCUACCACUUACUGGCGUGCAAAAAGUUUUAUGUAUCCACUGAAACAUUUAUUGUUGAUGAAUGAAACUGGUCUUAGGUUGACCUACACAACUCUUUCUCUCGGUACUCCAGUAGUGCAAGCAUGUUAGUUUAGUCAGUAGUUUCUCCUACACAUAAAUGAUGUUUAUUAUAGAAUUUUGAUAAUGGGUACAAUAAGAAAGUAGUUGCAAAGAAAAUAUUGGGGGUUGAUGUGAUAUCUAUUGACUUGGAGCAUAAUAAAUAAUUACAAAAUCACUAUUUGUCUUUAAUUUUCAUCAUACUCCUUAUUAAAAAAUUAUUAUGAUUACAUAGUCAGUGAUUUAUAUUCACAGAAGACAAAAGUAAUGAAUAAAUAAGCUACCACUUGCAAUUAAUAAAAUGGUAACCCUAUCUGGUAAGGUAGCCCUGUUCAUUGAAAGCAAAAGCAACAGAAUCGUUCACUGUGCUGCCACAAAAUGAUUGUCAUGGAAGGCACCAAAGUUUCCAAGUAACAGACAAAGUCGAAGUAGUUAGCACUAUGAAGCGAGGCUGAAAAUCUUGUUCCUCACGUUAAAUAAUAUUUAAUAACGACCUACUGCUAAUCAUUGUGUUUGUUAAUCUCUGCCUUAUGCCUUAGCUUUAAUAGCAUCUCCAUGUAAUCCUCCCAACCCACUACACGGGAUCAGAGUAUUAGCCAAACAUGUACAUAGAUAACUACUCUCUGUUUCAAUAACUUGUAAUCUUAUCUUAUAUCUCUUUACCGUUAUCUUGUAAUUAUCAUAUAGGCUAUGGCUUAGCUUGUAUUUAUCUUAUAGGCUAUGACUUAUCUUAUAGUGUUUGGCUUAUCAUCCAAGUAUGCUUGACUUGUAUAAAUUGUAACGUUACUCAUUGAUAAAUUAUUGAUUCAUACAAUUUCUUUACAGAGUCAGGCAAGUAUGAAGUUCAUCAAUAAUCAAAUCUCUUCUGUAAAUGAACAAAGCAUAUUGAUUGAGUGCCUAACUGUAGCAACUGGAGUGCUUAAAACCAGAGAUACCUCAGUUGCUGCCCAAUAUCACAAUCCAAUCAAUCAAGAUGCUACCAAGAAUGAACUAAUUUGAAGCUCAAUUGAAAAUGGAAUUGAAACAAGAUAAUGAUGAAAGAACAAAAAGCAAUUAAGAUCAAAUUGAAUUAAAGAAUUGAAAGAACCAACAGAGGAAAAAUCAAUUCAACGUGGUUCAACUAAUUUGCAUUAGCUUGCAUCCAUGGGAGGAAAUUUUUGAUCAGUUUUUAUAGAAAAUACAUUAAUCCCACUUAAUCCAAGACUAGAAAGCAUCACAAACAUUCUUUAUUUUUAUACACAGUCAACUCUCUGCUGAAAUGAAAUCUCUUACUUAAUGAGUACACAGCUGAAACAAAGACAACUGGAAUUACUUUUCAAAUUUGAUACACUGCUAAUAAUAAUGACAAUAUUAAAAUGUGGCAUGUGUUGAUUCUGCUGCCUCAAAGCUUCACUUGAGCUAGCCCUUAAUCUACUGAUUCACCUCACACGAUUUUUGUAACUUGAUCUAAGAAUCAAGUAUGAGUUUGAUAAAUUUCAUGAGAUAGAUAGCAUAAAUUUCAAAGUCGUUAGUUAAUUUGUUAUGAGAUAUCAUAUCACAAACAUAUUUUAUUAGUUUAAAUGAAGCUUAAUAAUUAUUCAACGAGGAUUUAAUUAGUUAAUUGUUUAAAUUUAUUCUUAAUGGAAUGCUAACAAACCAAAUUAAAUUUCUACAUUUAUUUAAUUAUAUACAUGCAUAUCUUGAUAACUAUUUUAACGUGUGAUCCAAUAUAGAACAUAAUUUAAUCUUGAAUUUUGCUCUGAAUAUUUUUAUAGUUGAUUUGUUAUAAAUUUGAACGAGGGAUUGCAAUUACUUGCUCUUUUAUAAAUAUUUUUAUACCGUAGGCAAUAGUUAUAAAGAUUGAUUAUUGAUGAACUUCACACUUGCACACAAAAUUCUAUUAUUGAAAGUCGAUGCUUACUAUAACACGGCGUUUUUCUAGCUUUUACUAGACGUGGUUUCAAUUUAUUGAACCAUUAGAGGGACACAUCAGUAGUCACAAAAGUGCCCCUGUAAAUGGCAAUCCUUGUAAUCAUUUUGCUGCCGCUCUUCAUUCCACUCCCAAGUACGCAGCCCAAACUUCAACUUUCUUUGGGAAGGUAAUGAAGCGUGACUUUGUCUCAGUAAUCUGUCUUUCAUAUUCCAUUGAAUGAGCCAAAGGAGGGAUGCUUCUAUAAUUAGUAGCAACUAUCAAUCAUAUUGAAGGAAUUUCUGCAACAGAUAAAGAAAGAAUAUCAGAGAACAAAGCUGUUAAUCAAUCAACACAUGUACAGCAGUAUUAGUAUUUCUGCCUCAUUGUAUUGCCUAAGCGGGUAUUAGGAUUUCUCCACAAGAACGUUUACUAAGACAUUCAGCCAAGUGUGAAGUUCAUCAAUAAUUAAUCUUUUCUGGAAAUAAACGGAACCUAUUGAGUGUCAGACUUGCCCAUCCUUUGAAACAGGAUUUCAGAGCAAGCAACAGAACAAAGACAGAAAAUACAUUCAACUCAACCCAAACACUAGCAAGCAUCACAAAUAGUAAUUAUUUUUUGUACACAAUUAACGAAACCAUGGCCGAAGCACAAAUCAAUGAACUAUCAACUGAAAAGCCAAAACAAAACUUCUUAUUUAUGAAUAGACAGCGGAAACAAAGAAACCAAAAAAAGUCCACCACCGUAGGAUCAGGACUUAUUUGUGUAGACAGCAAAUGUGAAGACGGAAAGGUUCUGGUUGAAAUUGAAGCUCGGGCUACAGUCAUGAUGUUUUCUUGUCAUGACCCAACCCGUCUUGCCAAUUAAGGUGUGGAUCACCCCUUAUAAACCCAACAUCGCUCCCGUGCUUUGCCGAUGUGGGAUUUGCCUAGGGUGUUACAUACACCUCCCCUUGGGGACUCAGCGUCCUCGCUGAGGUUUGCCCCACCAUCGCUUGAGAGGACAUGCGGAGCCGCUUUGAUACCAUAAUGUCAAGACCCAACCCAGACCUGGCAAGAUAUUGUCCGCUUUGGGCCUUAACAAGGCCUGCACAGAUUUGUUCUUGGGGCGCUCACACACCCCAAAACGCGUCUUGCCAAUUAAUGUGUGGAUCACCCCUUAUAAACCCAGUAUCUCUCCCGUGCUUUGUCGAUGUGGGAUUCGCCUAGGGUGUUACAUACACACCCCCUUGGGGACUCAGCGUCCUCGCCGAGGUUUGCCCCACCAUCGCUCAAGAGUACACGUGGAGCCGCUCUGAUACCAUAAUGUCAAGACCCAACCCAGACCUGGCAAGAUAUUGUCCGCUUUGGGACAAGUGGACACGCGAAGCCACUCUGAUACCAUAAUGUCAAGACCCAACCCAGACAUGGCAAGAUAUUGUUCGCUUUGGGCCUUAACAAGGCCCGCACGGAUUUGUUCUUGGGGUGUAUGGGCGUAAAGCGGACAAUAUCUUGCCAGGUCUGGGUUGGGUCUUGACAUUUUUGCUCUAAUUUCACCUACACAAGUCAUUGAAGAAAUUGUGAAAAAUAAGAAAUCUAAAUUUUUUUUUCUUAACUACUAAAACAAAUGAACAUCGAUGUAUUGAAGAGGGUUGAUGAUUGGGGUGAGCAUUAGAAACUCUAAAGGGUAUUUAAUGUUGAGGCAAAUUAGAAGAAAACAAUUUGUAUAACCAUUUUUGUAUUGAAGAAAAGGGGAAAAAAUAUAUGAAAUUGGAUAAAUAAUUAAAAUUUGAAGAAAUUGUGUAAAAUGAGAAACAUACAUCAAGUUCAAUAGGGGCUAAUCAAAUUCCGUAAGGAUAGCCACUCGGCCAAAGGCCGAGUGGUUAGAGUUGCUGCCCUCCAAGUUGGAGGGCAGCAGUUCGAACCCCCACAAAUGCAUUGUGGGGGUAUUUCCUUCCUUCAUUAAAAAUUGAGUGAAGGUAGUCUUCCUUCUUACCCAAGAGUGAGGAGUAGACAUUCCUCGAAUAUUUGUGAGGGUUAAAAUUUGGGUAGAGCUCCAUUAGCAUUGAUGUAAGUUGGUCCCAGUAAUAGUCUGAUUUAUAAAUAUCAGUUAUAACCUCAUGUAAUAUGAGUUGUAGUUUGAGCAAUAGUCUCAUGUAAUAAAAAAAAAUUCCAUAAGGAUAUAGUUGAAUGCCACACUGUUCCUUAUCCUCAAAUUCCCGUAGCUUUUGUCUCAGCUCUGGUUGAGGCCACCAGCAAUCGAACUUGUUUAAGCUCUUUAUGCACCAGAGAUGUUCAGGCAUCUUUUUCAAGUAAGCACAAGGGUUGAUAAUCAAGCAUUCUAGUUUUGGCAUGGCUGCAUUCCCCAUAGUCCAGAAGUCAGCUUUCUGUAUGAAUACGAGUUUUGCUUCAGUUUGAGCACUUGAAGAAGCGGCAACGUUUCUAGCACCGGCAUGGGAUCAUCCAUUCGGUCAGUAUUAGAAAAACUCAAGUGGGUUAGACUAUGAGGAAAUAGGUAUUCAGCAAGGACGAUUUUGGAGAGCCAUGGCAUCUUGCUUUCAUUCGCCAGCUUCAAUGACUUGAGACAGCUCAAUCUGCAGAGACUUUGAGACAGCAAAGAUUGAUCAUAACUUAAAUCUCCCCGCAUUCAGAGAUUUUGAAGAUUAAGUAGCCUGCCUAAUAUAUCUUCAAUACAGCAGCAAAUGUGCAAGGCUGAAAUGAAAUUUAGAUUUUCCAGAGAGCCACAGUAUUUUCCUGGAUGCGCAGGAAGUGUGAUUGACCCAAAAUUUAGAUGUCUGAGUUUUUUCAUCUUCCAAAAUUCAUCUACCGUAUGAUCUAUAUAGCUAAAGGGCAUGUCUAGGGUGUAGAGGUUCAGAAGAUUGCUUAAUAAUGAGGAAGACAGGCUUUUGAGGGAAGGGAUAUUCAACUUCAAAUAUCUCAAAAGAAAUAAAUUUUCAAUUCCGGAUGGAUACUAGAUGAGAACAAGAGAUUCCAAGUCCAACACUCUGAGAAGUUUGAACAUUCCACAAAUUUUCUCCCAAUCUAUGGGGUCAAUGUGGCGGCUUUCUGGAGAGCAGCACAAGAAAGAAUGCAGUUGCGAGUCAUAAUCAUCUAAGCAAGCAAAAUCACUCUGUUGUUCUAAAGUGUAGAAACGUUUGACAUUUUUUUAUGAUUUACCUUCUAUAUCCAUGAAAGGGGAAAAGAUAAAUUCCACCUUGGAAGCCACUCCUAACAAUACAGGACGGCAACGACCGGGAAUAGAGCAUGUGUUGAUUGUGCCUCCAGCUCUUCUCUUAUUUGCUUCGACAAAGCCUCUGUUGAUUAGUUGCUCUAAGUACUUCUUAGCAGUUGCCUCAUUAUUGUCUUCAAUGAAACCUUCAGCUAUCCACAGUUGAUAUACAUGCCUGGUGGAUAUCUCUAAGUGUGCGGGAAACACUGAGAAGUAGAGAAAACAAGGUUUCAAGCAAAAAGGUGACAUACAAUAUAUGAUACAUUGAAGCCCAAGGGACAUGGUCAAUACUUUGUCUAUAUUUUCUUCCAAUGAGAUGCUUCCAUGAUACAAGAUGUGGAAAGGCCAUCCUUGGUAUGUAGCUCUCAAUAGUCCUCCAGUGGGCACAAAAUCAAGCCCAAUGUUCUCUCCGUUUUCGAACUGAAAUGAGGUGACAAUCUUAAUUUGAGCGAGUGUUAUUAAUACUCUACUUCCAUUCUGAUUAUCGGGAAGUAUUUUUCGAAUAACAUCCCAUGCUGAUAUUCUCCACACAUGAUAAAAAAAUAAUCAAAUACCGCUUGGUCAUUAGAUAUUCACGAGGAAUAUUUUUUUUAUUUCAUAAUUUUUAUCCUUCAUUUCACUCAGUCUAGAUGAAGGCAUUAGAAACUUAAUAAUGAUAUCUAAUAUUCGGUGAGCAUCAUAGCUGUGAGGCUCUGGAACCCAAGCGUGACAAUCAAAAUAAUGCUUCACAUAGUUGCUGCUGUAAGCUUCUGCGACGAAAGCCGUCUUGUCCAAUCCAAUGCUAUCAAGUAUGGCCACUGCUAAAAGUUGAUGUGGUCCUUCUAUCAAUAGAUCUAACAAAUCCUCCAUUCUAUCAUCUAGACCCACCGUGUCCCUAUUCUUAGACGAUGAAGAUGCAAGAAAAUUACCGGCUUCAGCUUCAAUUGAUUUGACUUCAUCAAUGAUUCCGGAAUCGAAGUGCUGAACUUGUUGCAUCCGUUGUUUUAUAUCAAUGAUUUUGCUUUGGAGUCCUAGCAGAGCAUCACAAAUGUCCUUGCUACGCCUGCUUUGUCUCUUCUGUUGAGUAAUGCUGUUGAUGAAUGUGUCAAUGAACUUCUCAGAUUCAUAAGUAAAGCAAUUGAUUUCAUCCAUAACGGUCCCAAGAUCUGGGUUGUCAAUUUCAACUUCUCCUAUUUUUUGCAUCAAAAGGCAAGAGAUAUCAUCUUCAAAUUCACUCAGCCAAGAAGUAACGAUUUCAACCUCCGCAUGAAGGUUCUGAAUAGGUUGUUUUGCAGCAUCAGGCAACGUGACUUCUUCACCAGCUAACACCCGUCCCAGCCUCUCGGAAAAUAGUCUGAAGUUGAUGUCCAUAUCUCCUCCUCUCUCUGUGCCUAGUGGUCCUAACAUGCAAAUUGAGACAUAAUUGAGAGAGACAAUGAUUAAAAGAUUAAAAAAAUAAUAAUAAGAAAUUUCCAUGUCUCUCAAUUCAAACAUUAACUAGCAUUAAUUGUUGAUGAAACUCUACUCAGAACCCUAUGCCUGAUACCUCCUUCUCUAAUUAAUCCUGCCGAGUGUUGCCAUUCAAAAAGUUAAAUCAAGAUUGCUGACAGUCAAAUUACAAGAGAUGAAAGGCAGAGUGCCGGAAAUGAAUCUUAUAUCCUCAUGUUGAGUAUGCAUUCUCAAACCAAGAUUGUUGACUAAUCGUUACGUAAAACGAAUAGAAAGAAAAUUUUUAUAAAAUGCAAAUUAGCUUGGAAAGAUUCUACCUAGAAACCAUCAUGUGACAAAUUAAUCUCUUUCUUAACGCAUUUCUAAAUGUAACAUAAUAAAUUUCGUCCUGGAAAUGAGCAAGAUUGUGCUUGUACUCAAAAUAAGCAAGCUUUCAAUCUUUUUUUUUUUUAAUUUCCCCCUUUUUAUUUGAUUUGUGAUCAUAUGAAACGUGUGAGGAAAAACAUAACUUGUAAACAAGAAUCAAACACAAAUAAAUCAUGAACCUCACAUUCAUGAUAUAAAAAUAAUAAAAUGGAGUUAUUUUGUGGAUAAUUCAGAUAUUAAACUACCUGUUUUUUCUUAAAGUGAUCACAAACUUCAAUAUCCUGACGAUAUAUAUCUUAUUUUGAUUAAAAACAACACAAUCAAAUUAUUACAUAGAAAGAAUAUGAAAAGGAAUGCUGAAUUUUAUUCAAAUUGGGUAUUGAUAGAUGAAUGAUUUGUUAGAAUUGAAAAUGAUCGUGCAUGUGAAAGAAAAAUAAGUUCAGAGAAAAAUAAAAGAUCAAGAUUAGUUAAACUUUACUUGUAAGUAAAGGAAAAAUCUUGGUUCAAGUAAAGAAAGAGAUACCAAACUCACAAAAUGGAAAAGGAGAAAGGUUAAACAAAGACUUAGUUCAAAGAAAAGAACAUGAUGCUGAUGUCCUGUAAUCUUUUUUUUGUUUAUUAAUUUUCAUUUUUCUUCUUCCAAUUUUUGUUUUUCCAAUCCAAAAAAUGAAAGCAAUAUGCAUUUGCUAACUGGGAAAAAAGUCAUUUGUCUCAAAAUAAAAUGACAAUAUAUCAUGAUUACAAGAUGUCUUGGACAUUCUUAAGAUAGCAAAAUCAAUAAACUCAACAUUAUGUUACUGGCUAAAGAGUGGUAAGAAUCCAAUGACAACCAAAGCAGAAGGAUCAAUUUGAAUACAAAAGGGAAUUCCUCUGCUGCAAACAAGGGCUUUGAUGUGACUGUAAGGAAUUGAGUGAGCAGCAGCACAUCCUCUCGCCAUCAACUUCAUUGCACUGCAUUACAAGGCACCCUCUGGAUGCUGGAAGGGAAAAUGUGAAAACGAUUAUAGCUGCUCUUUAUUCUUUUAGUGCAAUUGGGCUGCUAAUCAACCAAUAGAGAAAGAAUUCAGUCAUCAAUUCUAACGAAGCUUCCAAAAUCUGCAACGCUACAGAUUAAAUUUUAAAUCUUCCACUUUCAGAACUUCACUCGUUAAAUCUCCUCUUCAAUUCUACCUAGUCCUUACUAGAUCCCUAAAGUCACCAAGGAUUAGUGAUGGUUUUUUAUUUUACAAGGGCUGUUGGACAACCCAGAUUGACGAGGGCUAAAAUCUCCAUAUAUUUGGAGUCUAUGAAGAUUAGACAAUAUGCCACAGUUUCUUUUUUGUUGUGUUUAAUCCUCUGUUAGUACCAAGAUCACACACCUAAGACCCUCUUUGACGUAUCAAGAAUCAUUCCGGAAACCGAAACUCAAAAUUGAAUCAAAGUGCCUACAUCCACUGAAGAACAAGGACCAUUUCACAAUCAUUCCAAGAAUAUGCAACUUUUUCUCUUUAACUCUUUCUCUUUCUAUGGCUUUGAUGAGACCUGUGAAGAUGACCCAACAACCAGCGUUAUAAACUACAAUAAAGGUUAUUUCCAACAAACCCGAAAUUUCCAUGCUCUAUUUUAACGAACCCCAACUGACUUUUGACCAGCAUUGUCGCCCUUACAUUGGACGACACGUCGGCGAAAUUCUAAAAAACCGAAUGACAAUAUCGUUCUGUCAGUUUUAAGAUAAUGAGGUGUGAUCACAGCACAAAUAUUUUUCGUUUAACUAAAGUAAUGAGAUUGAACUGUACCACUACUAAAAAACUAGAAAAAUAAAAUAAAAUAAAAAACAAUAACAUAUAUGCAACUUCAAUGUUGACAAAUUGAAUACACACCAGUGAAUGGGAAAAUAGAAAGUAAAACAAUCAAUAAAACUUUUGUACAAAUUACUAAUCCGUGAAAACAAAGAAACCAUACAAUUCUUAUCAAAAAAAAAAAAAAGAAACCACACAAUUUCAGUGAAGGCUGGAUUCUUAUUGAAAUUGAAACUUUGGCUGCAGUACAGUUAAGAUAUUUUCCGCUCUGCUUUGACCUACACAUACAAGUAAUUGCAUAUCUUAUUUUACAGUUUUUCUUGAUUAUUUCAACAACCAAUACAUAAGGGUUCUGCCUCUUCUAUUAAUAAGCGAUUAAUGAUUAGUGUCAGUAUCAGGGAAUGUGAUGGACACUUCCAAGUCUUUGUUGAGACAAAAAUUAGAUUGAAAACACUUUAUGGUAUCAUUAUUAUUUAGGCUGCUGCGUACUAUCGAAUCAAUCAUAGAGAAUAGAUGUUUACCUGAAAUUAGAUAAAUAAUUAGAGGUUGAAGUUAUUGGAUAAAAAGGAAAAAAAACUUACAUCAAAUUCGAUCCACGCUAAUCAAAUUCCAUAUGGAUAUAGCUGAAUGCCAUACUGCUCCUUAUCCUCGAAUUCCCGUAGCUGUUGUCUUAGCUCCGGCUCAGGCCACUACAACUCCAAUUUGUUUAAGCUCUUUAGGCACUAAAGCUGUUCAGGAAUCGUUUUCAAGUGAGCACAAGGGUUGAUGAUUAAGAAUUCUAGUUUCGGCAUGGCUCUAAUCCCCAUAGUCCAUUCCUCUAGCCAUAACAUUGACUUAAGGUGCAGCACCUUGAGUUUUGGAAAGCCAUCAGAGCUACAAGCCAACUAUCUACCUGAAUACGAGUUUUGCUUUAGUUUGAGCACCUGAAGAACCGCCAGCCUUUUCUAGUGCCGGCAUGGGAUCAUCCAUUAGCUCAAUAUUUGAAAAACUCAAGUGGGCUAGACUUGGAGGAAAUUUGUAACGCCACAAAUUUCCAUAAUAUUAAAUUAUGGAAAUUGGGCUUUCAUUGAUAAUUAUGGGUGGCCUAUAACCCUUAUUAAAAAAGGGAUACUAAAUUAUAAAUAGAGGUUAUUUAUGAGAUAGUUUUGAAAAAGGGUUAUUUUUCCUUAUUAAAUAGGGUUUCUUAAGAUUCCCUAUAAAUUCAUACUUUUCCUCUUCCAUAACCCUUAGUCCACGACGUUUAUUCUUCUUCUCUGCUGCUCUUUACGCUCCUACCCAAAUCCUAGGAUUCAAACCUUUGUUUAGGACAGAAUCAAAGCAACGGGUAAGUUAUUCUCCUUAUUCUCAACAGAUUUCUAAUCACUCUAUCUAGGGUUUAUAUUGGCACGAUUNNNNNNNNNNNNNNNNNNNNNNNNNNNNNNNNNNNNNNNNNNNNNNNNNNNNNNNNNNNNNNNNNNNNNNNNNNNNNNNNNNNNNNNNNNNNNNNNNNNNNNNNNNNNNNNNNNNNNNNNNNNNNNNNNNNNNNNNNNNNNNNNNNNNNNNNNNNNNNNNNNNNNNNNNNNNNNNNNNNNNNNNNNNNNNNNNNNNNNNNNNNNNNNNNNNNNNNNNNNNNNNNNNNNNNNNNNNNNNNNNNNNNNNNNNNNNNNNNNNNNNNNNNNNNNNNNNNNNNNNNNNNNNNNNNNNNNNNNNNNNNNNNNNNNNNNNNNNNNNNNNNNNNNNNNNNNNNNNNNNNNNNNNNNNNNNNNNNNNNNNNNNNNNNNNNNNNNNNNNNNNNNNNNNNNNNNNNNNNNNNNNNNNNNNNNNNNNNNNNNNNNNNNNNNNNNNNNNNNNNNNNNNNNNNNNNNNNNNNNNNNNNNNNNNNNNNNNNNNNNNNNNNNNNNNNNNNNNNNNNNNNNNNNNNNNNNNNNNNNNNNNNNNNNNNNNNNNNNNNNNNNNUGGUUUAGAUUAUGUGAAAACAGUUUCGAAUUUGCUGAGAAGUAAAUAGUUUUUAAAAUGUUUUUGAUAUCGGAUUCUCUUGUAAAUUUUACAUGGGGUACUCAUGGAUGUCCAGAAUAGUUCCAUAGAAUAUUAUAUCAUUCUGAGUUUUAGAUUAAGAGUUAAAAUUCUGAGAAUCAGACCUAUACAGAUAUGAAUUAGAAAAUCAGAUUCUUAGAAUAAGUUAUUAGUUAUCAUAUAUUGUAUUUGUUUAAGGUAUUGAAGGUGACUGAGGCUCUUAGAAGCUUAGAGGUGUGUUAAUUCAAAUUCAUUUGUCGAGGUAAGUAACUUCAUUCCUAAUGUACUGGAUAUGUAUAAGUAUUUUGAUAUUAUUAUUAUAAGUAUAAAUGUUUUGAUACUACUUAAAGGAUUACUAAUUUUGAUAACAAAAUUAGCUUUAUGUAAAUGUUUUCAAACCAUUCUUUUUAACAAAGUAUUUUAUAAAUGCUUUUUAAUAUGUAAAUGAUUUUAUGACAUGACAACCUUUUAUGAUUUUAUUUUUAAAAUGUUAUGCAAGCCUAAAUUAUUGAUAUGAACUUUUAUGAAACUGAUACGAAUGUUUUGUACCUAUGUUUGAUUUCAAUUAUUGAUGAUUGUAUGAGAUUCUUAAUGUUUUGGCUCAUUGUCCAUAGUUAUUCUGAUUCUGAUUCUGAUUCUGAUUGUAAUAUACGAUAAAAUUUUGGAGAAACAAAAUUUCAUGAUAUACCAAAUUUUAUUUUGAUUCACACCAUCUUACCAUCCACCUUAUGAAUAACACAUCAUUUAAAAAAAAUUAGGAUAAAAUAACUCGGGAUAAAAAAAGCAGAAUAACAUUUGAGAUGUCUAGUUUUUAAUUAAGUCUGUGUAUGUGUAUGCUGAAGAAAAAAAUUAUGAUCAGAAUCAGAAUUGGAUGUUCGAGCUGUGGUUUCGGUAAUGGGGUGAAUUGGCAUUUUGAUAACAAAAAAAUUAGGUUUCUUUUAAUACAAUUUUACAAAUUUUGUUUAAUCUAAAUCAAACAUAGGUACAAAACAUUCGUACCAGUUUCAUAAAAGUUCAUAUCAAUAAUUUAGGCUUGCAUAACAUUUUAAAAAUAAAAUCAUAAAAGGUUGUCAUGUCAUAAAAUCAUUUACAUAUUAAAAAGCAUUUAUAAAAUACUUUGUUAAAAAGAAUUUAGGUUUGAAAACAUUUACAUAAAACUAAUUUUGUUAUCAAAAUCAAUUAAUCCUUUAAGUAGUAUAAAAACAUUUAUACUUAUAAUAAUAAUAUCAAAAUACUUAUACAUAUCCAGUACAUUAGGAAUGAAGUUACUUACCUCGACAAAUGAAUUUGAAUUAACACACCUCUAAGNNNNNNNNNNNNNNNNNNNNNNNNNNNNNNNNNNNNNNNNNNNNNNNNNNNNNNNNNNNNNNNNNNNNNNNNNNNNNNNNNNNNNNNNNNNNNNNNNNNNNNNNNNNNNNNNNNNNNNNNNNNNNNNNNNNNNNNNNNNNNNNNNNNNNNNNNNNNNNNNNNNNNNNNNNNNNNNNNNNNNNNNNNNNNNNNNNNNNNNNNNNNNNNNNNNNNNNNNNNNNNNNNNNNNNNNNNNNNNNNNNNNNNNNNNNNNNNNNNNNNNNNNNNNNNNNNNNNNNNNNNNNNNNNNNNNNNNNNNNNNNNNNNNNNNNNNNNNNNNNNNNNNNNNNNNNNNNNNNNNNNNNNNNNNNNNNNNNNNNNNNNNNNNNNNNNNNNNNNNNNNNNNNNNNNNNNNNNNNNNNNNNNNNNNNNNNNNNNNNNNNNNNNNNNNNNNNNNNNNNNNNNNNNNNNNNNNNNNNNNNNNNNNNNNNNNNNNNNNNNNNNNNNNNNNNNNNNNNNNNNNNNNNNNNNNNNNNNNNNNNNNNNNNNNNNNNNNNNNNNNNNNNNNNNNNNNNNNNNNNNNNNNNNNNNNNNNNNNNNNNNNNNNNNNNNNNNNNNNNNNNNNNNNNNNNNNNNNNNNNNNNNNNNNNNNNNNNNNNNNNNNNNNNNNNNNNNNNNNNNNNNNNNNNNNNNNNNNNNNNNNNNNNNNNNUUCUUUGACCCCUUGUAUGGUUGAGGCAUUGAUAUGUACCGAAAAUUGGUUACAAGCUAAACUUUUUGCUAAUCCUGUCUACAACCUUCAGGAAGAUAUUAAAGCUGCUGUACCGUACAUCCGCCUUGGCCGUACAGCAGCUAUAACCCUUAUUUAGAAAGGGGUACUAAUUAAAUAGAGGUUAUUUAUGAGAUCAUUUUGGAAAAGGGCUAUUUUUCCUUAUUGAAUAGGGUUUCUUAAGAUCCCCUAUAAAUACAUACUUUUCCCCCUUCCAUAACCCUAAGUUCACAACGUUUAUCCUUCUUCUCUGCUGCUCUUUACGCUCCUACCCAAAUCUUAGGAUUCAAACCUUUGUUUAGGAGAGGCUCAAAGCGACGGGUAAGUUCACAACGUUUAUUCUGAACAGCAUGAGUAUCUCGAAUUUUUAAAGCUAUAUUUUCUGAACGAAUUUUCUUAUAAAAUUUAUAUUUCUGGAAACUAGACAUGUAGGGCUUCUUGAUUAAAUUUUAUUUCAUUAAAUUCAACUUCGUUUUCAAUUUUAUACGUAUUUUGGAAAUAGAAACCACUGCACUGGAAAUCCACGAUUCCAGUAUUGUGAUCAGAUUCACAAGACUAUUUGUACCACCAAAUGAACUCAAACAAUUCUGAAAGUUUAUAUUUAUGUUAAUAUAUGUGUCUAGGAUUCCCAGUUUUAAUUUCAUAAUUUUCUGAUUAGUAUUUUAUUUUAUAAAAAUCACGGAACCCGUUCUGUUUGGUUUAGAUUAUGUGAAAACAGUUUCGAAUUUGCUGAGAAGUAAAUAGUUUUUAAAAUAUUUUUAAUAUUGGAUUCUCUUGUAAAUUUUACAUGGGGUACUCAUGGAUGUCCAGAAUGGUUCCAUAGGAUUUUAUAUCAUUCUGAGUCUUUGAUUAAGAGUUAAAAUUCCGAGAAUCAGACCUGUACGGGUAUGAAUUAGAAAAUCAAAUUCUUAGAAUAAGUUAUUGAUUGUCAUAUCUUGUAUUUGUUUAAGGUUUUGAAGGUGUUUGAGGCUCUUAGAAGCUUAGAGGUGUGUUAAUCCAAGUUCAUUUGUCGAGGUAAGUAACUUCAUUCCUAAUGUACUGGAUAUGUAUAAGUAUUUUGAUAUUAUUAUUAUAAGUAUAAAUGUUUUUAUACUACUUAAAGGAUUAAUUGAUUUUGAUAACAAAAUUAGUUUUAUGUAAAUGUUUUCAAACCUAAAUUCUUUUUAACAAAGUAUUUUAUAAAUGCUUUUUAAUAUGUAAAUGAUUUUAUGACAUGACAACCUUUUAUGAUUUUAUUUUUAAAAUGUUAUGCAAGCCUAAAUUAUUGAUAUGAACUUUUAUGAAACUGAUACGAAUGUUUUGUACCUAUGUUUGAUUUAGAUUAAACAAAAUUUGUAAAAUUGUAUUAAAAGAAACCUAAUUUUUUUGUUAUCAAAAUGCCAAUUCACCCCAUUACCGAAACCACAGCUCGAACAUCCAAUUCUGAUUCUGAUCGUAAUUUUUUUCUUCAGCAUACACAUACACAGACUUAAUGAAAAACUAGACAUCUCAAAUGUUAUUCUGCUUUUUUUAUCCCGAGUGAUUUUAUCCUAAUUUUUUUUAAAUGAUGUGUUAUUCAUAAGGUGGAUGGUAAGAUGGUGUGAAUCAAGAUAAAAUUUGGUAUAUCAUGAAAUUUUGUUUCUCCAAAAUUUUAUCGUAUAUUACGAUCAGAAUCAGAAUCAGAAUCAGAAUAACUAUGGACAAUGAGCCAAAACAUUAAGAAUCUCAUACAAUCAUCAAUAAUUGAAAUCAAACAUAGGUACAAAACAUUCGUAUCAGUUUCAUAAAAGUUCAUAUCAAUAAUUUAGGCUUGUAUAACAUUUUAAAGAUAAAAUCAUAAAAGGUUGUCAUGUCAUAAAAUCAUUUACAUAUUAAAAACAUUUAUAAAAUACUUUGUUAAAAAGAAUUUGGGUUUGAAAACAUUUACAUAAAACUAAUUUUGUUAUCAAAAUCAAUUAAUCCUUUAAGUAGUAUAACAACAUUUAUACUUAUAAUAAUAAUAUCAAAAUACUUAUACAUAUCCAGUACAUUAGGAAUGAAGUUAUUUACCUCGACAAAUGAAUUUGAAUUAACACACCUCUAAGCUUCUAAGAGCCUCAAUCACCUUCAAUACCUUAAACAAAUACAAGAUAUGACAAUUAAUAACUUAUUAUAGGAAUCUGAUUUUCUAAUUCAUACCCGUACAGGUCUGAUUCUCAGAAUUUUAACUCUUAAUCUAAAACUCAGAAUGAUAUAAUAUUCUAUGAAACUAUUCUGGACAUCCAUGAGUACCCCAUGUAAAAUUGGUAAGAGGAUCUGACAUCAAAAACAUUUUAAAAACUAUUUGCUUCUCAGCAAAUUCGAAACUGUUUUCACAUAAUCUAAACCAAACAGAACGGGUUCUUUGAUUUUUAUAAAAUAAAAUAAUAAUCAGAAAAUUAUGAAAUUAAAACUGGGAAUCCUAAACACAUAUAUUAACCUACAUAUAAACUUUCCGAAUUUUCUGAGUUCAUUUGUGGUACAAAUAAUCUUGUGAAUCCGAUCGCAAUGCUGGAAUCGUAGUUUUCCAGUGCAGUGGUUUCUAUUUCGAAAAUACAUAUAAAAUUGAAACCGAAGUCGAAUUUAAAGAAAUAAAAUUUAUUCAAGAAGCCCUACAUGUCUAGUUUCCAGAAAUAUAAAUUUCAUAAGAAAACUCCAUAAUAAAUCAAAACCCUAAACAAAGCCUAAAUACAUUCUAAAUCAUGCAUUAUGAUCUAUAACCAUCUAGAAUCGUGCCAAUAUAAACCCUAGAUAGAGUGAUUAGAAAUCUGUUGAGAAUAAGGAGAAUAACUUACCCGUUGCUUUGAUUCUGUCCUAAACAAAGGUUUGAAUCCUAGGAUUUGGGUAGGAGCGUAAAGAGCAGCAAAGGAGAAGAAUAAACGUCAUGGACUAAGGGUUAUGGAAGAGGAAAAGUAUGAAUUUAUAGGGAAUCUUAAGAAACCCUAUUUAAUAAGGAAAAAUAACCCUUUUUCAAAACUAUCUCAUAAAUAACCUCUAUUUAUAAUUUAGUAUCCCUUUCUUAAUAAGGGUUAUAGGCCACCCAUAAUUAUCAAUGAAAGCCCAAUUUCUAUAAUUUAAUAUUAUGGAAAUUUGUGGCGUUACAGAAGGCUUUUCAGGGAAGGGAUAUUCAAGUUUAGAUAUCUCAAAAGAAAUAAAUUUUCGACUUCGGAAGGAUAUCGGAUGAGAACAAGAGAUCCCAAGUCCAAUACUCUAAGAAAGUUGAACAUUUUACAGAUUUUCUCGCAAUAAUUGGGGUCAAGGUAGUGGCUUCCUAAAGUGAGGUGCAACAAAGAAUGGAGGAACGAGUCAAAAUGAUCUAAAAAUUCAAAAUCAUUCAAAUUUCCAUGAGCGGUGAAGCGUUUCACAUUUUCUCGUAAUUUAACUUCCUGAUCCAUGAUUGGGGAAAUGACAAAUUCCCCCUCGAAAGCCCCAGUCAACAACGCAAGACUGCAACGCCCAGGAAUAGAGCACGUGUUGAUUCUGCCUCUGUCACUUUUCUUCCCUACAUCAACAAAGCCUCCAUUGAUUAGCUGUUCUAAGUAUCUCUCAGCAAUUGCUUCAUUGUUGUCUGGAAUGAAACCUUCAGCUAUCCACAACUGAUAUAAUUGCUUGGUGGAUAUCUCAAAGUAUACAAGAAACACAGAUAAGUAGAGACAACAAAGUUUCAAGUAAAAAUGUAACAUACAAUAUGCAACGACUUGAAGCCCUCGGAGUUCAUCAAGUACUUCCUUUAUAUUUUCUUUCAGUGAGAUGCUUCCAUGAUAUAAGAUGUGGAAAGGCCAUCCUUGGUAUGUAACUCUCAAUGGUCCUCCAGUGGGCACAAAUCAAGCCUAAUGUUCUCUCCAUUUUUAAACUGAAAUGAGGCGACGAUUUCAAUGUUAUAAAAAAUAAUCACAGUGAGUUAAACAAAUAAACUAGUAGCUAAUUUGACUACAGCAAAACAACAACUGAUAUAAACAACAGGAAAAAAAAUAACAACUGAAGAAAAUAAACUCGAGGCCUGUAAUACAGUGUCCUUAAAACAGAUUUACCACCUAUUGAAGUGCUUUAGGUUUACUGGUAACUGUUUCCCAGGAUACAACGGGCACGAAUUUUCUGUCAAGCACAGACAGAUAAUUCCGGCGAACUACAACAACGGUAAACUCGAUCAGAAAACAAGACAAAAGAAGGAAGAAAGAAAAAUUGUAAGUGCUCUGUGUGCUGGUUUCAGUGUGUGUAAAAACAGAAGAAGAAGGUGCCUUUUUAUACUCAUGUGGGUACGUAACAAUAGCAUAAAAAUUGAAUUUCAGAAUUCAAUAUAUGCAAUUUAAUUGCUGUAACAGCCAUUGAAUUUUAAACAAUUCAAUUCAAAAAUUGAAUUGCAGAACAACCCAAAAUAAUUGCGAAGCUAUUACAAAUCUUUUGAAUUCAAAAGGUGUGAAACUAUUACAACAAAUUUAAAAGGAAAUAAAACACGUGCCAUGCGUGCUUGGGAUGACAUUCGCGGGCGCACACAAGUUCAACCAAAUCGGUCAUGGAUUUGCCCCCCUCCCCUCGCGUACACGCGUGUGGAAAGAGUCUCUAUCCUUAAAAUUCUUGUUCAUGCAUGGUUAAAUGUUUAUAUAUAAAUACAAAUCCUUGGCUUCUUCAAUGAGGAUAACAAAGCCUCCAUUGAUUAGCUGUUCUAAGUAUUUCUCGGCAGUUGCCUCAUUGUUGUUUGGAAUGAAACCUUAGGCUAUCCACGUCUGAUAUAAUUGCUUGGUGGAUAUCUCAAAGUGUACAGGAAACACAGAUAAGUAGAGACAACAAAGUUUCAAGUAAAAAGUUAACAUACAAUAUGCAAGGACUUGAAGCCCCCGGGGUUCAUCAAGUGCUUCCUCUAUAUUUUCUUUCAGUGAGAUGCUUUCAUGAUAUAAGAUGUGGAAAGGCCAUCCUUGGUAUGUAACUCUCAAUGGUCCUCCAGUGGGCAUACUCAUCUCUGAUCGGCUCAUAUUUGUCCCCGUGUUCUGCUCGUACCAUUUGGCUGAGGUGAUCCAUGCCGGGGCGGAAAUAAUAGCAUGGCCGACCUGGUGCUUUUAUUUACUUAACACUCUACUUCCAUUCUGAUUAUCCGGGAGUAUUUCUCGAAUAAUAUCCCACACUUCAAUGCUCCACACAUCAUCAAUCACAAUCAAAUACCGCUUGGUCAUUAGAUAUUCAUGAAGAAUAAUUUUUUUCAUUUCCGAACUUUCUUCCAUAAUUUCACUCAACCUACUUGAAGGCAUCACAAACUUAAUAAUGUCGUAUAAUAUUUGGUCAGCAUCAUACAAUAAAGACUCUUCAACCCAAGCGUGACAAUCAAAAUAAUACUUCACAUAGUUGCUGCUGUAAGCCUCUACGGCAAAAGCCGUCUUGUCCAAUCCAAUGCUAUCGAGUAUGGCCACUACCGAAAGUUGAGGCGGUCCCUCUGUCAGUAGAUCUAAUAACUCCUCCAUUUUAUUAUCUAGACCCACCGUGUCCCUAUUCUUAAAAGACAAGGAUGCAGGAAAAUUACCGGCUUUUGGUUCAAACGAUUUGAGCUCAUCAACGAUUCGGGAGUGGAUGUGCUGAACUUGCUGCAUCCGUUGUUUUAUAUCAAUGAUUUUGCUUUGGAGUCCUAGCAGAGCAUCACAAAUGUCCUUGCUGCAUCUGCUUUGACUCUUCUGUAGAGUGAUGCUAAUAGCAAAUGUGUCAAUCACAUUCUCAGAUACGUAUGAAAAACAAUGAAUUUUGUCAAUGAUAGCCUUAAAAUCUUCUAAUUUUGCCAGAGUUUAACCCUCUUCUGCAUUGACUUGCUACAUAAACCAAGCAGUGUUGUAUCCAGAGUCCCUCAGCCAAGAAGCAACGAUUUCAGUCUCAGUGUAAAGGUUCUGAAUAGGUUGUUCAGCAGCAUCGGGCACCGUGAAUUCUUCAGCAGCUAGCACCCUUCUCAGUCUCUCUGAAAAUAGUCCAAGGUUGAUGUCCAUAUCUCCUUUACUCUCGGUAGUCAGUAGCCAGUAGCCCUAGCAUGCAAAGAAAAUAAUUAAAAAAAAAUUGUUAAAAGCUCUCCUUUUAAUUCAACAUUAGUCAACAUAAUCAACUGAGGAUGGCACCAAUACCUCCUUCUGUCAAGAAGUUGAAUCAAGUUCAGGUGGCUGUUGAGGCAGAACAGAUUAAGGCAGAGCAGUACUAGAAAAUGAAUCUUAAAACUAAAUGCUGUAGAUGUCGUGGGGAUACUGAUUGAUAAAGAGGGAUUAUAUUGAGAAAUUAUUGAUGUACAAUAAUGAUUUUUUGCACAAAACCUGAGGUAUAAUGUACGUGUAUAUAAAAUAUUAAUUAUGCAAGAAGAUAAAAGGGUGUCUUAUAAUUUGUGUUAUAUGUAUAUGUAUAUGUAUGAAGAAAGUAAAAUAAGCUAUCAAGACUAGUUUCUUUUUUGCCCUCUCAAAAGACUGAAAGAUUAAAAAUAAUUCCACUGGGACCAUAAAGCUUGUCUAAAGAAAAAAAGCAUCACCUUAGAAUUUGAUUCAUUGAUGCAUCUAAUGCAUAAUAGUCCCUAUUGUUUAGAUAUUUUCUUUUCAAGCGCUCUACAGACUACAACAGAAUGCGUUAUAGUUUCAAUGGUUAGAUGAUCAUUCAAUAGGGCUAAAGGUGUGCAUUGGAUUGGAUUCGAAUAGAUCUGAUUUGAAUUUGGAUGUUUUAAUCUAAACAAUCUGAUUGGAUUGAACUACUCUACAUAUAUAUAUAGAAUUCAUGAUUGUUUUGUAAAAAUUAUCAAAAAGACCUAAAUUCGAAUUCAAUCCGAAUUUAAAAUACUAUUUGAAUUUAAAUACUAAACAAUCUAAAACCAAAUUCAUCUGAAAUAUCGAUUUAUUUUGAAUCGAAUUGAUUGUAUUUGAGAUUUAGGUUGGAUUUGAAUGAUUUUUUUUUCCUAAUCCAAACAAUUCAAAAUCCAAUCGGAAUUAUCCAAAUCUAAAGUGCAAUAUUCAUCUCUUUUUCAUAUAUCCUUCGCUAAUUGAAAGCAUCAUGAUGUCGGGCCCUUCUUUAAAAAAAAAAUAAAAAUCUUCAACUUAUAUGCAACUCCUUUCUCAUUAUUAGAGCUGACAAAAUUUGACACGACCCGAUUACCCGACACGAACACGACAUAAAUAAAUGGGUAUGGGUCGUCAAAUUUAACACGAUUAUUAAAUGGGUCGAGUCCGGGUCAACACUAUUUUUUUCCGUGUCGGGUUAGGGUUAAAAUUCUUGACCCAUUUACCCGAUCAAUGAUCCGAUUAUAUUUUCUAUUUUAAAAUAAUUUACAUAUUAUUAUCAUUAAAACUCAAAUAUUAGAGAUGAUUUUUUUUUUAUUCUUUAAAAGGGUGAAUAUAAACACAGUGUUUUAUUUAUAAAAUUUUAAAUACAUUUAGAGCUUCAAUAGUGUAAAUAUGUAAAAAUUGAUAGACAUGUAUAUUUUAUAAUAUACAUAUAUAUAUAUAUAUAUACAUACAUACAUAUAUAUAUAUACAUACAUAUAUACAUACAUAUAUAUAUAUAUAUAUAUAUAUAUAUAUAAAAAUUCGUAGAUAUGUAUAUUUUAUAGUAUCGAUAAAUUAUGUAUGUAUGUAUGUGCAUACGUAUGUACUAUAGUGCAUAAAUAUUUGAUGUAACUUUUGUUCAAUAUAUAGAUAUUAAACGGGUUAUUGGGUUACCCGAUUAUUUUUCCGUGUCGGGUUUGGGUCUCAAUAUUUUGACAUGAUUAUUAAAUGGGUCGGGUUUGGGUCGACCUAAAUUUGACACGAUACGAAGCUGACAUGACACGAAUACGACCCGAUGACCCGUUUUGCCAGCUCUACUCAUUAUUACUCUUCUUUGUGUUCGACUAUUGUAGUGCUUUUUCUUUUGAGAUAAACUUUAUGGUCCCCAGUGGGAUUGCUUUUACCUUUUCUUUCCUGAAAGUGGAUAAAACAAAUUGAUCUUUGAUUGAUACUUGAUGAUGUCCUAUUUUCUUUUUAUUUUCAUAUUUAUUUUUUUUAACAUAAUGGAAGACUGGAAUAUAGAUAAAAGACAGUGUGUGCCAGCAAGAAAACUUUUUCUCAAGAUUGAAAAUGACUUAAAAAAACCAUUUUUCUCCAACUAAUAUCUUCAAAAUCAUUAUUGUAAUAACAGAACCCAAAAAAUAAUUAAAUAUUCUCUUGUUUAAUAUGUUGCAUGCUUGCAGAAAAUUGCGGAUGAUUGCACCAAUAAUUCAACCUUUACUCCGUGAGCUUUGAACUAAUAAUAUGUCAUCAGUUAUUGUCUAAAUAAAGAAAUUUAUGAAUCGGUAUAAAAUGGGGUCCUAAAUCCUGACCUACAUUGAAAAUUGGGAUAUGAAAUUUGUAACAAAUCUUAUAUAGGGUUUGUAUCUCGAUUGGUAUCUGGAUAAUUUUGCCAGCCUAGGUUCACGUAUUAACAGUUAGAGCGGGAGAUCCCAAAAAAGGGUAUCUUGAAUUUAACCAAAUUCAUUAUAAGGAUAUAUGGACCCAUUUGAUUGCCUAAGGGAUCUCGAAUGAGAUUUUCAGACAUCUCAAAUCCCGUCUUGAAUAUUAAGUUGGAAGAAAAUUAGAUCUUGAAUCUCAACUCGAAUAAUAAAUCAGAAUGAGAAACUUUUAUCAAAUCUUGUAUCAUUUAGGACGGAUUCCCAAAUUCCAAUCGAGAUUUGAGGAAUUUUGUAUUAGCAACCAAAGCCGAAGAUCCCAAAAAAUGAUAUCUUGAAAUUAACCAAAUUCACUAUAAGGUAUAAACUCAUUUGAUUGCACCCUUAAAAAGUAUUACCGAUGACACCACACAAUCAUAUUAUUAAAACAAACCAAACCACACAUAUCCAAGCUUAACAUGUAUAUAUAAGAGCACAAAAAAUAACUUCUUUCUCGUUAUAAAGGAGAACAGAAUCAGCUAGAAGCAGGGGAAUCAAUGUAUAACAGAAAAUAAAAGGGAAAAAAAAUGAUACACAUUCAUUUUUUCAGCAAAAACCAACGACUAUAAGGUGAACAUGAGGCAACAACCUCUAAAAUUGGACAGAAUCGGCUAAUACCUUAAAAUUCACAUGCUAAUACUAUUUAUAAUUUCUAUGUCAAAAAUUUAAAAUAAUCGGUAGUAUUUGUUCAAAACAAGCAUUUGUAAUCAAUAUUUUUCCUACAUUCUUAUUUGGAUUAUUAUUUAGAGAAUCUAAGAUAAUAACAAUCCAGCAUUCAAGUUAUUUAUGAAUGAUAAGGACUUGAAUCUCCAUAAAAUUGGAGAUUCUGAAGAUUAGGCAAUAUGCCCCAGUUUCUAUUUCUUUUAUUUAGUCCUCUGAUGUAUCAACAAUCAACGCUAGAAACGCAAUCCCCGAAAUUGAAUUAAAAAAAAUAUAGAAAACAUAGAGCAAAUCAACAGUAGAUUCAGCAACAAUGGUGCCUACAUCCAAACUUUUCUUCUAAUGGAAGUGAUGCAGAAUUCCCUUAAGACAAUUAUGACAAUUAACAUGUAUUACACAUGGUACGACCAAACCACACACGUCCACACUAAGUUGGAGUUUCAAGCACAUUACAAGAAUGAAGACACACGAAUAGAAUAUACACAGUGAAUCCAAAAACUUGACAUUAUUACUUGUAGCAGAUCCUUGAAAACAAAGAAACCCAACAAUGUCCUGUAUCAAUCCUGAGGACUCAAUAAUGUGUAGACAACAUAAGUGAAUACUGAAAGGAUCAAGGCCGGAUUCUGGUUGAAAUUGAAACUUUUGCUGCACUACACUUGACAUAUUUCCCGGUAUGAUUUCACCUGCGCAAGUAAUUUAAGAUCUGAAAUUAUAGUUUUUCCUGACUGUUCAACAAUCAAUACACAAGGGUUCUUCCUCUUCUAAAAAUAAUUAAGGGAAAAUGGUCGGGGUCAGCAAUAGGAACUGUGAUGAACACUUUAUGUCUAAUGUUGAGACAAGAAUUAGAAGCAACCACAAUUAGAAAACACUUUAUAGCAUUAGCAAGCUGCGUACUAUCAAAUAUAUUGAGGAGAAGAAAAAAAAAUGUAUGAAAUUAGAUUAAUAAUUAAAGGUUGAUGAUAUAGCAUAAAAUGAAAAACUUACAUCUAAUUAAAUCCAUGCAAAUCAAAUUCCAUAAGGAUAUACUUGAUUGUCAUACUGCGCCUUAUCCUCGAAGUCCCGUAGCUUUUGUCUCAGCUCCGGCUGAAGCCACCAACACUCGAAUUUGUUUAAGCUCUUUGUGCACCAGAGCUAUUCAGGAAUCUUUUUCUAAUUAGCACAAGAAUUGAGAAUCAAGCAUUCCAGUUUUGGCAUGGCUCCAAGCCUCAUAGUCCACUUCUCUAGCCAUGGCAUUGAAUUCAGGUGCACUAUCUUGAGCUUUGGGAAACCAUCACGCCCACAAGUCAGCUAUUUACCUAAAUAUGAGCUUUGCUUCAGUUUGAGCACUUGAAGAAGUGGAAACGUUUCUAGUGCAGGCAUGGGAUCAUCCAUUUGUUCAAUAUUUGAAAAACUCAAGUGGAUUAGACUUUGAGGAAGUAGGUAUUUGGCACAGACGAUUUUGAAGAGCCUUGGCAUCUUGCUUUCAUUCACCAUCUUCAAUGACUUGAGGCAUCUGAAUCUGCAAAGGCUUUGGGACAUCAAAAAUUGAUAAAAAUAUAAAUCUCCUCAUAUCCAGAGAUUUUGAGGAUUAGGUAGUCUGUUCAAUAUAUCUUCAAUACAGCAGCAAGGAUGCGUGGCUGUAAUGAAAUUGAGAUUUUCCAAAGAGCCGCAAUAUUUUCCUGGAUGUGCGGGAGGUAUGAUCGAGCCAAAAUUUAGAUGCCUGAGUUUGUUCAUCUUCCAAAAUUCAUCUGUUGUAUGAUUUAUGUAGCUAAAGGGAAUGGCUAUGGUGUAGAGAUUCAGAGAUUUCUUAAUAAUGAUAAAGCCAGGCUUUUGAGGGAAGGGAUAUUCAGCUUCAUAUCAAAAGAAAUAAAGUUUCAAUUUUGGAUGGAAAUUGGCUGAGAACAAGAGAUCCCAAGUCCAUUACUCAAAACAAUUUUCACCCAAUCUAUGGGGUCAAGGUGGUCGCUUUUUUAAGUAUAACAAAUUUUCAUCCAAUCUAUGGGGUCAAGGUGGUCGCUUUUUGAAGUACGACAAAAGAAUGCGGGUGGGAGUCACAAUCAUCUAAGUAAGCAAAAUCACUCUGUUUUUAAAAAACGUAGACAUGGUUGACAUUUUUUCGCGAUUUACCUUUCUGAUCCAGGAUAGGAUGAAAAGAUAAAUUCUGCUUUGAGAGCCGUUUGCCACAAUGAAGGCCAGCAACGACUACGAAUAGGGCAUGCGUUGAUUUUGCCUCCAUCACUUCUCUUCUUUGCAUCAACAAAGACUCUAUUCAUUAGUUGUUCCAUGUACUUCAAAAAGGUAAACAACUCUCAAUAUUAUGUCUGCUUUUGAACUGAAAUGCGAUGACAAUAUCAAUUUCAGUGAGUGUUAUUAGUACUCCACAUCCAUUCUGAUUAUCCAGAACAAUUUCUCGAAUAACAUCCCAGACUUCAAUGCUCCACACAUCAUCAACCACAAUCAAAUACCACUUGAUCAUUAGAUGUUCUUGAAUUUUUUUUUCAUUUCAUAAUUUUUAUCCUUUAUUAUACUCAACCUAGAUAAAGGCAUUAGAAACUUAAUAAUGAUAUCUAAUAUUUGGUCAUCAUCAGCGUCAUAGCUGUAAGGCUCUGGAACCCAAGCGUGACAAUUAAAAUAAUGCUUCACAUCACUGCUGCUGUAAGCCUCUGCAGCAAAAGCCACAUUGUCCAACCCAAUGCUAUCAAGAUGGCCACCACUGAAAGCUGAGGUGGUCCCUCUUUCAAAAUAUCUAACAACUUCUCCAUUCUGUCUUCUAGACCCACCAUGCCGCUAUUCUUAGAAGAUGAAGAUGCAGGAAAAUAGUCAGCUUCAUCUUCAAUACUUUUGAAAUCAUCAAUGAUUCCGGAAUCUAUGUAUUGAAGUUGUUGCAUCCGCUGUUUUAUAUCAUUGAUUCUACUCUGAAGUCCUAGCAGAGCAUCACAAAUGUCCUUGUUGCACCUGCUUUGACUCUUCUGUUGAGUGAUGCUGUUGAGAAUGUGUCAUUGACCUUCUCAGAUUCAUAGGUAAAGCAAUUGAUUUCUGCCCAAGGUCUGGGUUGUCAACUUCAUCUUCUCCUAUGUUUUGCAGCAGAAGCCAGGACAUAUCGUAUUCAUAGUCCCUUAGCCAAGGAGUAACGAUUUCAACCUCGGCAUGAAGGUUCUGAAUAGGUUGUUUUGCAGCAUCAGGCAAUGUGACUUCUUGGCCAGCUAACACCCUUCUCAGCCUCUCCGAAAAUAGUCUGAAGUUGAUGCCCAUAUCUCCUCAUUGAAAAAUUAGUGUUGGCUCCCAUUCCUCCCUUCUCUUAGCUAGUACUCCAUCCAAGAAGUUGAAUCAAGAUUGCUGACUCUCAAAUUAGAACAGAUCAAGGCAGAGCAGUGCGGGAAAUGAAUCGUACAAUACUUUGUCUUCCAUAUAUUGUAAAAAGAAUAAAGCAGGGAGAAAUAAUUACAACAUCAUCAAGUAUCAGUCAAGGCCAAUUUGUUUUAUACAUCCACUCUCAAGAAAGAAAGGGAAAAAGCAAUAAAGCUUAUCUAAAAAAAAAAAGAACAGAGUAAGCGAAAGAGCAUUAUCAAUUAUUUAACAAUUGAAGCUGUGGAAAAAUAGAAAGUCAUGUCUGCCACUUACUAAAGAAGUAAUAACAUAGCAACUUUAUAAAAGCACUGGAUACAAUCAUUGCUAUUAUGUUGAAAUUAACCAACUUCACAAUCUGGACAUGAACUCAUUUGAUUGCAACCUUUAAAUAGACUAAUGGAUCACUUGACACAUUGUCUUAUAAAUGGACUAAACAUAAUUGUGAUAAUUUUUUCCCAAACACACUUGAUCGUUGAGAUUGUCAACAAAAGAUGAACAUUGAUGAUUGACAUGUAGUUUUCAAGUAUUUAGAGUAUGACGCUGAGAUAAAUUAGAACUCUACAUGACCAUCUGAAGAAAUUUUCCUCAAAUGAAUCUUUUGAGUUGGAAUUUAGACACAUUCACUAUCAAAGUAUCUUAAAGCAGUGGAGAAUACAUAUGACAAAGGUUGAAGUAACUAAUUUUAUGAGCAGGAACUGAAAUGAUUUUGGCAUGAGAUUACAACAGAUGAUUAACAUAUAUGCUUUCUCUAAGGCAGCCUCAUUAAAAAUGUUAUUUCGUCAAGUCAACUGUCUUCAGGAGAAAAAUGAAGCAACGGUAAUAAAGUAGGUGGUUGAUGCUCGUGAUUCCUCAGUGCGGCAGCAGAAAUAAAACUAAAUUUCAGACUUGCUGUUGUCAUAGAAUAGAUUCACCCUGUCCUUGUCCUUGCCCUUGUCCCUCUUUUUAUACUGAUGAAUUUGAGGCCGACGAUAUUUCUGUGAAUAAAGAAAAUGAUAAUAGAAAUGGAACCAUUGGGCAAAUGGUAGUGUAACCUUUAGUCGACGAUGUGAGUUCACCUUUAUGUACUAUUUAAUUUCCAUUUGUUUCUUGAAACAUAUAUAUGCAAACUUUAGAACAUCAAGGGAAAAACUUGGACAAAGAUUCCAUUUCUUUAUUCACAUAAACAUAUCAACAUCAGUACAUGUCUUUUCUUCUUAUACUUCUUCAAGUUCACCGUCUCUCUUCUUAUCUUAUUUUCAACCGUUAAUAGAAAAAACAUUAGUAAUUAAGAUUUAAAGUGAUAAAACUCAAUUAAGGCAUGCAUGCAAAUUUCAGACCCCCUCUCCCAAAACCAAAAAAAAAAAAACCCACAUUGCCAACAAUUACAGUAAUUUUAGAAAUUUUAAUUAAUUGCAUUUGUAGGUAAUAAGAAUGUUAGGACCCUACUAGUUUAUUUUAUUUUAAUUGCUUGUUUUAAUUUCUUUCCUAUUAGUAUUAGGUUUUCUUAUUUCAAUUAAAGUCGUUAUUAAAUUACAAUUAGGAUUGUCUUGAACUACUAUAAAUAAGUGGUUCUUAUUAUAAUUUUAGGAGACAAGUAAUAAAAUUAAUUCUAAUUCCUAUUAAUUCUUCUCCCUUCUCUUUAAAUUCUUCAUCUAUUCUCUUUUAAUUCUCUAAUCAAAACCCUAGAAUCCUAUCAUCUGGUAUCAGAGCACAUCCUUCCUGCCACCAUUUUUUUUUUCGUUCACUAUUUGAAAAAAAAAACAGCAACCAAACUUUUGUCAAUAUCUCUUGGCUUUUGGAGACUUGAACCGGGCACACCCUCCAAACUUUUUCCAGCAUCUAAAUUUUUCAACCAAACGUGAAUUUUCUUCGAACUUUUUUUAGGCAUCAUGACUGUUAAAGAGCUUGAAGGCCAAGUUGAGCAGUUAUCACAACAAUUCCAUGACAAGUUUACAGCCAUCGAUGAAAAGGUUACAACCUUAGCCAAGCAGAAUAACGAUUUGCAGGAACUCAUGCACGGCAUCCUUCAGUAAUUGAGUUAGUUGUGAAAAGGCAAACAACCAGCUACUGAUCAACGACAAGUUGAUAUAUUUACUGGAGGGACCUCUGCUCCUCAAACGGUCAUUGCUACCCAUUCCCCUCUUGAACCUACUGAACGCAUUGGAAGUACUCUUGUGCAAGCUCGUAACAUAUGCCUUGACUUUCCUAUUUUUCAUGGUGACAAUCCAACGGGAUGGAUUUUUCGAUGUGAGCAAUAUCGUCGCCUUACUGGAUUAUCAGAUGCUGACUUAUUGUCUUUAGCUAUUGGCCAUCUUGAUGGUGAUGCGGUACCUUGGUUUCAUUGGCUAGAGCAGACUAUGGGCGAAAUGACUUGGGCGCAAUUUACACGGGCUUUGACUACUCGAUUUGGGACAUUAGAAGAGAAUGAUGCAGUUGGCAGUCUUACCAAACUAUGUCAAACAGGGACUGUUCUUGACUAUCAACGACAAUUUGAAAAGUUGGCUGAUCGGACUAGCAAUUUAACGGAGCCUUUCUUCAUUAGUUGUUUCCUCUCUGGGUUACGUGAAGAUAUCUAGGCUGGCGUACAACUAUUCAAACCUGUUAGUCUCCUACAAACUUUUGAACUUGCUAGAUUUCAGGAAAAGGCAAUUACUUUACAAGGCAAUUGUUCCCCUAUUCCUGCCAUCCAAGAUCCACUCCCACAAUUACAGUCAACUCCUACUCCACCAGCACCCUCUUUAUUAGGACUGGUUCCCUCUAUCUUACCUAAUAAUGUCAAACGUUUAUCCUCAACUGAGCAGGCGGAAAGAUGUUCUAAAGGGCUUUGUUUCAACUGUGAUGAGCAAUUCAAGCCUGGACAUCGCUGCAAACAAUCUCAACUAUUGCUUUUAGACGCUAAUAUACCUCUUCACAACCCUCAAAAACCACCUGACCAUCAUGUGGAUUGGAAGAUCUCGGUUAUUGAAACUGGGUAAAAGGCUUGCGGACAAGCCUGUUUUAAGGGGCAGUGAAUGUUAGGACCCUAAUAGUUUAUUUUAUUUUAAUUGCUUGUUUUAAUUUCUUUCCUAUUAGUAUUAGGUUUUCUUAUUUCAAUUAAAGUCCUUAUUAAAUUAUAAUUAGGAUUGUCUUGAACUACCAUAAAUAAGUGGUUCUUAUUAUGUUUUUGAGGGGCAAGUAAUAAAAUUGAUUCUUAUUCCUAUUAAUUCUUCUUCCUUCCCUUUAAAUUCUUCAUCUAUUCUCUCUUAAUUCUCUAAUCAAAACCCUAGAAUCCUAUCGAAGAACUUUCAAUCUCCAUCGAAUUUUUUUUUCUCUAAGCUUAUCAAUGUUUCAGUUUAUCUCCAUCUCCAAAAAUCAACCACUAAAUUGGAUAUGCAAUUUAAGUCGGAAGCCAGAAAUUGGUCUAAUUAAAUAAACUUUGGAAGCAAAAUAAAAGUAAUUAGUGGAAACGUUGAUUAACUUACCUCGGAAUUUCCUGAAGAACGAAGCCUCGCUACUAGGUUUCCGUUCCAAAAUAAAAUUUAAAUCAGCUUCAGGUUUUAACUUGGUGGGACACGUACCACAUUUAAAUCAUUUCAAAGAAUUAUUUAAAAAAUAAUUCACAUUUUUUCAAUUUAAAAUAAAUAAAAUUUAAACAAUUAAUCAAUCAGAUCUUUCUUGUAAUUAGUAAAUUUCAUGGGAAAAAUAAUAUAAAUUUUUUGAGAUAUCAUAUCAUAAAUGUAUUUUAAUUAUUUAAUAAGGAUUUAAUUAGUCAAUUGCUUAUUUUAUUCUUAAUAAUUUGAAAUCGUUAAAAAUAAUGUGAAUUUUUUAUGAUUUAAUUUUUUAAAGUGAGGUAGGUUUACAAAAUUUGAGCGAUGGGAAUAUCACCACCCUAUAUUCAAUUAUAAAGCAAAGCAAGAUCUCUCUCUUUAUAUUAUAGAGAUUCCGUGUGAUUUUCUACAACAUCAUGUGGUAUUAUAGUCAAUUGUAAAAACAUGUUAACAUCAUAUGAUUUUGUAGUGAAUCCGCAUGAAAUCCAUAUUUAGACUUCUGCAUUUAAAAGCUUUGAUAUAUAGAAAUUCUCAAGUGUCGAUAUGUAAAUUUUGUGUAAAUUCGCUAUAACACUAUAUAAUGUUAAGUAUAUGCACUCAAGAAUCUCUCUCUCCCUAUAUAUAUAUUAAAUUAAUAUUUUUAAAAAAUCGUUAUUGAAAUUUGACUUCCGAUCUUAGAAUUCUAAACGACUUCCACAAAAAAAAAAUAUUUAAAUUGUUACAAUCUAAAGUGUAAUGAGAGUCUAGAUAUGUAUAAUUUUAGUACAAAUAAAGGUCUGGCAAACAUUUAUUAAGAUGUAUAUAUAGCUAGUACAUAUGAUUUUAUUAAAUCCUGAAAAUCAUGUAUCUCAAGACUUUCGUAAAUAUAUAGUUUAAUUCAACCUUGGGCAAAAAAAAAAAAAAACUCAUAUAUAUAAUAUAUGGACUUAGCAUUUCAAUUUAAAAUAAUUAAAAUUCAAAACCGAGUUAGAAGUUUGAACUCUUUUAAAGGUAGUGAGGUGCAAAGAUCAAAUUAAUUUUUAUCAUCUUUCCUCACCACAACUCAAACUUAGGUGGUUAGCUAAAUAAAACUACUUGAAAACUAUUGAGUUAGAGCUCCAUGGAGGCACACCACUAGCAUCUUCAUUCAUGUGAUAUAAGACCUGUAAAUCUAAGGAUUUAUACGCAAGAGUGUGGCAAGUAUGAUGUUCAUUGUUGAUGCCGAAAAACGACCUCAACAGCUAAAUUUGUUUUCUUUUGGGGAAUUACAGUGCGAAUCCAAGCUCAAACGUCGGUCUGAACCCAGCUUUAUAUACCUGACAACUAGAAAACACGGUUAGGAUACGCCUGUGGGGUCUCGACGUAGACCAUCUGAUUCUUAAGUUAGAAAUUGUGUAUAAGAAAAAGGUAAACGAAAAGGGAAAACUGAAAAUUAAGGAUUUUUUUCAGUAGAGAAAACUAAAAAUAUUGUCGGGAAUCCUAUGACUUUUAGAUAGGUGACUUAUAAAAUUUUUGGUUCAUUUUUCUAACCCCUUCCUCAGAUGCCCUUUUUAGCUUAAAUAGGCCCUUGGUCGUGGGUGGUUACCACCUUUAACUUCUGCCCAUUUUCUUCAACAGUUGCACGUGGUCAUCAAUUGCAGACAGUUUAAAUGGAUUGUGGCACACAACUUUCCUAGAAAUUAGGCCACGUUAUCUCAAUCGAUAGCUUUCUAUGUCAAGCUAAUUUUUGGGUCGAACAAAUAAAUUUCGAGAUCAGAUUUCUUCACUUUCAGGUCGGACCAGUGAAUUUCCUGGUCGCUCAUAUAGGCUUAAGGUUGUAUUCUUAAAUCAGGUCAUUUACAUAAAUCUCAUAUCAUACUUGUAAACCAGGCCGCCAAAAUAGGAUCUAGGUUGUACUUACGAGAUUAGCUCGACGACAAUGAGUUCUGAGUAGAUUGGGGUCGACUAUAUUUCUAAAUAUUACUAGAAAAAUCCAACCCGAACAAUGUUGACUCUUUCUAGAGGUUAUCAGAAAAAUCCAACCCGAACACCAGUCUCAUAGUUUUCAACAUCAGGAAGCUAUUUUCGGUGUUGGACACUAAUUAAUGAAAAAUAUAAAAAUUCUUAUAAAUUGAACACCAGUCCCCUAGUUUUCAGUACUGAGAAGAUAUGAACGGUAUUGGAAACUGAAACAAUGAAGAAAGCGUAGUAUGGUCUCCAGCAGAACAGGGGUAAUGUGAAGUAGAACAAGGAUAGUGUUGCGUUAAAAUAGGCUUAAAAGUAAGAAUUUGGCAAAAAUAAUAAUAAAAAAUAAAAAUAAGGAAUAAAUAAAGAAUAAAGUAAAUAAAUAAAAAAGCGAGACCAUGGAGAAAAAGCAUAAGCACGUGACUUAAAGGCAAAUUGAAAACAUACAUUUUGUCUUUUCUCAAUACCUUUUGGCUUCUGUUUCGUUUGGGCUUCUGUUUCGUCCUCAUCCUCCACACUUUUUCACAAUAAAAGUGAAAUAUUGAGCUGUCGCCGUCCUGCGAUUUUUGGGUAAAUUGAGCAACGACGCUACAGAGCCAUAAUCAAACAUGUUAGUGAGUACCUCGCGCGCCAUCUUCUGUUGUGCUUUUUUUUAUAAUAAAUACCAGAUCUAUAUAUGUGUGUAUUGAAACCAAACGCCCUUUUUUUUUUUUUUAUAAACAGAACUCGCCUUUUUUUUUUGUUUGUUUUUGUCACAACUCAACUUCUUCUUCUCUUUGCUGCGUUUCUCUCUCUCUGUUUUUUUUUUUGUUUUGCAUUCUCCCUCUCUCUUUGUUAUUGUCGAAACUCAAACUUCUUCUUCUCUUUGUUGUGUUUCUUUUUUUUAAACUACUCUCAGCUAAUGUUGCAUUUUAUUGAUGUAGAACCAAUGCUGAAUGAUGUUACUAUUGUUGACUAUCAGCAAAACUGGAAUCCAUUAUGACUAAAGGAGAUCCGGUGAGUUGUCUCAUCCCAAGCGCAUUUGCUUGUUGCUGUGUUUUGUAUUGUGUUGGAUGUGAUGUUGACAAUGAAAGGUUGCUUGUAAUUUGCUGUUUACAUACUGGGUGUUAAUAUUGACUGGAAAUGAGGUUUUGUUAAAUGUAACAUUAGGUAAUAAUGGAAUUAAGGAGUGAAGAUGGGUCACUUUGUAGCGAUUCGCAAAAUGCGAAUAAGGAGUUGUUGGACGGGCUUAGUGAUAUUGCAUCGGGUGUAGAUGAUAAUGGAAAAGUCAGGGAAGAUAAUGUAGAAUUAAAUUGUAACGUGGCCGAAAAUAAGUCUAAGAAAAUAAGACGCGGAAAUGAGGUGAAUGAGGAAUCGAGUUGUGCACAAUUUGAAGAUGAGGGAGAUGAGCAUGAAGAAUAUGGCGUGAAUAGACUAAACUUUGAUAAGACUAAACUUUGAUACAAAAGAGAAAGAGAUUGAAGAGUUGAGGAAGGAAUAUCUUAUUGCAGACGAUAUUACACUUAAGUUAUUGGGCGAAGAUGAGGUGGCAAGCAAAUUGGGUAAUGGAAAUUUUUUAACUUGGUUUCAAGUUGCUCAUUCAACCUUACUUUGCUCGAAUGUUGGUGAGAGUGGGUUUGAGUCCAGGUCAACUUGACCAAAAUGGCUGGAGGGUUUUAGGUGGUAUGUAUGUUGUAUGGGCUGAGCAGAAUAUAACCGAGCCGUGUUUUAAGGAGUUUACUCACUUAUAUUUUUGUAAUGAGCAUGGGAUCAAUCACAAAGGAUAGUACUAUUUUAUGUCAAAAUCAAAUAGUAGAAGAAUAGUACUUGACUUUCCAAGCUCAUGUAGAGGUUGGAAAAACAAGUAUUUCGUGGUGGGUGGAAAUUAGGGUAGGGAUGUAGAGCUGACCAAGGGUUGGUUUAAAAUUCCCACUCGUUUUAGUAGACUAGGUAAUUCAAGUUUUGUUCAGGUUGAGGUCGAAAUAAGGAUACAAUCUAACACAUGUUUUUACUGCAGUGACUUUGAAGAAGAAAGUUGAUAUAAAUGACAAGCUGAGUGCUAGAGUUGAGAAAUGAUUGCUAAAUGCAGGAAACACGUCUACUGCUAAGCGUACCCCUGCAGAAAUUGCAAAAGCCGUGAUCAAGGAGAUAUCGAACGAGAAAGGAAAACCACAUAGUAAGAAACCAUGGCGGGCAUCACAGAAAAACAAAGCUGAUGAGAAAAAAGAAAAAUAACUUGCUGUUUCAGCUUGCAACAUGCUACCUCAGAGCAAAAGUGACCGAGCUAGCGACUCUCGUCCCUUGCGCAUUUUACCACCUACCUCUUCCCCGAUAUGUCCGAAAGGAAGCUUGCUUGAAAGCAAUGACAUCAUAGAGUCAAAGUGAGGAAGAGCGGAGGACUUACUACCCAUGGUGAACUUAGCUGCUCGAUUUGUGAGCCAGGGUACCAUCAAGAAUUUUUCCCACUUGUCAGCUACUCAUGCUCUUGAAGUGCUUGCUCGAAACCAAGCUGAGGUGGGUAUUAAUUCACAAUCUUUAUUUCUUUGAUGUUUAUACUUUUCUUCUUAACCAUCAUGCUUUCUUUCACAGCAAUCCUUGAUCAUGGCCGCGGAUAUCGAGACGUUUGCAAAGUCAUUGAAAGGCCAUGCAAAAAUAGAAGAAGUCGAGCGCGCUUUGAUGAAAGACAACCUCACGAACAAAAAGACAGCAAGCGAGCGAGAUCAGCUCAAGCGUGACCUCAAUGCUCACAACGAUGAAAAUACUCACUUGGCAGAAGACUUGGUAGCCAAAAAGAAAUCUAAUGCGAGUAAAGACUCCAAGAUUGCCGAUCUUAGCUAUGAGUUGGAAAAAGUUAAGUCUGAUGUUGAUCAACGCAUUCGACUGGAGAAAAGGCAACUGAAGGCAGAUGUCAUUUAGACAUGCAUUGAAUUGUUCCAAGAACAACACCCGGACAUGGACUUUCAAUGGAUGUUGACUGCUUAUGUGAGCAAAGAAAAGGCUAAGAAGAAGUCAUCGAGUACGGAUCAAGAAGAAAAUCGAGUUCUUCAGGGUGAUGAGAUUAGAGUUGAGGGUGAGACAUCUUUAACUAGCAGAGUUAUUGAAGACGAAGAGCAUGCUUCCUAAGUAGAUUUGAGAAGUUGUUAUAAGGCUUGCCUUUAUGUAAUGUUACGAACUGAUAACUCUUGUUGAGCUUUCAUUUUGUUUUUGUAUUCGGAUAAUCGUUACGUAGCCUGGACGCUAAUUUUUAACAAAGCUAAUGCCGACCACAACAAGACUGAAGAUGUUUAGGCUAUUGCUGAUUGUAACUAGGCUGGAAAGUCGACCUUAAGAAGCGCGAAGCUGACCUCAUUAUAGAUUCUUACAAAGUUAAAAUGUUGCCCUCCACCGUAGGUCUUCCAAAUCUAAAGUGUCGACCUCAAUCGUAGACCUCAAAAAACUAAAUUGUCGACCUCAAUCGUAGAGCUUACAAAGCGAAAGCUUCAACCUCGACCAUGGAUCUUACCAAGAUAAAAUGUCGACGUCAACCGUAGGCCUUACAAAUUUAAAGUGUCAACAUCAAUCGUAGACCUUACAAAACUAAAAUGUUGACCUCAACCGUAGGCCUUACAAAUCUAAAGUGUCAACCUCAAUUGUAAACCUCACAAAACUAAAAUGUUGACCUCAAUCAUAGAGCUCACAACUCAAAAGUGUCAACCUCGACCAUAAAUCUUACCAAGCUAAAAUGUCGACCUCAACCGUAGGCCUUACAAAUCUAAAGUGUCGACCUCAGUUGUAGAUCAUACCAAACUAAAAUGUCGAUCUCAAACGUAUGCUUUGCAAAACUAAAAUGUCGACCUUAAAUGUAGAGCUCACAAAGCAAGUGUCGACCUCAACCGUAGGCUUUACAAAACUAAAAUGUCAACCUCAGUUGUAGAUCCUACCAAACUAAAAUGUGGAUCUCAAUCGUAAGCUUUACAAAACUAAAAUGUCGACCUCAAUUGUAGAGCUCACAAAGUAAAAGUGUCAACCUCGACUAUAAAUCUUACCAAGCUAAAAUGUCGACCUCAACCGUAGGCCUUGCAAAUCUAAAGUGUCGACCUCAGUUUUAGAUCCUACUAAGCUAAAAUGUUGACCUCAACCGUAAAGCUCACAAAGCAAGUGUCGACUUCAACCGUUGGCUUUGCAAAACUAAAAUGUAGACCUCAAAAGUAGAGCUCACAAAGCAAGUGUCAACUUCAACCGUAGGCUUUACAAAACUAAAAUGUCGACCUCAACCGUAGAGCUCACAAAGCAAGUGUCGACUUCAACCUUAGGCUUUACAAAACUAAAAUGUCGACCAAAGUUGUAGACCUCACAACGCAAAGGUGUCGGCCUCAAUUGUAGACCUCACAAAACUAAAUUGUCGACCUCAAUCAUAGGCCUUACAAAUCUAAAGUGUCGACCUCAAUAAAUUGAAAAUUGUAGAACUUAAAUGUUAUGGCUAUAGCCGACCUCAACGAGUUGAAAAUUGUAAAUCUUAAAUGUUAUAGUUAUAGUUGACCUCAACAAGUUUUCACGUUGGACCUCAACAAGGCCAAAAUGUUGAUCUCAAUCUCAAUAAGCUUGGAUAAAUUUUUCAUGUUCGGUCUCAAUAAGGUCUAAAUGUCGAAACUCAAUCUCAAUAAGAUUUGAUAAAAAAUUUCACGUUGGACCUCAAUAAGGCCAAAAUGCUUAUCUCAAUCUUAAUAAGAUUGGAUAAAUUUUCACAUUCGGCCUCAACAAGGCCCAAAUGUCGAUCUUAAUCUCAAUAAGAUUUGAUAAAAAUUUAUGUUGGACCUCAAUAAGGCUCAAAUAUGCCAAUCUCAAAGAAGAUCAGUCACAAGUAGGUAAGAAAUAAAGUUGCAUUUCUGAAUAACCUCAUUGAUAUUAAUAUGACAGAAAUUACGUAAUUGAACACAUAACGAAUUGAAAUAACAAAGAAAAAAACUAUCAUAACAUAUUUAAAAAAAAAACAAACAAGAACAUCAUAAAUAGGAUUGGCCAACUGAUAGUAUUUUUGUAAGUGCUCUGCUUUCCAUGACUUGCCGACGACCCUGCCAUCCGGAUAACCUAACUUAUAUGCGCCAUUACCAAAUGAGUGUAGUACUUUGUAUGGUCCUUCCCAGCUCGGCCCCAGAACUCCAUCAGCUGGCUUUUUGGUUGAUUGAUUGACUUUGCGGAGCACCAGGUCCCCCUCCUAAAAUUGUCGUAGCUUGACAUUCUUGUUGUAGAACUUAGCCACUUUUUACUGGUAAAUUGCUACUUGACCUCUUGCCGACUUUCUCUUCUCAUCAAGCAAAUCUAAAUCCAACAAUAUAUAUUCCCUGUUUAUUGUCUCAUCAUAAUAUUUUGUGCAGUGUGUCUCCAUGCCAACCUCAGCUGGGAUUACUGCCUUAUGUCCGAAAGCAAGUGAGAAUUGAGUCUCCCCCGUUAAAGUCUUCACGGUCAUUCUAUAGGCCCACAGUACUCCUGAAAGCUCAUCCACCCAAGCUCCCUUCUUCUCACCUAACCUUUUCUUCAACAAUUGCUUUAUAGUUUUGUUCGCCGCUUCCACUUGUCUGUUUGCCUUCGGAUGAGCAGGUGAGCUAAACCGAAGUUCAAUAUCAAGCUGACCACAAAACUUCUUGAAAUUCUCAUUAUUGAAUUAGGUUCUAUUAUUAGUGAUAAUAGCUUGCGGUAGGCCAUAUCUGCAAAUCACAUUCCUCCAUAUAAAAUAUGUUGUGCGCUUCUCGGUUAUCUUUUGUAACGGCUCAACUUCAAUACAUUUAGUAAAAUAAUCAAUGGCUACCACCGCGUAUUUCAUUUGGCCUCUCCCGGUUGGCAUUGGUUUGAUAAGAUCCACCCCCCAUUGUGCAAAUGGCCAAGUGCUCCCCAUUGUCAUCAUGUUUUCUGGUGGUUGUCUUACAAUUACGACGAACUUCUGGCAUUCAUCACAUCUCCGAACUAACUCUUGUGCAUCUUCAUGCAUGGUCGACCAAAAAUAACCAUACCUUAUUAUUUUAUGGGCCAAUGCCAUACCUCCGCUGUGAUUUCCACAAAUUCCCAUAUGCACCUCUCUCAUCACAUAGUUGGCAUCAGCUGAGCCCAAACAUCGCAGGUAAGGUAAAGUGCAACUUCUCUUAUAAAGCACAUCUUCGAUAAUGGAGUACCGUGUUGCCUGGCAUCGCAGCCUUCUUGCCUCUGCUUUAUCUUGAGGUUGUUCCUCAAAUUCAAUAUACCUCAUGAUAGGCACCAUCCAGUUCUUCUCAUCUUUUACCAUACAAACUUUCAUUUCAGAAUUAACUAUUGGCUUUGAAACUGACUCCAAUGGAAUUCCUCGUUGGAACUUUGGGCAUUCUAUAACUGCCAGUCUUGCUAUAUAACCUGCUCAGUAAUUCUUUCCCCUCAGAACUUUCUCCAUUGUAGCGUGAUCAAAACUACCACAUAACAGUAGUGCUUUGCUCAGAUACUUGGACAUGUUCUCACUUUUGGCUUGAAAUGUCCCAUUCUAGUAGUUCACUACCAGUUGAGAGUCACUUUUCACCUUCAAAUGCCAAACUCCCAAUGCUCUUGCUAAUUUUAGACCCGCACUGAGAGCUUCGUAUUCUGCUUCAUUGUUUGUAGGAUGGAAUUCAUACUUGAGAGAGUAGCAUACUUCUUCCUGGUCGGGUGAAACAAGAACAAUUCCCCUGCCUGACCCUUAUGGGUUUGCAGCUCCAUCUACAUUAAGCUCCCAUACAUCAUUCUUCUUCUCUGCCUCUUUAAUCUCCUGCUCGGCAUCCAUCUCUUCACUCCCUUCACUGCAAUUAUUAAUGAAGUCGACCAGAGCUUGUGCUUUAAUUGCUGACCUCGAUUGGUAACCGAUGUCGAAUUCACUUAGUUCUACUAACCACUUAACUAGUCUUCCUGAAAUGUCUUAUUUUUGAAAAAUUGAUCUCAAAUGUUGAUUAGUGACUACCACGAUCUCAUGAGCUUGAAAAUAUGGCCUCAGCUUUCUUGUAGCUACAACAAAAACCAUUGGCCACUUUUCUGCAAUAGGAUAUCUUACUUUUGCCCCUGUAAGAGAUCUGCUCAUGUAGUAUACAAGUUGUUGUACUUCAUCUUCUUCUUUUACCAUGACUGAGCUAGUUGAAUAAUUUAAGACCACCAAGUAGAUCAAGAGAACAUCACCCACUAAGGGCUUAGCCAAAGUGGGUACAUUGGCCAAAUAUGCCUUUAAUUGUUGAAAUGUUGUCUCACAUUCUUCCAACCACCUCAAUCUUUUUCCUUUCUUCAUCAAUUCAAAAAAUGGAUGGCAUUUCUCUGAUGAUUUCAAAAUGAACCUACUCAGCGCAGUAACCUUUCCAGCUAAGCUCUGAACAUCUUUAAGAUCCUUCGGCGACCUCAUCUUGGGGAUGACUUCUACUUUUUUCAGAUUAGCUUCUAUCCCCAUUUGACUAACUAGGAAGCCCAAAAAUUUCCCUGAUUCCACUCCAAAGGCACACUUUUCCGAAAUCAACUUCAUCUUAUCUUUUGUAGCACUUCAAAUGUCUUACGCAAAUGCGUUGUAUGUUCCGCCUGCUCAACAUACUUGGUUAUCAUGUCAUCUAUAUAUACCUCCAUCAUUUUACCAAUCAAGGGCUUGAAAAGCUUGUUUACCAACCUUUGAUAAGUAGCUCCAGUAUUUUUUAAUUCGAACGACAUCACAUGGUAGCAAUACAAUCUUUGGUCGGUCACAAAAGCUGUCUUUUCUUCACCUGCUGUGGACAUACGAAUCUGGUUGUAUCCUGAGAAUGCAUCCAUAAAACUCAUUAAGUCAUGCCCGAUUGUUGAAUCCACUAACUAAUCAAUCUUUGAGAGAGGGAAACUAUCUUUAGGACAAGCUUUGUUGAGGUCGGUAAAGUCUACACACAUCCUUCAUUUUCCAUUCGCCUUUUUAACCAUUACCACAUUCGAAACCCAUUCUGGAUAGUUCACUUCCCUUAUAAAUCCCACUUUCAACAAUUUAUCUACCUCAUUAUGGAUGGCCGCAUACCUUUCCUGGUUGAACACUUUUCUUUUCUACUUCAUUGGCCUAUGUUUUUUAUCUAUAGCCAACUAGUGACACAUGAUUCGUGGGUUUAUUCCCAGUAUAUCUUCAUGUCUCCAAGCAAAUAUGUCAUUAUACUCCACCAAUAAAUUCUGAAGCUCAUUAAAAAUGUCAUCUGUUAUCUUUGUUCCCACUCUUACUACUCUGCUCGGAUCAUCCUCACUUACUGGUACUUGUUUCAUUUCUUCAUUAGGUCGCUAUUGGCAUAACCUAUUUUCAGCUCGUGGAUCGAUACUUGUGAUCUUCAUGGAUUCUCUCACAAUUUUAGUGUAACAGCUUCGAGCCACUUAUUGUUGGCCUAUCAUCACUCCAACUCCACCUUGAACUCUAAAUUUCACACAUUGCAUAUAAGUUAAGCUCACUACUCAUACUAUCCUAUUGAACGGUCUGCCCAAAAUAACUUGAUAAGGGCUAAGCUCAUCAACUACCAACCAUGUCACUAUCACUGUCUUUUGUAGUGGGUUGGACCCUAUUGUCAGCGGCAAGUCAAUCAACUCAAGUGGAAUCAGCUCAAAUCCACCAAACUCCUUUAGCGAUGUUCUGACGGGAUCAAGCCUGAGGUCUCCUAUUUGUAGAUCAUCCAAAGUUUGCUUAAACAAAAUGUCUACCGAGCUUCCCCCAUCUACAAAAGCUCGAUUCAAUUCUUGCCCUGCCAAGACAACCUUCACUACAAGCAUAUCCUCAUGUGGAUGUACGAUCGCUUCCUCGUCCUCGUCCGUGAACAUGAUCGACACCUUGUGAAUCCGCUGCUUCUUUAGUGCCAGAAUAUUAAAAUUCACCUCGAAACUUUUUAGUGAAUAUCUGCUAUAAUUUCUCCUCAAGCGGUUUGAGUCUCCUGCUAAGGUCGGCCCUCCUAUAAUCAUCAUCGCUAUAUUAUCUCUAAUGUCUUCUCUUCUCCCACCUCUUCUUUGGUCAUCCACAUACUUCUUUAGAUAUUGAUUUUACACUAGCCAUUCAAUUUGUUCCUUCAAGUCUAUGCAAUCUACAGUUCCAUGUCCGGUCACCUUGUGAAACUCACAAUACUUGUGGUGAGCAUUUCCACUCAAACCCCCUACAAUCGGCUUUGGCAGUGUUAGUAACCCCUUAUCUUUUAUUGUAACAUAUAUUUCUACUUUGCUUAUGUUUAGUUGUGUGUAUCUUCCACUCUGUUAUAAUAAAUUCACCCCAUUAGCAGGUCUCGAUCCUCUUCGGUCUACAGGUGGUGGCAACCUAUUGUAAUCUUAUACUUGGCUCUCCCGUUGGUUCCUCUCAUAAUUAUUUCCUCCCUCUCGACCCCUUCCUACUAAUGAGAUUUUUCUUCUUUCAUGAUUUCCUUCCUAAUUUUGACUCGGCCUUUCUGGUUGUCUAUAAUUGAACAAUCCUUUGUCGUAAUGAUGCUUAUCAUUCGUGUUCAUCCUCGAGCUAUACCCAAAGUUAUCUCAUCUUCUUCUCAGGUCCCCCCUUCUCAUCGGAUCCCAUGUCUGCAUUUCCAUUCUCCUUGUUUCUUCCUCUGCAUCUUCAAUUUUCAUAUCCAAAUUUUCCUGGUCAUACGCCUCAGUAUAUGUUGUUAUCCUCUUACUAUAUGAGUUAUUCCACAAUCGAUUGAUUCUCAACCCUUUCUUUAAUCCCUCUAGAGCAUCUGGAUGAUCAAAGGCCCCUAGAUCAGUAAUCUCUUUAUGAUACCUGGUCACAAAACUCCUCAAACUUUCAAAUUCUCGUUGGACUAAUUUUUUUCAAUCUACUCGUAUCUUACUCUAGUAUGCAUGAACAUCUAAAACGCACAGCGAAAAGCUCACAUAACUCAUUGAAAUUUUCUAUGCUUCCCUUCUUUAAUCUCUGGUACUACUCCCGUGCUCGUCCUUCUAAGGUUAAAGGAAAAACACGACACCUUUGAAAAUUAUUCAAACCUUGGAUCCCGGUCAUCUUAUUAAACUUCUCCAUAUGAUGAUUCGGGUUAGUUUUUCCUUCAUACACCAAGGCUGGAACCACAUACUUAGAUGGCAAAGUUACCGCCAUCACUUUACGUACUAAGAGGGACUUGUCAUCAAGUAACAACCUUCCUACCACUUGCUUGCCCUCUGUUUUCGCCUUUAAUGCCUCUAAAGUUUUUUAAAAUUGCAGCAUUCGCUGCUCAAGCUCAUUUGCCUGGUGGGGGUCUCUCAGCUCUUCCCUCUCUCUUUCUUGAUUCAAGUCAUUGAUUCUCUAUCUCAACUCAUUCACUUGUUCUCCUACACUUCUAUUUUCUUGUCGUACCCCAACUUGUGGUAGUCCCAUUCUGCUCUACUGUUCACCACCAAGCUCUUCCCUCUCUCGCGCUCCACUACUCCCUGGGUCACUAGCUCGAACUUGAGCCCCUCUGACUUGGGCAUUAAUCAGCCCCCUAACCAUCUCCUCAAAUUUUGCCAUGUGCCUCUCGAUCCAUUCUCUCCAUCUCUUAUCAGCCCCCUAACCCUGUCUGGUAUGCUAGCUCUGUUCAUUGAAAGCAAAAGCAAUGGAAUCUUUGACCUUACUGCCACAAGAUGAUUGUCAUGGAAGGCACCAAAGUUUCCAAGUAUGUAUGCAUAUCACACACAUACUUGCAUGUAUGUAUAUCACAGAUAAAAUUUGUAUCCCAGGGUUAUAAAUGUGAAUUACUCAAAUAAAUAUGCAUUAUUAAUCAUGUCCGAUGCUCUCUUAUUUCUUCAACGAGAUUUAGAGAAAGUACUAAAUCCUUUGUAAAAUUUUAUAUUUAAUAUAUCUUCAUUUUAAAACUACAUCCAUAUCCCGCAGAAAUUUGGGGAUCUUUUUAGCAUUAUUUUUUAAGAAAUGCAAAAUGAUAAAGAGUUCUAACCGUGACAUAAGGGUGACAAAAAUAAUAGUAAAUUGUGUAAUGUUACAAUGUUAAUUCAAAAAUAGUUAUAAUUUUUUAUUUAAUACUGUAAAUAAAAUUUACAAUUGUUUUGUCAUCAUUGUAUCAUUCUUUGAUUCAAAUAUCAGUAUUAAAUGAACCCUCACCUUUUUGAAAGGAUUACAUCUUAAGAAACUAUUUAUAAUUAUUUUCAUUUGAGUCCUUAGUGUUAAAAAUAUAACAAUGAAAUUAAUGAUAGUCGAAUUCCAAGUAGGAAUGACAGAAAAAUCCGGUCUAACUAGAGCAUGUUUUCUAAGUACUCUGGCUGGACUUGGACUUUGGUUUAAAAGCCCGAACCCAACCAGAAAGCCCAAAAAAUAUUGAAAAUUUUAAAAAUCUAUAUUACUUUAAUUAAAAUACAACUUUUUACAUAUAUGUAAUCCACUUAUAGCAUAUAUUUAAAGUUUUAAGUUAUUUGAACCCAACUAUUAAAGCCUGAUCUAACAAAGAAAAAACUAAAUUUUAUAAACUAUAAAAUUUGUAAAAUAUAAUGAAAAAAGUUUUUUAAAAAAAUACAGAAUGUAUACUUCAAGCUUUUUGGCUUGCCUUUGGAAAAAAAAAAACCAAUGUUUUGUCAUCCCUAAUUCCAAGCCUUAAAUACUUCUCCAAAUGUAUAGUACAAUAUUGUAUAAUAGGACCAAUCACAUGGAGAUGAUUUGUAAAUUUUUGCAUGCAAUUUUAAUAUGCACAUCAGAAGAGAGGCAGCAAUCUUAGUUGAUACUUUUAUUUGACAUAUGAUGUAAGAAAUGAAACAAAGAUUGUAACGUUACAAAUUUUGCAAUUCAGCAUCCAAAAUAUCACUAGAACUUGCAAUACAAGCUUUAAUCUCUUCAACAACACAUUGAAUUGCGUCCAGGAACACAAACAAAAAUAUAGUUAAUUAUGCAUGCAUUAAAAAGAUGAGGAAGAGAAGAUUAAGGAACAACAUGAGGCCACCAAGAGAGUGAUGAAAAAUGUGGAUUUAAGUUUAAGUUCCACAAUGUUUAUGUAAGCAAAAGUGAAAAACUGAGAGUCUGAGGAUAAUGAUAUUAUUAAAUUUAAUAUGGGUUUGGUUCGUUUAGAUUCAUGAGUUUCUCUAGACAGUAUAUAUGGGGAGGCCAAAACUACUUUGCAUUGUAGGUUUUGUACACCACUCAUUUGUCAUUUACCAAAGUCACCGUUGGAUUUCAUCUGAUGGCUAGAAAAGAAACACAUAGAGAAAUAGGAGUAACUAGAAAAACAAAUAAUGGGCCGGUCACCUAGAUUGGUAAUUGAGCAUAGGGAAAUUAAAAAAAUUAACCUAAAAAUUUAUGAAUUAUUGGCUACUUCCAGCAAAAAUCUAAACCAGCAGUUUUUGAUCAAGCAAAUAAAUUAAUGGCAACAACAACGGCUAAUCGAUGCCGCGACGACAAUGGCUACUUCCAGCAAGAGCGGCCUCUUUAAUUUGAGUUAGUUCGCUGAGUUUAUGUCCAAAUUCUUAAAUGGAUAAUGGAUUUAUUGUUUUAGUACUAAUUGUUGAUGAUUAUAGGUUAGAUCUUGUUGAGCGAUUAGUUUUGUAACAUUAAGCUUGAACUAGGAAUGAAAAUUGAUAAAAUGCUUAUGGAAAUAAGUUUGUUAAAUAUGACAAUACAAAUGUUUGCUAAAUGCCUCAAAGAAUACAAUUUUUUGUAUAGGCUUAAUUUUGCUAUUAUUUUACUUGAAUGAAUAUUUAAGAAGGUUGCAACUAGUAUUGUGGCUUGAAUAUAGGCAAUGGUAUGGUGUUAUAGGUGAUUAUGAGCAAAAGUUGUUUGUCACGAUAAACUUAUAAGUGAAAACCUUCUUUUUCUCAAACAAAACCCAGAUUAAGAAGAUUCAAUACUUCAUCAUAGCUUUCAGAAAACAGUAUCAAGACAAUAAUGCCAAGAACCAUCGCCUGUAAACUUUAUCCGUCGGAAAAAUCGCAAAUGAUGCUUACACGUACAAACUUUUUUUUUCGAUUUACAGGUGCUACGCCUUCAGCUGGUUACCCAUUUUCCAAAUGUUAAAUCUCAAUUGUUAGAUACAUUUCUUCACAUUCUAAAGGCUCAUUCGCUAUAAGACAAAGGACUAGGGUACCAAAGUCAUGAUGCAAGAUAGCUGGAUCCUAUAUGGGGGAAAUUUAAUCCAUUUGACAACUAAAAAAUUCAGAAAUCAGACCUCAAUUUGACAAAUUAGAAAUUGAAACAAUUAAUUUUGUUCCAUAUGCAUGCAGAAAAUUAGAUGUAUGUAACUUGUCAUAUGAUAUAUAUAUUCUAUCAGGUGGAAGAUUUUCCACUUCAUUUGUAUGAAAUAUAUGGUAUCAAUCAAUAAAUUCUUAUUUUGUUAUAUAUACUAAUAGUAUCUUAUAGUAAACUAAGAAAUAUUAAAGAUCUUCUAGUGUGUUUUUGAGUUGUAAAAUGUUUUUUUUAAAAAUUGAGUUGUAAAGUAUAAUUAACUAUUUUGUGUUCCAUUACAGGUAUUAUGAAAGGUUUUUGAAGUUUUUAGAUGUUUUUUGACCCAUUUGUCAAUAAGUGAAACUAUUAGCACCACUUUAAACUCCUCAUAAAACCUUUCUUCUAAAAAUACACCAUUAAAAACAUAUGUAAAUCACAGUACUUUUAACAACACCUAUGUUAAUUCCACAAAUAACCUUAUAUAUUCUUUUUUCUUAAAAAAUCAUAUGAAAACAAAAAUCUUUUAGUACAAAACCUUUUCACCAAUUCAAUCUGAAGCCCUUGUUCGGUCCAUGAGAAUCAACUUUUCAAUUUAGAACUGUUUGAGCUUCUUUUUCCAAGUUUUUAUUCUUAUUCUUAUAUAUAAAUGAGAUUCUUAUAAUAUAGAAUUCAUUUUAUUACUUUAUUUUAUCAUUCCAUGGGAAAAGAUAUCAAAACAUUACUAUGAAGUAAGUUAAACUAGUAGAAAGUAGAAUCUAAAAACUAGAUAAGAAAUAUUCUAGGCCAUCCUCUUGAGUGGAUCUAUUUUAAUUCCACAAACGUCCUUGUACACUUCUUUCUCACUAACUUUACUAUGAGAGAGAGAAAAAAGAAUUAAAUAAAUAUUUCUUUUAUACUAAAAAAGAUUGUUUGAAGCUAAUCCAAUAUUAUUUUAUACUCUGAAUGUGACAAUUCACAUACUUUUAUAUGAACACGUAAAUUGAUAAAAUCAAGAGAACAAGUAGCCAUAAAAAAAUAAGCCUUUCAUAAUUUGAAAAUAAUGAACUAAAAUUUCAGUCCACCAGAAACCACUAAUUUAAGAAUAAAAAUAAAAAUAAAAAACAUUUUCACUAAAACAACAAAAUUAUCUUUUAUUUAAUAAAAAUAAAACCCAUGUGGGGUUAGAGGAAGAUAGAUGAAUAGUCAAACGUGAUUUGAUUAAAGUUAAAAAUAUAAAUUUAAGAUAUAAGAAUUCUUUUGGAGGUGCCAAUAGCUCCACUCUAUUCUCUUUUUGUAGUUCUGCAAGUUUUAAACACAGGGUUCUAUGAAGGUCUUAGAGGGUGCCGAUAGCUUUCAUUAAUGUGCAUAUAGGUUAAACAAUAUCAAAUUAUUAGAUGGACCUUACUACCUUGCAGAUUCUGUGAGGUACACCUCUCUAAUAAGAAUGGAGCGUGUCUCACUUAAGACCACCUUUAUUUUACUUAUUUUGGAUGGACGUACCUUACAGAAUCUAGGUACCGUCUUCUUAUUUGAUCCAAUGUAAUCAAACAAUCUAAUCUAAUUGACUUGCUGCUUUAUGUUAAUAUAUAAUUAUGUUUUCUUUCAAUUGUUCUAAUAGUUGAGAGUUUUAUCGGGAAGAUAGCUCGAAAAUCAGCACUAAUUCCUACUCAGAAGGGAGGGGAAAUAAAUUGUGAUAGAAAAUAAAUUAUUUGAGUGCUCUGCGAGUCGAAGACCCACUCUCAGAUAAACAACUAUCUUUGUAAAGCAGAGCAGAAUUUAGAAAUGUCAUUCUUCUCAUUGGGUCAUUUCUUCAAACGUCCUCCGUACAAACAACUCACCCGCCAUCAGAAUCUAUUUCCGCUCAUAAAUCAAAAACCCAGAACCCAAUCAACAGCACCCUCUUCCGUUCUCAUAAAAGUUUUAGCCCGUUCUUCUUAUCUCUCAGUUCGCAUUUGCUGUCAAAAACAUGCCUUAGUGAGUUUCACUUUUUUUACUUGUCUGUGUUUUUAAGCAUUUUGAAUUAGUAAUUAUUUGGCAUUAAAAUUGAGGUGCCUUAACUUGUGUUGUCAGGAUAUGUUUUCUGAAGCUCUUCUAUGUUUCGGUGCAAGUUCUACAAGCGUGGAUGAACAUGAUAAUGAUGCUGAUGAGAAUUCUGAUGAGGUUGAAACUUUAGUUUUUAAUUUCUUCUUUUUUCUUUUCUUUGAUUAUUGAUUCAUGUCUUGUAAAGGAUCUUGAGAGCAACAAUAAACAAGAAAUGAAACUCAUUUCCCAUUUGCAAAUUGGCUUCUAUUUGUGUUAAAAAUGUGCUUCUAAUUUCCAAUGUAAUGUUACCAGUUAGCCUUAGAUUUUUGUUGACUUUGUUGGUUCACUUGCUAGAAAGGUAGCAAGAGGAAAAAAUUAAUAAUAAUACUAAAUAAGCACAAAAUUUUCAAUGUUUGGUAUGGAAUUGAAAAUUGUCUUCUUUCUGUGUUAAAAGAGUGCCUCGAAAACGCCAUUAUAAUGUUACUAGCUGGUCUUAGAUUUUGUUGAAUGUAGAGUGGCUUCUGAAUAAAAACUAUAGUUGUUUUAAGUAUUACUUACAGAUUGCUUUUAUGCAGAUCUAUAUUUAUUCCAUAUUUCCUGAAUGCGAAGACGUGGAUGAGUGCAUAUUAAAUGCUGCUAAUUCCAUUGGCUCGAAAGAGACACCGCGCUAUGAAGUUAAAAUGGGCGAGCAAUGCAAUUGGAUAAAGAAAACUCAGGUUUGUUUGCUCUCCUUUUUCUCUCUAUCACAACGGUAUAAUUGGAAUUAUUGUUAUGUCAAUUUGAUUAUGUUUUCUUACAUGUUGCAGGAGUCAUUUCCUCCCGUUGAGGUGACAAAAUGACUAUGGAUUGUGCCCGAGUGGAGUACACCACCAAUAUGAUUAUGUCACUCCCUUGGGAGGUUUUGUUGCAGUAAUUUCUCAUCUUUUAUAGGGUACCCUCUUCUUCAUUGCUUCCGUAGAAGUCAUAUCAGCUAGUUGCUUCCGAAUCUUUAAAUUUCUUCAAUGAGGAACCUUCGUUUGGAAAAUUGAUUUUCAUCUUAUUCGAGAAGGUUGCUUUGAAGGAGAGAGCUUAUGAAAUGCAGCAAGCAAAAUCAUAACUACAAAGCAGUAGACUAAUUGUUAGCUGACUCUAAGCAAAGGCAACAUUCAUAAAAGAUGAAGAAGAGUUUCUAAUAUUUACCAAUAUAACUUAUAGCAAGUGCACAGAAUAGAGCCAUAUGAACAUUCAGGAGCAUAAGAACAACCAAUGUAGCUGCAAAGAUGAGAUGUAAUUACUACCGUGAAGACGAGGAAAGAAUUCCAUUAUUUAUCAACAGCUAGACUGUAGUAUAAUGGAAAGACUUGCUAAGGAAAGUUUAAAGCAACACUCAUCCAGAGAAGGCAAGAACAAGUAUAGAAGCAAAAGUGCACACAUUCAUAUAUAGGGGUAACGAGUAAUGUAUCAUAAAUCACUUGCUCUAGCUCAGGAAAAAAAAAACAACGCAAAAUUGCAAAUUCAUAGUGUUGUUAUUUAUCAAUUGGAACCCAGAAAAAAAAAAUCUAUACUUAAUUAUUCAUUUAAGCAGAUUGAAACCCUUACAAACACAGGUAAGCAAAUCAAAAUUAUCAUUAAAAAUCCAAUCAAGGCCACAUAAAUCUAAUCACAUCCAAAACCAUCCCAAAAUCUCGUUCAAAAUUCAUAUACCCACAUACAAAAACCAUUCAGAAAAGGAAACUAAAUUCUUACAGAGAGCAAGCAAAGAAGAGGAUGAACAAAAAAACAGAAUUCCUGGCAUAAAGUUUAACAUUCUCAUGAACUCUUAACUUAAGGGUGUGUGGGGAAGAGGGAAACGAGUAAGACCCAAGAGCCCCAAUAAACUCACGGGUCCAAGAUGGGGUCUUGGCUGAGAAAUCAUCAGUGGUGAGUUUAGCAAAAGGGUUGACGAUAAGAAGAGCGACAAAGGUGUAUAAAUAAUGUAAAAGGCUGUGAGUUAUGGUCGUGGCUGUGGCUGUUUCUUUGGUGGAGGCUGUUGUGACGGCGGUGGCCGACGUGGUUGUGGCGGUGUUGAGGAUUUCGAGGUAGCCUGAGUCGAUGGAAUUGCAUGGGAUAUAUCCCGUUUCCUUCGUAAUACCUAAAAUAUACCUCAAUCUAUUAAAAUUUAUAACUUUACACAUACAUACUUAAAUAAAUUAGGGAAAGUACAAAAAUAGCCUCAAUAAAAUACCAAUAAAAAAUUAAUACUCGACUCAUUCAAUCUACUUACUCGACUUUUUACUCGACUCAAUGCUCAACUUACCAGAUUUUGUACCUGACUUCGUACUCGACUAGAUACUCGACUUAUUCAAUUGCCUUCACUUCUUACUCGACUGAAUGCUUAACUUACCAUACUCCAUACCCGACUUCGUACUCAAUUAGAUACUCGACUUAUUUAAUUGCAUUCACUUCUUACCGACUGAAUGCCCAACUUACCAGACUUCAUACCCGACUUCGUACUUGACUAGAUACUCGACUUAUUCAAUUGCCUUCACUUCUUGCUUGAUUGAAUGCUCAACUUACCAGAUUUCACUUUUUUAAAAAUAUUAAUACUCGACUCAAUGUACUUACCCGACUUAAUACUCGACCUCUUUAAAAAUUACAUAUAUUUUACUCGACUUGUUAAAAAAAUUUAUUUGACUUUUACUUAAUACUCAACUCAUUUAAUAUGCUUACUCGACUUCCUACUAGACCAAUUCUUACUCGACUAAAUUCUCGACUUACUCGACUUCGUACUCGACUUCUUCCUGCACUAAGAGGAAGAAAUGUGUGGAUUCUUAGUUUUUUUAAGGUUAUUUUUUACUUUUCCUAUCUUCGUGAGGUAUAUAUAUGUAAUAGGGUAUAAAUUUGGUAUUUAAAGAUAAAUUAGGGAUAUUUAAAUAAAAAACCCUCCUGAGUCACGUAGCCAUGACUCGAAUGUUGGGUCGGGUACAUUUAGAGAUAGUGGGUUGGAUGCGAAUACCUUCCCCAUUAGAGAGAGCUAUCCAACUUUGGUUGAAUGAGAGUCCCUAAAUUAUCAAAAUAUUAAUAAUUAACUAAUUUGUAAAAAAAUUCAUAUGAUAUGAUGAUAUAGGGCUUGGUUUGUGGUUUUCUAAGCACAUUAUUAUUAUUAUUAUUCUUUUAAUCACUCCAAGUUUAAAUUUGGAAGAGGUAGAGGAUAUAAAUAAAUGAUAUUAGAAUUUGCCGAUUUGCCAAUAAAACUUCGGUAUUAUAUGCUAAUUUUUUUUAAAGAAUUUUCUUUUAGUAUUGUUUUGAGAAAAUAAAUAAAGGUGGUCAAUUUAAUAUACUUGAUGAUUGGGGUGAGCAUCGGAAACUCUAAAGGGUACUUAAUGUUGAGACAAAUUAGAAGAAAACCCUUUGUAUAACCAUUUUUAUAUUGAAGAGAAGGGAAAAAAAGUAUAUGAAAUUGGAUAAAUAAUUAAAAGUUGAAGAAAUUGGUUAAAACGAGAAACAUACAUCAAAUUCAACGGGGGCUAAUCAAAUUCCGUAAGGAUAUAGUUGAAUGCCGCACUGUUCCUUAUACUCAAAUUCCCGUAGCUUUUGUCUCAACUCUGGCUGAGGCCACCAGCAAUCGAACUUGUUUAAGCUCUUUAUGCACCAGAGUUGUUUAGGCAUCUUUUUCAAGUAAGCACAAGGGUUGAUAAUCAAGCAUUCUAGUUUUGGCAUGGCCCUAGUCCCCAUAGUCCACUCCUCUAGCCAUAGCAUUGAUUUCAGGUGCAACACCUUAAGCCUUGGAAAACCAUCAGAACCACAAGUCAACUUUCUACCUAAAUACGAGUUUUGCUUCAGUUUGAGCACUUGAAGAAGCGGCAACUUUUCUAGUGCCGGCAUGGGAUCAUCCAUUAGGUCAGUAUUAGAAAAACUCAAGUGGGUUAGACUAUGAGGAAAUAGGUAUUCAGCAAGGACGAUUUUGGAGAGCCGUGGCAUCUUGCUUUCAUUCGCCAACUUCAAUCACUCGAGACAGCUCAAUCUGCAGAGACUUUUCGACAGCAAAGAUUGAUCAUAACUUAAAUCUCCCCGUAUUCAGAGAUUUUGAAGAUUAGGUAGCCUGCCCAAUAGAUCUUCAGUACAGCAGCAAGGGUGCAAGGCUGAAAUGAAAUUUAGAUUUUCUAGAGAGCCACAGUAUUUUCCUGGAUGCGCAGGAAGUGUGAUUGACCCAAAAUUUAGAUGUCUGAGUUUGUUCAUCUUCCAAAAUUCAUCUGCCGUAUGAUCUAUAUAGCUAAAGGGCAUGUCUAGGGUGUAGAGGUUCAGAAGAUUGCUUAAUAAUGAGGAAGGCAGGCUUUUGAGGGAAGGGAUAUUCAACUUCGGAUGAGAACAAGAGAUCCCAAGUCCAAUAAUGAGGAAGGCAGGCUUUUGAGGGAAGGGAUAUUCAACUUCAAAUAUCUCAAAAGAAAUAAAUUUUCAAUUCCGGAUGGAUACUGGAUGAGAACAAGAGAUCCCAAGUCCAACACUCUGAGAAGUUUGAACAUUCCACAAAUUUUCUCCCAAUCCAUGGGGUCAAAGUGGCGGCUUUCUGGAGAACAGCACAACAAAGAAUGCAGUUGCGAGUCAUAAUAAUCUAAGUAAGCAAAAUCUUCCUGUCUUUUAACAGCGUUUAACCGUUUGACUUUUUUUGGUGAUUUACCUUUUGGAUCCAUGAAAGGGGAAACGAUGAAUUCCACCAUAUAAUGAACUGUGAGAAGCACGGGACGCCAACGACCAGGAAUAGAGCAUGUGUUGAUAGUGCCUCCGGCUUUUCUCUUCUUUGCUUCAACAAAGCCUUCCUUGAUAAGUUGUUCCAAGUAACUCUCAGCAGUUGCCUCACUAUUGUCUGGAAUGAAACCUUCAGCUAUCCACAACUGAUAUAACUGCCUGGUGGAUAUCUCUAGGUGUGCGGCAAACACAGAUAAGUAGAGAAAACAAAGUUUCAAGCAAAAAGGUAAGCUGCAAUAUUUGAAGUGCCGAAGCACAAGGGGUAUCCCCACUGCUUUCCCUAUAUUUUCUUCUAAUGAGAUGUUUCCAUGAUAUAAGAUGAGGAAAGUCCAUCCAUUAUAUGUAGCUCUCAAUGGUCCUCCAGUGAGCACUAAAUCAAGCCCAAUGUUCUCUCCAUCUUCGAGCUUAAAUGAGGUGACCAUCUCAAUUUGAGUGAGUGUUAUUAAUACUCUACUUCUAUUAUGAUUAUCCGGAAGUAUUUCUCGAAUAACAUCCCACACACCAAUGGUCCAUACAUCCUCAAUCACAAUCAAAUACCGCUUGGUCAUUAGAUAUUCAUGAAGAAUUAUUUUUUUCAUUUCAUAAUUUUUAUCCAUGAUUUCACUCAACCUAGAUGAAGGCAUCAGAAACUUAAUAACGAUAUCUAAUAUUUGGUCAGCGUAACUAAUAUCUGGAAUCCAAGCGUGACAAUCAAAAUAAUGCUUCACAUAACUACUGUUGUAAGCCUCUGUGGCGAAAGCCGUCUUGUCCAACCCAAUGCUAUCAAGUAUGGCCACCACGGAAAGCUGAGGUGGUCCCUCGAUCAAUAGAUCUAACAACUCCUCCAUUCUAUCAUCUAGACCCACCGUGUCCCUACUUUUAGAAGAUGAAGAUAUACCGGCUUCAG
rnacentral:lncRNA from 1 species